GGUCACUUGUCACUUCGAUAUUAUAUUUAAUUAAUCUAUUUCUAUUUCUAACAAACUUUUAAUUCAGUUGAAUUAACCUGUUGAUUGCCGAAUCAGCUAUUACAUCCUUCUCCGUAGAGAAAUUUUUUGUCAAAUUAAUUUACUAAAAAUAAUAGAUAAAAAUUAAUGGUUUAAAUAAAAUUUUAUUUCUUGAUGACGUUAGCAAAAAUUUUCACACACAAGUUGUGCAUGUGAAAGUAGAAAUUGUUUCAAAGCAACUACUACCAUUUCCUUUUUCCUAAUGAAAUUUUAAAAAAAAGACGUUAUAAAGGGUGAUGGGGAACGGUCGAACCCGAUAUUGGUAAUCGAAUUCGGAUUGGUUCGAUCCGGUUCGCUUUCCGACCCUUCCCUUAAACCCUUCGUCUAGGGUUUUACUUUCCCGCGGGAAAAAAAAAAAAAACCCUUCUCCUCUCUCCCCUCCUCCGUCCCCUUCUCCCCCACCUCCCUCUCCUUCCACCGCCCCCAUCCACCUCCACCUCCACCUCCUCCUCGGCUCCGCGCCGCACUAGCCUUGCUUCGGAGAAAAGCUCUUCCGGGGGGAAAAAGCGCUUCUUCUCGGGCGCUCCGGCGAUGGCGUCGAAGGCGAAGAACCCCGAUUACGCCGCGCUCCGCGAGCUCUUUCGCCCCCACAUCGACUCCUUCGACUACUUCCUCGACGAGGGCCUCGAGAAGGCCCUUCUCUCCAUCCGCCCCGCCGAGAUCGCCGAUCCUUCCACGGGCUCCAAGCUUAGAAAUAUCCUUUCUCUUUGUAACCCUACCCUCUCCUUUUCUCUCUUCUGUUCCUAUUUUUCAAAUCUUUUUCUUUGUCUCCUUGACGGAUAGAAACUAUCUUUCGAGAAGCCACACGUGCUUCCGCCGAUGAGAGAAGGCCGGUUGAGCGAGCCCUUGUUUCCUUUUGAGGUCGGUGAUUUGUUAAUUUGUGUCCAAGUUUGUAUCUUGUGUUUGUUUCCGGUCGUGAUGAUCGCAGUUUGUUGAUGAGUUGAUAUGAUAUGAUAUUGUUCCUGGUUGGAUUGGAGCAGUGUAGGCAAGCGAGGACGACGUAUAAAGGCGAAUUCAGGGUGGAUGUUGCUUUCCAGUAUGAUGGCGGAGUCGUCGUGAGAGAAAGCUUCAAUUUUGGCCAUUUGCCUAUAAUGUUGAAGGUGUGUGCACUCUCCUUUUUUCUUUUUUUUUUUUUUUGUGUCUCUUACUUUUUGCUUAUAUCAUGCCUUGUAAUGAGAGGUAUAUCAUGUUUUGCUCAUUUUUGGCCCUUUUCCUUUGUUUAAUUACAUUCUAUGUUGUUCUUGAUUCUUAUUUAUUGGAAAAUUAAGGAGGAAUCAGAUAUCGCAAGAAAAAGGUAAUCAGCAAUGAAAUAAGUAACGGGACUUGUGGCUGAGUUUUACAUGAAAAUUAAGUAUGCUUCUUAAGCCAGUGUGUGAUGCUUAACAUACAGGAACAUCAGAUACUUGAGAUGUGGAUAACUCUUUUUCAUAUGGUUAUUUUAACUUCUCGAAGUUUUAGCGACUGUAAUUUAUUGCAUGAGAUCAUGUAAAACAAAUGCUUUGAUUAAUUAGAUAGAUAGAUUCGUGAAUAUCCUUCUCUAUAUCUUGGUUUACUGCUUCUCUUUGAAGGUGGUGCAUGUAGGAGGGUAGACAAAUAGUUAUCGUUAAGACAAUUGACCUGGGUGAUGUCUGAAUACAUGGAGUCAGUUCUUUAUUCAGCAUUUCUACUUCAUAUUUUCUUCAUUUUUGUGAAUAUUAUUUCACGUGCAGGCAUUAUGUAGUUGUCUGACUCAAUUUUCUGUUCUUGCAGUCAAAACUCUGCCACUUGAGAGGUGCUGAUCCUCAGAAACUGGUUUUCCAUAAAGAGGAGGCAACUGAAAUGGGUGGGUGAGUAUGGGUUAACUAGUUGCCUGGGUUUUGGGUUUCUUAUAGUGCCUUUCUACCUUUUCUUACGUGGAUGAUAUUUUUUUAACUUCUAUCAUUCUUAAUUUUCUUUUGAACUUUAUUCCAGUAGGCAUUAUGUACUGCAGUACUAGUAAAUUGAUUGGUGAAAAAAUCCCCUAAUGAUUGUGUUGCGCUAGAAAUUGAAUUGUGGAUAAAGGCCUUCUCUUUUUUUUUUUUUCUUUUAGUCGACAAUUUAAGGUCGUUCAAAGGUUGUUUUCGAAGCUGUGAUAUCUGAAUUAACCAUAAUUUCAACCACUAAUAUUGAGAUAAUGUAAUUUCUUGCACCUCUUUUUAUGGUAUCACAUGCUAGAAUUAGAAGCCUCUCUGUGAAUCACUAGUUUCACUCAUUGUAAUCUUUACAGGAAGGAAAAGAGAAACCCUAUUGUUAUCUUCAUAAUUAUAAUAGUUUUACUAAACUAGUAGGAAAUGAUAUGAAGUUUGUUCAUUUUUUGUUUCUAUGCUUUCAGUUGAUUCAUUUCUAAGGGAUUACUAUAUAUUUUAUGCUUGAAGUUCUUAUUUAAAAUGCUAUCUUAAAACCUGUAGGUACUUUAUUUGUAAUGGUCUGGAGAGACUUGGUCGGCUUCUUAUCAUACAAAAGAGUAACUAUGUGAGAUUUAUGAUUCUCCAAAUUUAGCUUCUUAUCUCAUAAAAGGGCUGCUGUCUUCUAGCUUAUUAUCUUGAAUGAUAUAUCUUUUGUGUGUCUUCAUUGUUCUCCUUCCUUGCUAUCCCUACGGUUUCGUCAUUUAGUUAUUAUUAUUAUGUUUAUGGUGUUUCAGCCAAUGGGCAUGGUGCGGAAAUCAUUUCGUGCUCGAGGAGCUGGAUACAGUGAUAAAGCAGUGGUCAUGAGGUUUUUCCUCCCUUUUUUUCCUUUAUGCCAAGCUAAAUUUGUUGAUUAACAUUUGUUUGAUGUCAGUAAGCCCCUUGCCAUUAUAUGAUUUGUCCAAAAAGUUCGUUUCUAAUAUAAAUGAGAUAAGAUUUAAUUGGUUGAAAUAUUGGUAAGUGGAGGAGGGAAAGAGGCACAUUCUGUUAUCUUAUUAUACGUUGGAGAGAUAUUAGGGUGAUUUGCUCCCUCAAGUUUGACCUCGAUUGCGAUUUGCCAAAUAUUUUAUGGUUAAAAUUGAUAUAUUGAGAAUGCAAUUGAACUUAGGGUCAAAUUCCACUAUCCAAAUUUUUAGAAUUGAAUGACAAUUGAAACAGAGAUCAAACUUUAGGAUAAAAUUUGUAAUUGACCCAAAAUAUUAUUUUUUAUGGGAACUUAUUUGGAGAUAUCUUAGACUGACAGUCACCUUACAGUAUCCUCUAAUUUCCUACUUUUUUCUCCCCCUGUAGAUGUGUUCGAGAGGAUCAGUCUUCUGUGUCGCUUAAGUUGUAUUACCUUCAAAAUGGAAGUGCAAGACUUGGAUUCUGGUAACUGUCCAUGAACUGAUAUGCUAUAUUUAAUUUUUGAGAUACUGAAAGUGUUAUUUGCUUAUGAUGUUUUUAGGAUUAGAGGGAGGGAAUUCUUGCUUCCUGUGGGGAUUGUUUUAAAGGUGAUGUGUGAUGAGCACUUCUAUCAGAGACAUUUGUUUCCUACCUUGGUGGUUCUCUUGAUUUUUUGCUAUUAAUUAUAUCGAGUUUUCUGUUUGGCUUCCUCUACUUUUAUUUUGUCAAAACCAAUACUCAAGUGAUUUCUUUGGAAAUCUAAAUGUGUUUCGCAGUAUUUUGAGUCGUGCUUCAUUCUUUAAAUUACAUAAUUUGGCUCCACAUCUUUUGGAUUUUUAGACUACAUGUUUAUUUGCUCUGUAAAAUCAAUUAUCUUUGGCUCUUUAGAUGGCGUAACUUGGGUUUAGAAGAAUUGAACUUUUAGAGAACUUGAUGUAUUAUAAAAGCAUUUUGUAGUGGUUCUCCUCGUGAUGUGAUUUGGUUAAUAUGAAGGUUGCAAGUAGCUUGGGUUCAUCUGGUUCUAAAGAGCAUUUGUUGGCUUGAGUAGUAUCAUUGUUAAAUAGUUCUUUUGCACCUUAUCAAAAGUUGCUCUAACAAUAUAAUUUUUCGUUGCUAAGUUAUCAUUUCUAUUUAUGUUUCAUUAUUUUAAUUUUUCCACUCUCAUCAUUCCUCUUUUUAUCAGUGAAUUGAAUGCUGCUUACCUACUUAUGGUUGAAUUACUGUCAGCAGGCUCUUAUUGACACUAGUGACCGUGAAAUCUUUGUGAGCUUGACAUGCUGUUAUAAUGAUAAAUACCAAAGAGAGAAGGGUGUGGUUGGCACUCAACUCAUUGGUGAGAGGGCACAAAUAAUUCUUGAUGAAGUGAGGACAUUGUCGCUCUUGACUCGCUUGCAGUGCUUGAAGCACAUUGGUAUAUCAAUUGUCAUUGUUUGCUCUAGUUUGGGCACCUUGUUUCAUCUUCUUGUUUCUUUACGAUUCUGUUGAUGUUUUAUUUAGGAGAGUACUUCCAGCCUGUCAUGGAUGGUUUUGAAUCGGAAAGUCAUGAAACUGUGAGUUAAGCAUGGUGCUAUGCUAUGGUUGUUUCCUUAAUAGUUUUUUUUUUUGGAAAAUAGUCCUUUUUUCUCGGUAUUGCAAGUUUGGUCAACCUCUUUUAAGUUUGCAACGUUUGUUUGAAAUCUCCUUCAUGGACCCGAAUGUCCCUAAUUGACGUAUUAUUCACAAAAGAUUUCACCCUAGGGCAUUUUGGUCCAUAAAAAGAUAUUUCACACUGAAGUUUCAGAAACAAAAAAUAUGGAUCAACAUUGCAAAGUUGAAAAUAUUAGACUGUUUUACAGAGAGGCUUUUUUGUUACUGGAUUUACCUGAUAUAUGCUGUGUGUAAACAAACAGUAUAUACUAACGUGUUCUACCUUCUUUUAAUCAUGUAUUUUGUAGGUUGCAGAAGCUGUCCUCAGAGACUAUAUCUUUGUGCAUCUUAGCAACAACCAUGACAAGUUCAAUCUCCUUAUGUAGUAACAUUUUCUUUGUCUAUUUAUUUUUCAUUCUCAAUUGUUGCUUUUAUUUCUCGCCAUAAUUUUGGUUCUUGAUAAUAUAAUCUUUCUGCUGUAGAUUUAUACUGCAGAAACUCUAUGCACUUGUUGAUCAAACUGCUGCUCCUGAUAACCCUGACGCAUUGCAAAAUCAGGAGGUUCUGUUGCCUGGACACCUAGUAACCAUCUAUGUGAAGGUUUACUUAUACUUCCUGAUAUUUUUAUCAAAAUUGCAUCUUCUAGAAAUGUAUGAAACAGAUGUUUGGAUUGCUUAAUUGUCCUGUGAAAUGUUAGCAAGACUUUAUUUGGUAUUUUAUGCAAGUAUGUUGUUAAUUUUUUGCUUGUACCGUAAAAUAGUUUGCGACUGGCAUGGUAUUGUACUCCAUGCUCAACAAUUGCAUGAUUUUGGCAGUUUCAGUUGACUUUGUGUUGUUCCAUAUACAUGCCCUGUCGCCUCCAGCCAGGCAGAAAGCUUGACGCAUAUUUAAUGUCUUUGCGGUCUCAUAGAAUGUGGUUAAUGCACUUUCACCUGCUUGUGUGGUCACUCCUGCAUUUCACAGGGUGCUGGCAUCACCCUCUUGUAUUUGAGCUCCUUUUGGCAAGGAUGUGUAUGAAUACAGAUGAACUGCUAGCUGAUUUUAGUUAGCAAAAUCAGUGUAUACCAUAGUAAUAGUAGGCUUUCUGCUAAAGCAGAAGAAAUAUGAAGGAUAUCUGUUCAUCUUUCUUCCUUCCAGUAUUAGGGAACUUGUCAUUCCCGCUUCUAUUCUGAGAUUCUAAUUUUUUUUUUUUUUUUGGAUUAGUACAGGAAAAACUUCAAGAUUGGUUGAGCAAGUCAAGACGUCUAAUUCAAGAGGAGAUCACAAAAGAUAAAAGCUUUGAACUUAAAAACUGUAUGUUGAUUAUGCAGUAGUCGCAUUGUACUUAUAGGAGAUGAAUUUUCCUUCUCACUCAUGUAUCAUUAUUUACAUAAAAUUUCCCUUUUUAACUUUUCCUACUAGGAAAUUUGAUAUGAAUAAUUAGAAGUUUUGUGGGUAUUGGAAAGAAGCUUUAUUUAUGUUUAGUUGUUUCAUGUGUACAUAUAUAGAUUCAUAUGUCCCAGAAUGUUCAUCUAUACAUACAUUUGGACAUACAUAGUCAUGCAUUUGCCUACAUUUAGUGUAGAGAUGAGGCACCAAUUCAUAGUAAAUAUUCACACUUCUGGAUUAUAUCUGGCUCUACGUUCUUAUACUGUGUGCCCCUAGGUAUGCAUGCAUGUUUUGCAUAUGGAUUGUAGUUUCCUAUGUCUUAGUCGUUGGACCAUUAUAUCUCUUCUUGCCUUCUCCUUAUUUAUACUUUGCCUUGAUUCUAGUCGUCCAAGCACAAUAGUAAGAAUAGGUAAAAAAACAAAAAAAAUCUCUCUUUUCUAGGCUCUGAGUCUAUCUUGUCUUAUUGUUGUUUAUUUUUUUCCGAACAUUGAAUUUUCUUGCCUACAGUUGGCAUAUUUUUUUUUGUCCUUCAGCUGCUAAGAUAUUUAGACUACCUGUAGGAACACUAAUUUGAACAAAAGUACAUUCUAACUGUUAUUGAUGUGAACAAAAUUCAUCUUUUGAUUGUUUGUAUAUUAGAUUUUGAAAUUUAUGGUAUCCUCUCUGAAGUAUAUUGGAUUUUCUUCUAAGGUACCAAAUUAGACAUUCUACCAUUGGAUUUUUUUUAUAGAUAAUGUUUAGGGAGCUAUACCUCCCUUCAUUUUUGUAACUCAUCUUCCAGAAUUAGUAAACUUUUGCUUUUCUACUACUGUGAAUCACCAUGUUUUUUGUUCUAAAAUGUCAAUUGCUUCAGUAAUUUUGGUGAAUUUCAAGCCUGUAAAACUGUAUCUUCUUAUUUCCAAUUGAUUCUUCAUCAAUUUAUUGUUCAGUAAGGUGGUCAAUUUGUUGAGUUGUUACCAUUUUUAAUUGAGCUGGCGCUCAAUUUGCUUCUAUUACCUCUUUUGUGCAGUAUAAUGCACUUCAAUAUCAUGUCUAUUGGUUUUAUAAUCUGAUCAUUUAAGCUGAAAACAUGAUAUCUCUCUUCAUCUUUUGUGCAGUAAAUCACAUUAAGAAAAUUUUGAAUCGAAAUUCUGGAUCAGUAGGUAGAGCUGUGGAAAGUAUGAUAAAACUUGGAAGAUUGAAUACAGCAUCCGGUCUAGAUUUGCCACAGGUACUCUUUCUUUAUAGAUUAUCCCUUUCUUUUCUAUUUCUUUUUUUUGAGAGAAAGGUAGCAUGCUACACGCUUCGUUUAUUUCGAAAUAAACUUAGUUGGAAAUGUGAAUCAACUAGGAUUCAAACUUGGGACCUCGGGUACCAACCAUCAAGCCCUUUCUUUUCUAUUUCUCAAAUGUUAAAUAUUAUGCUUCUGCACAUUAUUGUAACUGAAGAAUUUUAUCUGAAGCUUGAGGUUUUUAAUAUUGAUCUUCUACACAGUUGUUGAUUUAAUUGGUAAUUUUCUAUUAAUACUGCUGAAUGACAUAGGCUUGUCUUUAACAAAACCUUUCAGUAUUAGAGUUGUGAUUUAAUGGGUAAACUGUAAAGAAUGGAUAACAAGCACAAUCUGACAAUCUUUGCAGUAGAUAUUUCUCUUUAGUCGAAAUUAUUUUGUAUCAGCUGACUGGCCAUAAAAUUACACUCUUUUUUUUAAUAUAUUUAGCAACUGUAGUUUGACUUCUUUUUUGGUUUUCAUAAUGGCUUUGUUGCAUAUGAACGUGGUGAAUCAUUAAUCUACAAUUUAGAAAUUUGUCAUCCUUCAUACAGUUAGUAAAAUUGACAAAGUAGAGUGGUGAGACUCGAUUUCUUCAAGAGUAUCUUGGCAGAGGUGACAAACAAUUUGUGCAGGGAACACGUUAGUAUCGAAGGCACAUGCAUCCUUUGUGUUGAACCAUGGAAAAGAAAUUUAGAGCAUAUUUUUACCUAUUGGAAAAUGAUCAUGUGUGGUUUAUUAACCAUCUUCUUAUGGCACAGUUUCUAUUGUUUCUAAAGUGAAAUUAUGAUCUAUGCUUUUUCCACCAAAGAGAUUAUGUUUUAAAAGCACUAUUGAUGAUUUUCUGAUGAUAUGAAUAGAGAGAAGGGAUGACCAUCCAGGCAGAGCGGCUGAACUAUUGCCGCUUCAUUGCACAUUUUCGUUCUGUUCAUAGAGGUGCUUCUUUUGCGAAAAUGCGCACAACAAGCGUUAGGAAGUUGCUCCCAGAGUAUGUGAUCUCAUUUUCCUGCUUAUGCAAAUGUUUGUUGCCUUCAUAUAACAUUGAGAAUUACUUUCAGAUCUUGGGGGUUCCUUUGCCCAGUUCACACACCGGAUGGGGAGCCUUGUGGUUUGCUGAACCAUAUGACUUCUACUUGCUGUAAGCUUAUUUCUUAGAUGUGUAUGAUGAUUCUGCUUCUUUCCAUAUUUGCAAAUUUUCAUUUUUUACAUGUCUAUGUACACGGAUAAUGUCCUACAAAGAUACUUCAGUGAAUGUAGCAUGAUGUAUGAAUGGAGUUUAUAUGGUUCUUUCUUGCAUUUUAGUGAAUCACUGCCGGUUAUUUUAGUGUAAUUCGACACUUGUUCAUGCCUGUACAUAUUUUCAGGCGUUGCAUCUUUCUACAGCUCAGAUGGGAAAAUUAAAGAUUUUCUCAAAAUAAGAAUGUCUAUUUUGACUGUUCUGGUUGGAAUUGGAAUGACUCCACUAACGCCCAAGCUUGAGAGAGCUGGUCCUCCAGAAGUACUCCAUGUUUUACUAGAUGGAUGUGUUGUUGGUUCUAUUGCUUCUGGCAAAGUGGAGAAAGCUGUUGCUCAUCUCCGAAGUUUAAAACUUUUUGCCGUGUCCGGGGUCAGUCCUCUUGUUUCUUUCUCCUUCAUCUAUUGCUCUCUUUUUCUUUCUUUUUUUUUUUUGGCUUAGAACUUUUGGUGAUUGUUACAGAUACCUGAAGAUUUGGAAGUUGGUUAUGUACCUUUGAGCCUUGGUGGAGCCUAUCCCGGCUUGUACCUAUAUAGUAAUCCUGCUAGAUUCAUUCGACCUGUUAGAAAUCUUUCUCAUUCUUCUAAUGGAAGUCAAAGUAUAGAGCUAAUUGGACCAUUUGAACAGGUUCAACUAACUUUCAUCUUGUCACUUUAUCUCCUUAAGAAUUCUCUUUCUCUCUCUCCACACUUCAGUGGAAGUGUGGAACCAUAACUGAAUAAUGGUUUUUUCCUUCAUUUUGUCACAAUUAUCGGAUACUAUCCGAAUGUGUAGACUAAAAUAAAGGUUUUUUUUCCUUGUUUUAAGGCAUUUAUGGAAAUAAGAUGUCCAGAUGGUGGAGAUGGAGGAAGAAAAGAAUCAUUUCCUGCAACACACGAAGAGAUCCAUCCAACUUCCAUACUUAGUGUGGUUGCCAAUCUCACACCCUGGUCUGAUCACAAUCAAAGUCCUCGCAACAUGUACCAGUGCCAGGUACGAAUUCUCACACACACACACACAUACACACAAAAGAAACAAAACAGUCACCAACAAAGCCAUUGUGUUAAUGUUAACUGUUACUUAUUCCAUAUUUUAUUUUUGCUUCUGUAGAUGGCGAAACAGACUAUGGGUUUUUCAUCGCAAGCUUUAAAAUUUCGAGCAGAUGUCAAAUCAUAUCAUCUUCAGGUCUGGUGCAUCUGAUUAGAGAGAUCUUUCAUUCUUGUCAUUUGAGGCAACUUUCAGAGCAAAAUUAGUUGUAGAAAAGAUGUCAUGUGAAUGCAUAGGUCAGAAUAGCUCUAUGGCAGUAUGUCAUGCAAAUAUUCCUAAAGGAAAUUGUUGAUACAUGCCAUAUAGAAAGAUUUUUUGAAAUUCUUAGAAUCGGGUCUAUCUCAACCAAACAAGUUCAACAUUGGACACUCUAAACUUUUGAAAGUUUGUCAAUUUGGUCCUUAUUUACUGCUAGAAGAAAAAAAGUAAGGGACUACUAGUGAAAUUUUCCCUUCCCUUUCCCUUCUUAAUAAAUGUUACUUGCCAGUAAGAUCAAAUCAUCGUCUUUUACAAACUGAAUGCCGUUAUGUAUUUCUUUUCCUCCGAAAACUUCGAACCUACAUUGUCCACAACUGCACAUGGAUUAUAUUUUACUGUGGGUUUUUUCUAAAGGGUACUUGUAGUAUUUCUCUAUUACUUUUUUUUUUUGUUAACAUCUUUUUUUACCGACUUAUUCUCCAUUGCUGUUAUAAGCAAUUUUUUUUUUUAUUGAACAUGCUUUUAAUCCCUCUGUAGACCCCUCAAACACCAAUUGUGCGGACAAGAACAUAUAGCAAAUACUGCAUCGAUGAAUUCCCAACGGGAACAAAUGCAAUUGUUGCAGUGUUGGCCUACUCGGGGUAAGCUCUUUGUGCAUCAAUUGUUUCUCAUCCUUGUCUGUAGUUGGGUUUUAAUUUGAAUGAUCCCAUUUCUUCUGUUCUAGUUAUGACAUGGAGGAUGCGAUGAUCCUGAAUAAGUCAUCUGUUGAACGCGGAAUGUGUCGUGGUCAUAUAUAUCAGGUCUGUAUAUUAGCUUCUUCUGAUAGUAUAUUAGCAUUUCAAAGUCUUUCAAAUUGUAGUUAGAAAAUGCACCAAAGUCUAAUGGAUGACAAUGUGGCAGCUAGAAUGAAAGACUCUUUAUGCGGACUCUGGUGUGGAAGUUUUGAGAAUUAUGUUUCCUUGGUUUUGGCUGUUUGAGCAUAACAUGAUGACAAAUGAGACAUCAUAGUUCAACAAAUAGCUUAAGCGGGUCAUAUGUAAUAGAGCAUUUCAGUGGUUUUGGAUAAAGAGCCUUAAUUUAUGUGUCUGCGCACCUGUGCUCUAAGAAUGAUGACAUUUAUAGUAGAAGUUGAUAACACUUGCCUCAUAAUGGCAAUGAAUUUGAAUAUGAUUUAUAGGUGCUUCAUAUUUUUAUGAAACUAGAGGCUGGAUAAUAAGCUGCUUUAACAUUUGUUUCCCCUUCUCUCUUAAGAUGUUGAAUUUAGAGUGAAGCAAAAUUCUCACAUUCGCAUAUGUGCUAGUUUAGUUUCGUCUAAUUUUUAUUUUCACCGACAAGCAUUUAUGAUAUUUGACUCCAUUGAAUGCUUUAUUGUUCAGACAGAAACUAUUGACUUGGCAAAGAAGCUUGACAGAGGAGAUAGAGUUUUGGAAAUAUUUGCAAGGAGUAAUGAUCGAAAGAUGAAAUCCUCAAUUGAUUCUGAUGGCCUUCCUUAUAUUGGAGAGGUACUUAUUUGUGCUAGAAAUUUUGUUUUUCUUCUUAUCUUCAUUUAUAUCAGGCAAUAGAGAUGGAUUAAUUAUUUUAUAACAUUUUUUUGUUUUUUUUGGGGUGCUGUAUGUGUGGGCAGACGAUACAUCCAAAUGAGCCAUGGUAUAGCACAUAUAAUACACUAACCAGUGUUACCAAGCCUACCACACUAAAGGGUUCAGAACCAGUAAUUAUCGACUAUGUUGCUGUUGAUGGUACAAGCUCGAAAAAUUACAUGCAAAAGGUAUACUUACAAUUAUCAUGCAUAUAUGCAAUAGCAGACAGACGGAAAACAGUGGGAGGGAGUAUGUUGAAUUUUAUAGGCAUUUAAUGCAUUUAUUGAAAGACAAAUUUGUUAGUUUCUCUUAGUUUAUGAUUUUGUAUACUAAAGCGAAUCUGUAAUUGAAUUCUUAGAUAUCAUCAAGAUAUAUCACUUUCUGCUACUUUGUACUGAAUACAACCAUCAGAUCCCAAAAGUCCUGCAUUCAAUAUGCGGGAAGAACUCAUGGGUAUAUAUAGGAUAUGUAUACUAAUGGAGUAAGUUGAGCUGAAGCAAUUUGGUCCACAUCAUUGGAGGUUUCUUUAUUCAAGUUACUAACACUAGCUGGCUUGUCGGGCCUGACAACCUGUGGAUCCUUGGAAGCUAAAAAUAUUGCUCUACCUUUUGUUUGCAGGUGAAUAUCCGAACUCGCCGCACCAGAAACCCUAUAAUAGGUGACAAAUUUAGCAGCAGACAUGGGCAAAAGGGCGUCUGCUCUCAGUUGUGGCCGGAUAUUGAUAUGCCCUUUUCUGCAGUUACUGGGAUGAGACCAGAUCUUAUUAUCAAUCCUCAUGCAUUUCCUUCAAGAAUGACCAUAGGAAUGCUUUUAGAGUCCAUUGCAGCUAAGGUGUGAAUAUUAUUUGUCUUUUUCUGUGUGGGAAGAAACCAUAAAGCAGAGCUUCCUUAUCACCAAGCAUUAUAUCAAACUGUUACCUAAGAAAAAGCAGCUAAAAAGGAAAAAAAAAAAAGUUGACAUUGAUUUUAAUUUCAGCAGCUAAUGUUUUUUGCAACCAGUAAUUAUAUUUAAUUGCAGAAGCUUUACACGACUCAUGUUUAUCUUUCAUAUUAAUGUUGUGUUCAAAAUUCUUCUCAAUAGGGUGGCAGUCUGCAUGGGAAGUUUAUAGAUGCCACACCUUUUGCUACCUCAAAGGAUGCCAACCAAGAUAAUCCAUCUAAACCGUACUCUGUGGUUGACGAACUAGGCCCUUUGCUGGCCUCGCAUGGCUUUAACUAUCAUGGAGUGGAGGUUCUGUAUAGUGGAGUUUUUGGCACAGAGCUAACUUGUGAGAUUUUCAUUGGACCUGUUUAUUAUCAGCGUCUUCGACAUAUGGUCUCAGACAAAUUUCAGGUUAGCAGGGUUCUGUUGUCUCUCUCUUGUUUUUCUUUACGCCCUUAUGGCAUUACUCCUAGAUUAAUGAACUAGAAAUUCCGCAUAAGGAUGAUUGUUCCUGAUGCCUUAAACUAAUAUUCUAGUAAGUACUGGAUAUGCUGUUUUAUAGUCUAUGAUGUAUUUAUGAAGAUCUUUUUUCACGUUUCUCUUUUCCGAGUUACCUUAGAUGUUUCUCUUUUCCGAGUUACCUUAGACAUCUUUACAGUUAAUAGAAAAAAGCUGCUGUAGAUUGAUGUUACCAAAAAGUGCAAUAGUUUCAAGUAUAUAGAUAAGGUAUCAAAUUUGAUAUAUCGCGUUAAAAGGCCUAUUUGGAUGCAUGAAAAUCUUGUUCUGCAGAUUUUUUUUGAGGGGCAUGUUGUAAUUGGUUAGCAGGGAGAAAGAAAAGAAGGCUAAAACUGUAUAUUAUAUACAACUGCCAAAUUUAUUUCUCAGUAUAUGAUAAAUCAACUUGUCGUUAGGACGCAAUACUCUGAAAAUUCAUGAUUAUGAGCUGCAAAGGGCUAAAAUUUAUGCCUGGGAUCCAAUCACAGGAGGACACUACCCUACUGCAUUAGUAAUUACUGUAUAACUUUUCCCAACAUGCAACUAACUAGAAAGUUUGAAGAAUUGAUGAUCAAAAUCAAGAUAACCUGUGUAGAAUCCUCUCUUCCAUUGAGCUCCACUGACUUGCCUUUUCUAUAUUCAGGUUCGCUCUACGGGAACUGUAGACCAGAUAACAAGGCAACCAAUAGGAGGAAGGAAACGGGGCGGAGGAAUACGUUUCGGGGAAAUGGAGCGUGACGCGAUGCUUGCUCAUGGGGCCGCUUAUCUAUUACAUGACCGGCUGCAUUCUUGCUCGGAUUACCAUAUUGCGGAUGUUUGCUCCAAUUGUGGAAGUGUACUUACAGCAACCACUAUUCAACCUCAAAAAAGGGCAGUUCGGGAAAUCCUCGGCCUUCCACCCGCGAGAGCUCCCAAGAGCUUCACUUGCCAUGCCUGUGAAACAAGCAAAGGGAUGGAAACAGUCGCGAUGCCUUAUGUUUUCAAGUACUUGGCGGCUGAGUUGGCAGCAAUGAACAUAAAAAUGGAGCUCAGAUUGAGUAAUAGCGCAAAAGCAACAGAAUGAUUCUGAUGCGAAGUUUUCCCAUAAUGCCGACAUUGCCUUGAAGAACGCUUGAGGAUAGCCAUCACCGAAACAACAGGUAACAAUUUUGUAACACUAGGAAAAUUCUCCUGUAUAACAAGUGUUAUUUAUCUUAAUUUUGCAAUCCAUAUAAGUUGGUCGUGCAUGUUGUGUUAAACUAUGAUAAUGCAGAAGGAAAUUAUUUUCCCCAACAUGUAUUUAAGAUGAGAAGUCUUAUUUAAGAUGUAAAAUUAUAUAUUUGUUUCCGAAAAGAAGUUUUGAGGACGUAAGAGGACUUAAGAGUUUACCACUUUAUGGUAAAACCUUUUUGAGUUGUUUUCUUUCCCCCUUUUCUGCGGUGGAGGAACCAUGUUCCUUUCUCUGUGGCCUCAGGUGCCACUACAGAUGAUUUUAGAAAAUUUUAGAGGGAAAUGAUGGAUUGUCAUGUUCCAUCUCCUCAUCUAUUUAAAAUGGAUAUGCGGUACUUUUUUAAAAAAAUCAUUAUUAAUCUCUCUAAGAGAUGCAAAUAAACGUGCCAUCACUAAUUAAAAUAAUCAACCUCGAGAUGCUCUUUAUUAGUUUAUUAUCACUUAUUAUAGUCGAGCAAAGCUACAUUUGGUCAAUUUUAUGUAAUAUUUUCAAUUUUGACUGGAAAAGUUCUGACGCUAUAGAAUUUGUUCAUUUCCUGAUUACCUGUAUCUAUUCAAGUAAAAUGAAGUUAACUUCAAUUGACUACAAAAUAUGAUAUGGUAGUAUACCACAGCAAAUGAAAUCGACACCUAAAACCAAAUUUUUAGGUGAUUAACUUAUUACUAAAUUCAGAUACUGAAUACAGCAAAUGAUCAGGUUACAAAGAACUAAUCAUUAUCAAACUCACAGGGCCCAUUAACCCGUUCUUCUCUCAUUCCCCAAUCUGGGGCAUUAUUGACAGCUUCUUAUUCCAUCAUCCACAAAAUGUAGUGGCUAGAAAUACCAUUUUCAUUUUCAUAUAAUGAAAGCCCUAACAUAUUUACAAUGCUUAUAAUCUUUCCUUCUCCAAUUCUUUAAAAGUACGAUUACAAUCACAAUUUCAUAUCAUACAAAAAGGAAAAACUAAAAGCACCUUUCAAAUUUUUGUAAACCUUCUAUAAGGAUAAUGUUUUAGUCACCACGUUACUAAACUAGGCUUCAGCCUGGCUAUGGAAUAACAUCACAGAUAUUUAAGUCCUAAAUUCGUCCUUAGCCCGGCUAUCGAAUAACCUCACAGAUAUUUAAGUCCGAAAUGGCAGGCGCACGAAUCAGAUGCUUUGGAUGAAAAAUACAUGCUACACAGUGAACAAUCUCUCCAUAACCACAUGCGCAAUAGCUAAUACAAAGUAAACUACUCGGAACUCGGAAGGCGGAUAAAGUUUAACUUGGAGGAAAUGUGGUGAGAGAAUUACCUUACCUAAGAAGAAUCCCUUUUGUUUGAAGAUAUAACUUCAACAGAUGAGCAGCAGAUCUAUUAGUUGAAACUCUCCACACCUCAGCACUCAACAGAAGCAUUAGAGAAUUUUUCCGGCUAACUUGCAAUAAUUGAUGAACAAUUCAUUGUAUUGUUCUAUCUAGCACAAAGAUCAACAUCGACAUUGCUUCCAAUCAUGGUCGAUAUGAAGCUUUGAGUCAAGCAUUGCUUCAAAAAUAAUCAGAUACAAGAAAAAAAAAAACAUCACCAUUCUGAAUCAUGAUUUACCACUAGCUGCUAAAACAAACUGAAAAUGAUCUAUUUGUUAUUUCCUAAAAAAAUGAUAAAGCAACUCUAACUAAAGUUAAGCAGAAAAACGAGGUGGCGUCUUCGAAAGGAGUUUUGUUCUGACAAAUAGUUAGUUCUUUCCCAUGAUACACUUGACAAGAUCUAAGAUGCGAAAGUAAUGAUAAAAGAGGGCCGACUGUUCGCCCUCGAGCCCAUCUCGGCUGUGGCGGUUGCUGCCCGCGAGAUUAUUGCACGGGCUUCCGCCAAUCACGAGAUCGAAGCCACCGAAUGUGCUUAUCAGCUGCUCGAGCCUGUCACUGUUCACCUGUUGAACAUCAACAAAUUCAAUCAGCUUACCCGUCUGAUUCGUCUGCUCCCACCAACUCCUAAGGACGUUUCUGUUUAUUUCAGAUAUCUCAACAGAAACGACGGUCUUCAUGUGCACUCCCAACCGGUGAAGUGCCACCUCAGCUCCCCCGAUGCCCGAAAACAAAGAUAGGACAGUCAGCCCGUUUGGAAACAUAUCCUUUAGGACCGAUAGGUGGUAAGCCACUGUAUCCACCUGGAAAGAAUUGCCAAGAGACCGAUACCUCUCUGUUCUACUGAUUCCUCUUGUAUGAUUUCUAGGAAACCCUAACAAAUACUCAAUCUCAUCCGGCUCUAAAGGCGCGACCUUGUUUAGUCCCACCCAAACCAAGUUCCAUUUCCUGCAUUCGUUCAGCACAUACUGCUGAACCCUUGGUGAUGGUAGGUCACCGGAUUCAAUAAGAGCACGUCGAAUUCUCUCUGUCAAUUUUGCACUAGCAAUGCAGGUCUGCAGGCAAUUGAAUUGGGUCCUAUGGUCCCACGACGGCCACCACUUCUUUGUCAAGGGAAAAGCCUCAUGAAUGGUUUUUGGUGGCAUCGGGAGAAGGGGAAAUCUAUUCUCUAUAGGAAGGUUGUGGAUGUACCCUCUCUUUCGUGCGGCUGCACAGAAGUACUUAGAAUCUACGAAUUCUGGCUCUAUGUCAUAAAGGAAACGUGAGAUAGUUGCCCAAACUCCCUUUGGCGCUAGGGCAACAUUCUCAUAAUAAAAGUAUGGCGGACCAAUAGCCGCCUCUGGUAGCCUUCUGUUCACCACAUGCAUCAUGCUGUUGGUUGGGAGACCAAACCCAAUCAUUGGGUUAGGAAGAGCUAUCAUGUCAUCAUCAUUAUGAGAUACAUUUUUGUUACGAUUCUUCUGAUCUAUGUAGCGCCUUCUCUUGUUGUUGCUAUCUUCCAUAAAUUUUCUUCUUUUAUUAUCUCUGCUGAAGGAGGUGAAUCUACAAAAGGGCUGUGACCCAAAAAGAGGACAAAGGAAGAUAGCGAGGGUUCAAUAACAAGGUAAAACUUGAACAGAGUAAUUAUAACAGUCAGUAGCACAUUAAGCAAUUACUUCAUCUUGAGCAGACCAAGAAGCAGCAUAUAUAGAAUCCGUCUCAGCAGUCUGAGCAGCGUAGAUAGAAUCAGCUAAUUCAGAGACAGGUGCAUCUUGGCCUGGAGGCAGUUAGAAAUAUCAAAUAAAUUAGCAAGAAUGGAUAGGUCCACAAGUCUGUCUGGUUGAAAGGAAAUUUAUACACAGGUUCCUGACGUUUGAAACCAUAUCUUUAGAAAAAGAAAAAAAAUCUUAGCACCUCUUGACAUAAACCCCUCAACUACAACUCUUAGCGUCAAAGAGUUCCCUGCUAAGCACCUUUGGAUGAAAUCUUGGAAUAUUCAAUUAGAGAUUCUAACUAUUAUCUCCUAAAAGGUUUACCCUUCCAAAGCGAAGUUUUAGCUUCUGUCUAGCAACAGAUUACCCUCAUAAAAUUUCAUAUGUACAUUCCUAACUUUAAGAAACUAAGUCAUUUUAUGCAAAUAACUUCAAUAAAAGAAGAAAAAAAAAUCAAAGUUGGAGAAGACGUACACCUAUCAAUCCAAAAAGACAUGGAGGAGUCUAUUAUACCAAAAUGGUCAAAUAGUUCAGGGUGUCUUUAUACAUUUUUUAUGAUUGUAAACGAAAGAGUGGAUAUUUAUGAGGCCACUUAACAAUUAAAUAUCCGGAAGAAAUUUAGUAAAAUAACUACAGCAUUUCAACCAGAUGAAAGAAUUACCACAUCUUUCGAUGGCUGAGGCAGCCUCUUUUGUGGUGAAACCCAUCUCCACUAAGGUCAACAAUUUUUUAUCCUUCUCUGCUAAUUCUUCUACAAAAUCCUGUACAAAAAAUAACAGUAACUUCGCAUAAAUCAUAUAUCAAUAGUGGAUGCUUCAUCUAGGAUAGAAGCAGCAAGCACGCACUCUUUUAGUCAGUGAUCGUGGUGCUUGUGAAGUCCCUUACCUAGUUAUAACAGACAAAAGACAUUGCUUUGGAUAUAAUUAUAUAGAAUCUGAUAAUUUUAUUGUAUUCAGUUGCAUAUUUUAUUUUCCAGCCUCUUCCUUUUCUCUGUAGUGAAACAUUUAUUACGUAUCAUGGAUAAUAGGCAUAUUAUAAGAAGGUCGUGGCAAGAAUAACUCUUGUAGUAGCGCCUGAAUUUGUUCAUUGUUGUUCAUUCAUCAUUAUAGUUCUCAUAGUCGUUACCAAGUACACUACUUCAAAUGAAUUCAACACAACAUAAAUCAACCUAGAUUAGCCUAGAAAUGGAUGUAAUAAAGAAGACAGCAAUAUGAUAAUUGAUAAUUCAUCAUUAUCAAUUAUGUCUCUCGUUAUGGCAAAACAGAUAUCCAAAUAUAAAGGAAAUUAUCAAUCUAAAAAAAAAGCAUUUGAGAGUUAAAUCAAAGAAAAAGAAAUAUGAAGGAAAAAUAUGUUGAGUCAGGUUAACGUGUUGCAUGACAUCACCAAAUAAGGCAUAAACCGACCGACAAUGAUCCAGAUUAUAAAAUGGCAAAAACCUAAAUAAUCUCUUCUCAUAAUAGGCAACGCACAUUCACAUCAAAUAAGCAUCUACAUGUAGAGUUAAAAAAUAAAUUUAAUAAAUACGUGUUUGCAGCUGGACCAAACUGCCUGGUAGGACCGGGUUGGCCAGAUAAUAAUCGCUCCAAUUCGAUGAUCUGGUUGGCUUUCAUAUUCACAAAUAAGGAACCAAAAUCUUCAUGUAAGAUAGUAGCACCACAACUGAUUCUUAAUAUGUAUAUGUAAUCUAGCACAUCCGGCAUAAUUCCCAAAAAGAAGUAGCCUCCCCCAAAAGCACAAAUAUUAAAGGUACCUUAUCUUCGAAGUCGUCCAAAUCUGAAUUAUCAUCCUCAUCCCAAUUAUCAUCAUCACUAGGUGAAGAACAACCAGCAGGAGAGCCUUCCUCUUGCGAGGGAGAUUUAUCUAUUGCCUGCAUUGCAAUAUACUCAAUGUCAAAAAAAGGCUGGAAUCUAUAAAUAUGUUUUUCCUGCAGAAAAUACACUUAAGGCCUCAUUUGGUAUCGUUCUCGUUUUUCUUUUUUUUUAACAAAACAUAAAUUCUAUGCAAUAGAGCAUGCAGGCGGAUGAUGGAGUGCUUACAGUCUACACAUUUAUGAGAUUCGUUUGGCAACAAAAAGCAAAAGCUUAGUAAUUUUUCUUUUUUUACUUCUUUUCUCAUUUCUUGAACAGGUUGCCGUCCAUCAACCAAACAAAUUGCAUUGUAAGCUAACCAACGAUGACAAGAGUAGGGAAGUCCAUCCGCCGACACAUCCAAUCACACAUGAUUUUUGUUUACAAGAAAGACAACAAUACCAAACAAGGCAUAUAGUAAUUAUACUCUUUGAUUUCCAUUGCUGAUGCCAAGUUGAAAUUAAAUCGCUGAAAGUAAAUAUAAUAAUAAAACGCAAAUACUUACUCCAUACGUGAGCAGCAACUCUAGUAUGGCUUCCGAAUCUCCUUCACCUGCAAUCUCACAAAAAGAAACAUCUAAUGAUUCGCGAGGCACAUUACAGAGAAAAUAGGAACAACUCCAAGAGGGAAUAAGCUCUAACCAUUGCCUUUGAUGGCUUUCGCAACCAUCUUCUCAGAGAAACCCAUGGCGACAAAAUGCGCCGUCAAAUUAGAAUUAGACCUAGACUUAGAUGCUCCCCCUUCCGAAUCCUUCAAAUUUUACAGCGAAACAAACAACAAUUCAAGCAAUGCGCAAGAAAAACCACUCCCAGGUGCUCUACAAAGGAAGAGCUCACCACCUUCUUGGACGAGCCCGCUUCCGACGAACUCGGCACAUCGCGAAUCGGCGGCGCUUGCCCCUCCUCUCCCUCCCCGUCGCUCUCCCAAUCCACCUCGUCCCCGCCGUCGCUGUCGCUGACCCAAUCCUACACACCACCAAGAACAACAACAAAACCCUCGCUCAAAACAACCCCAAAAAACCCACACGGAUCGUACCAAGAACAAAAAACGUAACGUCGCCAUUAACGCACCAUUCCGAUCCGGAGAUCUCUCCGGGAAACGCUUCCGACGAGAUUCAAUUCGCCCGCAUUGCCGCGUUCCGGCGACGAGCGCCCCGAAUCCCCGCAGCGGCGGCGCCCCUGCCGCAGCAGCAGCUAGGGUUUCAUCGCUCGAUCGCUCGCUCGACGACGACGACGCGAAAACGGAGGGAAAUAUGGGCGGGAGCGCUCACUACUACUACUCACUCCGCUUCGCUUUGAUUGGGCCGCGGAAGAGCAAGGGCUCCGCGGUAAUUUCACCUCUCUCUCCUCCCCCCCUUCCUCUCCUUUCUCCUCCUCCGCCCCAGUGCAGGAGAUUUCAAGGAGAAAAAGGAAGAGGAGUGGGAGCGAAUUCUCUGCGGCCCCGGUGAGCACAAUCGUAUUAGUCACCGCUGACGUGGUAGCGAUCCAAAUAUUAUAAUAAAUAUAUAUUUAUUAUAAUUAGAGAGGUGAUAAUAACUAGCGGAGCACGGGACCCACCAAAAGAGAGAGAGCACAAUAAAAGAGAAAGUGACUAGCGGGUGCGGGGAUCCGCUGCGCGGACCGUAAUAUAAGAUACGGCGCACGUGAAUUUCUCCUUUAUUUUGUACGGAUCUUAAAGCCCGAUGAACGAUGAAUAAAACUGUCUCGAUUAUUUUUCACGGAUGCGCUACAGCAAAUCUGACCAUGGAAAUAGUGCGAAUCACUGCCACUAGUUAUUGUUCGUUGUUGUGGAUUGCCGACACGUGUCCCUGAUGAGAAGUGCUUUUGACCACACUAGUAGCCACCUACCCUGGUUGGAACUUCUGCAAAAGCACUAUUUAAUAUAUAUAUAUAUAUAUAUAUAUAAUCGUUAAUUAAUGUUUCUGUAUAUUAAUUAUUAUUGGUGUGAAACAACUGAAUUCUUCAAAAACUUAUUUUAUUUUAUUAUUAAUUAAUAAUAGACUUAGGCUGAAAUACUAUCAAUAGCACAAAGCAUUUAGUGCUAUUAGGUUUUCGGCCCUUGUAUUAAAAUAUGUGCGGUUAGGAUGAUAUAGGCCCUCUAGGGUUGAGUGAGUUGUUGAUUUAAUAGUAUAAUCUAACGGAUGAAAAUAAUUAAAGAGUUAAAUUUAACGACGGAAAACUUGAUAGCACCAAAUGCAUGAUGCUAUCGAUAAUAUCCCAACAGGACUCUUAAUAAUAUAUACGGUUACUAUAUUUUUAUAAAUAUAAAUUAUUUUGUAUUUUAUAAAUUUUUAAUUAUUAUAUCUAUCUCUUUGAUCAUUUUAUUCAUUAGAUUAUAUUAUACAACAAACCACCUAUCUAAUUCUAAAGAAUUACUAUCAUUCUAAUCGCAUAUCCCUUCAUCCAACGGCCGAAAACUUAUGAAUAUUAAGAAUCUAUACUUAUAAGAGUAUAAUAAUACUAGCCUAUAUAUAUAUACUAUACUGUUACGUAAUUCGUGCAGUACAUAAUUAAUAUUAGUUGUUUUAUGAAGUUUUUAGUAAUCAGUGAUUUUUUUUUUUAACUUAGAAAUUUCAGAAAAUAUGUUUCUGUUUUUUCCCGUGUAAUAAUAAAAUAUAUAUGGUAACUAGCUCAUUGUGAUCCGUGCAACGUGUAAUGUACAAAAAUAAUUGGAAUAUUUAUUUUUCAACAUAUUUACUCAUUGCACGCAAUGAAAUUUGCCCGCAAUACUAAAUAAGACCUAAAAGUUAUUAGAUUAGUGAGAAAUUUCAUUUACUUGACUAUUUACUUCAUGUUUGUGCUCAAUGUUCUAACUAUUGUUAGCAUGCAAUUGACAAGUGGUGGGCAACAAACAUGUGGGAGUACAAUGCUUGGUGAAAUUUAUUUAUGAAAUUUUAUUUUUUGUGAAUAAAAAUUGUGCGUGUUCGAUCAUAUCAUUUUUCUAUAAUAUUUUAUUUAUUUCAGAAUGAUUUAACAGGAUUUAUUUCGAUGUAGACAAAUCUCAUGAGAUUCGCAAGAUUCGAUAAUAUUUUUUUAAUAUUAUAAAAUUGGUAGGUGUACAGAUAGUACUGGUGAUAAGAUCAUUUCAAUAUUAUUUAAAUAUCUUCAUCACUAUUCUCAUGCCAGUUUUCUUACUAUUUAAGUCUUGAUGAAUUAGGAAAGAGAUAAUUAUUAGUAUAAUUUCUAUUCCUAUUUUCAACCAAUAGUUUUUAGAUACAAAUUACUCCAAUUUAUAUUAGUUUUAUUAUAAACAGAGGAAUAAUCAUUUAAUAUUAGGUUCAGCUUAAUUAUCCUGACUCGAAACAGAUUACAUUUUUCGAACAAUCCAUUAAAAGAUGAGGUGGAGUGCAAAAUUAAGAUUAAGAUAAUUCAUUAAAAUCCUUUACCAAAAUUUAUAGCGACUUCUUAAAAAAAAUUAAAGUUGUGUUUAGUAUUGGAAGCCAUAUAAUGAUAUUGGACAAAAAAAAAAGAGGCCAAUUCGUAUAAAAAUUUCAUAAAUUUUGAGAUUUUACAAAUUCAUGUAUUCUUCACACCAAUCGAAACAAAGAAUUAAAAUUAAAAUAAAAUUAUAAAAGUAGAAUAAGUUUUGGUAAUGAAUGGUGUAAUUACUAAUUUUAGAUUAAUUUCAUACAGAUCCCUGCAAAUAUAGUGAAUGAUGGAUAUAUCUUUACAAAGUUUAACUUUCAUAUGUUGUUCUUAUGAAAGUUAUAAUAUUUUCAAAUAUAUCUCUCUGAUUUGUUAUUAUUAGAGUACUGUUUAUAUUUUUAAUUUUGCCAUCACAAAUAUGUCCUUCCAAAAGCCAUAACAGUAUAAUAUAAGAGACGUAAAAAUAUAAAAAACUAACCAGAAUUAAAUAUUUAAUCUAUAUUUAAUAAUUAAACUUUUAUAACGGAUUCUAAUGGCAGGAACAUAUUUGAAAAUAUCAGGACUUUCGUAGAGACAAUAUAAAAGUUGAAACUUUUAGGGAUAUAUUUAUUAUUUAUUAUGUUUGUAGGGACCUGUAUGAAAUUAAUCCUUGCUAAUUAAUCGUUAACGCAUACGGGCCACAACCUUAAUCCGGGCCGGAUUCGGAUCUGUAAUAGUUGGACUGGGCCCAAUUGAACCAAGGCCCGAUAACCUUAAACCCUACCAAACUAUUAAACAGUUUAUCACGGGCAACGCCGCACAUCGAACCCUCUCUCUCUCUCUCUUCCCCGGCGACGGCGAGGAAUCUCCAACGGAGACGCAAAAGAGUAUAUACGGCCACCAUCUCCGGCGAGCCUCGGCGGCGACGCCGCCGCAUAGGGAGGCGGCGACUCGAUCCCAGGGUCCACGCCUCGGCCUUGUGCCCUCUCGCUCAGCGUAGAGCCCCGCCCUCUGCGGCGGAGAACGACGCCGCCGAGAGAAGGCGUAGGAGGAGGAGGAGCCUACCUACCUUCGGUUUUGGCUUCUCCGAGAAGCUGCUUAGGGUCGGAGAAGCGAUUCUAACUCGAGGAUCGAUCGAGAUAGUGAUAGUACUAUCACCUCUCUCUCUCUCUCCGUCUCUUAGGGUUAGGGCAUAGAGGAAGAAUCGGAGAGGAGGUUUGCUGGAUAUAUUGUGUUUUUAGCAUCAUUACCGGAUUAAAGCUCCGUAGUUUGGUUGUAAUCGUUGAGCGCGACCAUGUCGGAUAUUGAUGAAUCAGGUACUCUUUAAUGAUCUCCGUUUUUUUUUUUUUUUUGAUAAUUUUUGUUGUUUUGAUCGUGUUUGAGUUAUAUUACUCUGGGGUUUUCAGAGAUAAGCAGCUUUGGGGAGGAAGAGAACCCCUCUACUUCCCGAGGGAAAGCUAAACAGCACGUGAAACAGUUGCAAAGGCUUCAAGAAAAGGUGGGUUUUUUUUUGGUCCAUGAAGCUGGUAAUGUGCUCACACUUGGGAACUCUUUAAUUCUAAGAAUUUAAGGAGACCGCGUUCUUCUUAUUGUUCAUGUGAUAGGAGUUUAAACAAGCUAUUAAAUUUGUUUCUCCCCUAGAAUUUAUGGUCAGUUGUUCGUCGAGUGGCCUAUUCAGCUGUUUAAGAGAGGAGUGAGGCAUGAAUCAUCUCUAUAAUUUGCUUCUGAUGCGAUCGGCAUUGUACUCUUGCAGGAUCCUGAGUUCUAUCAGUAUCUUAAAGAGUUUGAUAAGGAGCUCUUGGAGUUUCAUGACGAAGAUAUUGAUGUGAGUAUACAUUGCAUUUGUUUUCAAAAAAUUACUGCUUUUUUGCUUAAGAAUAUAUGGAAGCAACCUGUUUGCCGAACAUGUUAUUUAGGAGGACACAGUAACUGAUUUUGAUGAAGAUGUGGAGUCCGAACCUAUCGUCGAGGAGGAGCAGAAACCGUCCGCAAAGGUUAUUACGACUGAAAUGGUUGAUUCGUGGUGCAAAGCAAUAAAAAAAGACAGGAAAGUUGGUGCAGUUCGAUCCCUUCUUCGAGCUUUUCGUGCUGCAUGCCAUUACGGUGAUGAUGGAGAAAAUGAUUCAGCACCAAAAUUUAGUAUCAUUUCUAGCAAUGUAUUUAAUCAGAUAAUGGUGUUUGUUCUGAACGAAAUGGAUGGAAUCCUUAGAGGAUUACUUGAUGCCCCUAUAUCGGGAGGAAAGAAGGAGAUAGUUAUGGAACUGACGACCACUAAAAUGUGGAAGAAGCAUGGAAGCUUAAUGAGACUAUAUCUUGGCAAUGCUCUCCAUAUACUAACACAAAUGACUGAUGAGACAAUGAUAUCUUUUACCUUGAGGCGUGUCAAGGCAUCGGCUGUAUUUUUAGCUGCUUUUCCCUCUCUCUUGAGAAAGUAUGUUAAGGUGAGUAGAGACUGUCCUCUGCCUGUUAAUUUAAUAAGUAGACCUAUAAUUUUUUUUUACAGGGCUCUUACAUCUAUAUCCCAGAAAAGUCAUAAUUUUUUAACAUGUGUAAAAUCUGAAUUUCCAUAUAUAUCCCUCCAAAGUGUAACAUAAAUAUUUGAAACUGCUCAGUUAUCCAUUUAGUGAAGUUAGUUUUCUAUGAGAAAAUAUUUUUGCAGUAGAUAAUUUUGCAGUAAAUAUCUCCUUUGUUAUGGUUUCAUUAUGCCGUUGACACAUCAUUUAUUUAACUUCAGGUUUUGCUUCACUGUUGGGGUACAGGAAGAGGUGCUGCUCCUCUAUUUUCAUUUUUCUUCCUUAGAGAUUUAUGCGUUCGACUCGGUUCUGAUUGUCUUGAUACGAUACUUAGAGGUGUAUACAAGGCUUAUGUUUUGAAUUGCAAGCUUUCUAAAUCAGUAAGUAGAUCAAAGUUGCAGCAUAUUCAGCUCCUGGGAAAUUGCGUCACUCUACUCUAUGGCGUGGACCCACCCUCAGCAUAUCAACAUGCAUUUGUUUUCAUUCGUCAACUAGCAGUGGUCUUACGUGGUGCUCUUACUGAAAGAGGGCCUAAGGUAAUACAAGCGCUUGCUAUCAAGUUAUUGUAUUUACAUAUAUCUUUGUUUACGUUGACUAUCUUCGUGAACAUAUUUAUUUAUUUUUCAUUGUGCUGAUUACAUUAUUUCCUUUUGCUUAUUUAGCUUUUUUACUUCUUUUUUUUUUUUUUUUUGGUUGAAAGGCAGUAAGAGACAAAAAAGAGAAAAAGCAUAAUGAAAGCAACAAGCCUACAAAGCAACAAGUGGAGGUAAGUCCGACUUACAUUUUUAUCUUGUUCUCUUGUUCUUUGUAUGAAAUUUAUCUUCUCUUGUUUUUGGACAGUAGUAUUUCAUGAUAAGCGACUUUGAACUUGAAAGAUUUUUCUACAUGCAAAUUUGUUUUACUUCACUUUAUGAUAUGGCAUUAGUUUUGAGACUUGCUAAACAAACCAAAGGAAAUGACCUUUUUGGUUCACACUUCUGCCAUUAUGUUAAUUAAUGUGAAAGUUUCUGCAUAAUUUCUUUCAGAUUUACAUACUAACCCUACUAAGUGUCAGAGUAAGUCUGAGUUUUGUCGGUUGAAUUAGAGUUCAAAGCAUUCCUCGGUAUUCCAUCAGUUAUUGAUUCUAAAACAAUGCAGCCUGCUUGCUGGAAUGUUCUUACCAGCACUCAGUUACAUAUAAAUUUGAAUGAAAAACUUACUAACAAUGGAUUCUUAACAUUUAUGUGAUGUUUUUUCUUUCAUAUUUUUGCAGAAAGCAUAUCAAAAGGUUUACGAAUGGCAGUUCAUACUGUGCCUCGAGCUCUGGACUGGAGUUAUAUGCUCUUACAACUCAGAAGCCGAUUUUCGACCUUUGGCUUAUCCACUAAGUCAAAUUAUAUAUGGGGUAACAUCUUUGGUUCCUACUCUGCGGUACUUCCCACUACGGCUACGAUGUGUGAGGAUGCUCAACCGUAUAGCUGGAGCCACUGGAUCCUUUAUUCCUGUAUCUUCCCUUCUCCUCGAUAUGCUGGAAAUGAAAGACCUGAGCAAACCCCCUACUGGAGGUGUUGGCAAAGCAAUCAAUCUUCUUAAUAUUAAACAGGUGAACUUUUUUGCAUUUAUUGUUUAAGGCAUUUUCAAAUAUACGCGUAUUCCUGCAAAAUCUGUGUGUUAAAGCAAGUGAGCUUUUGUUGGAGAAACUGCAAAGAAACUUCUUUUUUUUUUUUAAAAAAAAGUGUUUUCUUGCAGGUAGAUAAGGCUACCGUGAAGACACGUUUAUUUCAAGAGGCAUGCAUUUACUCUGUUGUUGAAGAACUUGCUGAACAUUUGGCACAGUGGAGCUACUCGAUUGCCUUCUUUGAGCUGUCAUUUAUUCCCCUUGUUCGGUUACGAACCUUUUGCAAGAACACUAAAGCUGACAAGUUCCGAAAAGAGAUAAAGGAGCUCAUCCAUCAGGUAUCUUGCUAUACACAUGAGUAAAAAGCCUUACAAAUAUCAUGAUUCUUGCAUUUACCCCUCAUAUAUUAAAAUGUACAUUUUAUUUUUACCCCAUCAACCUAUGAGUAUGAUAUUGGUAAGAAAUGCUGACGGGAGGAGGCGAAGUGAGAACUUGUAGUUUUAGGGAGGUAGUAUAUUUGUUUCAGUAUUUCAGGUAAGCAAAGUGAAAAAAAAAAAAAAUCAAAAUACUUACGGCAUGUUUUCUGCGGCUUGCCUCAACAGUAUAAACCAUUUCCAAACAAGAGAGAAAUCAGACUCUAAUUGACUCUUACAUUUCUGUUUUCAAGGUGGAGGCCAACAAUGAGUUCGUAAACUCAAAACGCGCUGCUAUCGAAUUCUCACCAAAUGACCCUGCUGCAGAAUCAUUUCUCCAGGCAUGUCCAAUCAUUUACUCUUUUCAUUUCAUUCCCUUUGUCGAUACCAUCCUAACCUAAUGAGAAAUCGUUUGAAAAGGCUGAAAAGGAAAGCGGAUGCAGCCCUCUGUCGAGAUAUGUGGCCAGCUUACGUGUGAGGGCCCAGAAUAGAAGUGAUGCUAUGGUGGAAAAAAGGUUGGUUGGUUGGUUGGUUUAUUAUUGGCUGGCUUUCAUUUUCCGUGUGUUUUUAUUUACUGUUCAUUGGAGAGUAGCAGUUGGUGAUACCUUUGUCUGAUACCCUCGUGUUCCUUUUCCAGCGUCCUCGUUGGGGCCGAAUCAUCUGUUUUUGCGAAAAAGCUCUCAGAUGUCAAGGAAGAAGACAGCGAGAAGGAUGCUGAAGAAGGUGCUGCUGUUUUCAGUUCAUCCUGGUUGCCGGAAAAGAAGAAAACAAAGUAUGGCUUCUGCUCGUUCGUCGUCCAAAACUUUUCUUCGUCAUAACCCUUGAAGAUUAAUAACUUGUUCCGUGCACAGGGUCAAGAAGGAGAAGAAGACAAAGAAGCGAAGUCAUGAUGAGCAACAAGAUGUUGGUGCCGACGAAGAUAUAGUGGAAGAUCUAGUUCUAAGCUCGGAUGACGAAGUAGACGAGAGCGAUGAUCAGGAGAUAACUGAAAAUGGCUCUCUUUCGGAUGACGAUGAAGACGCCAAAGCAAAGUUAACGAAGGACACACCGGCAAAACAUAAGGGCAGGAAAAGGAAAAGCACGUCGAAGCAGAGGAACAAGGAAAAGAAGUUGACUUCGAUAGCGCCGAAAAAGAAUGGGAAGCGACGCCCACGAAAGAAGGCGAAAAAGAGUGCUCAUGGUUGAAAGACUUUUUUUUUUUUGUUCUUUCCAGCAGGUGUUAAUUAUACUUUCAAAAUGGCGAAGGAGAGAUGUCAAAAUAUGUAAACUAACCUUUGCCCAAGUAUUACUAUGCAAUUUUCAAUCAGUGGUCACAUUUUUUAUGUAUUAUAUCUACGUGGCGUAGCUAAAGUUUUAGGCGAGUUUGUUGUCCUCAAUCAAGUAAUCAACGAUCCAACAAGUGGUAUCAGCACAGGCACGGGCCCAUGGAUUUAAAUUUCACAUGCUACAAAUUUAUACGUGUGUUGUAACUAUCUCUAUGUAUUGAGUAAAUUACUUGUUUAUUUUUAAUAAUUAGAGCUUUGAAAUUAGUAAUUAACACCAAAGAUCCAACAGUUAUCUUUGUUUAUUUAUACGGUCUUAAAUAGAACUAUGAGAACUAAGGGCUGUGCUCCUAAUCUCGGGGCACCCUCUGAAAUUAGGAAAAAGUUGAAGAAAGAAAAAACAUGGGCUAUUUGUUUAUUGAAUAUUGAUUCCAAACUGAGUAAGCUCACUUGUUGUAGCUCGUUGAGCAAUAAACUUAAAUUCACGAAUAAUUACACUUGGUGCUAAAUCAAACAGAAAAAAGGAAAAAAAAAAAAAUCGGGAGAUUGACUUGGUGGAGAUAAACAGUAGAUUCAUAUCAUAAUAUAGCAUCAGAAUCCAAAUCUCACAUCUUAUCACUCAGAUCCUGAUUCCAUCUGAUCAGAAUCUGAAGUAUUAGAACAUGCUUCGCAUUAAACUAUUUAAAACUCACCCAAAAAAAGAAAAAAAGACGAGUCAGAAUUUGAUUCGGACAAUCUUAUAGGAUCUAUUCAGCUAAUUUAAACUACGGAUAAAAUCGAUGAGAUAAAAAUUACACAAAGCAUAUCAUGAACUCUCCGAGUAGGAGUAGGCAUUGACACUACAUUAUUAUUACCUCUUCAUUGAAACCGAUCAAAAUUCUAUCUACAUUCAUGACGAACUCGAACGCAAUAAUGAUGCUCUAUGUCCCCGAGAAAAAGGCGACCCCCGCUUCCCGCCGCAGCCCCCUGGGCCGAGCUCUCGCCACCGCCGGUGUCAUCACCAUGCGGUGGGACAUUGAGAAGCCGGUCCGCGGCUCCGUCCCCGCCGCCGCCCUCGAGCUCCGCCGCAGCGCCCUCCUCGCCUACUACCGUGCCCUCCCCCACGUUGCGCGCGCCGCGUCGGGCGACUUCGUCAGAUACGCAUGGCACGACUGCUUCCGGCCCUCGAAGAAGGCGUCGACGCUCGCCUCCGCCGAGUUGGAGCGGGCCGCCGUGCUGUUCAACCUCGCGGCGGUGCACUCGCGGAUCGGUGCGGCGGCUGUCCGGGGCGUGGGGGACGGGCGGAGGAGGGCGUGCGACGCGUUCCAGCGGGCGGCCGGCGUGUUCGCCUUCUUGCGGGAGGGCGUGGCGCGGGACACGGCCGUCGGCUGCGCAUCGGUGGACGUGUCGGCGGAGUGCGUCGGGAUGCUGGAGAAGCUCAUGCUGGCGCAGGCGCAGGAGUGCUUCUUCGAGAAGGCGACCGCGGAUGCCAAGCACCCCAGACUCUGCUCCAAGAUCGCUCGGCAGGUGCGUUGCAAAAACUUAUAAACUAAAUAGCCAGCGUAUAUAUUCAAGAACUAAAAUCGAAUUGAAUUGCUUAGUUCGCUAGACUAGCCUUCUUUGAAUUGUCUUUGUUUUGAUGCUUUUGAAUCUUCCACGUAUCUGAAAUUCUAAGUACAUCAAUUCAAAUCACUUGGUGUAAUUUUUCUCCUUAUUGCUUUAUUUCGUUGCUAAAAUUUUCAUUACAACCGUGUUAUGUCUGCUCAACUGAUUGUUUCGCACACUCAGGUCAGCCUUUACUACGAGGAAGCUGCCACCGCGCUCACCGCUCCACCGCUCGACCGCCACCUCGACAAAACAUGGCGCUCGUACGCGCAGACGAAGGCCAAACUGUACCACGCCGAGGCCUGCUACUGGUGCUCGCUCGAGCUCCACGAGCAGGGGGAAAUCGCCGAGGAGAUCGCUCGCCUCAAGUCAGGGCUGGCCGGCCUGGCCGCCGUAAAGAAGCUCGCGAAGGGCGCCGCUGCGUCUGCCGUCUCGCGGCUCGAGCUCGACAUGAGCCGGAACCUGGAGAGGGCGAACCGCGAGAACGUCACGGUCUAUUUCAUGCGGGUGCCGAGCGAGAGCUCGUUGCCUCCGUUGCCCGCGGCGUCGCUCGUUCGCCGGACCCCGAUGGACGUGAUUCUAGGGGUUACCGAAGAAAGCUCAAAAUCACCGGGUACUUAAACAAGGUGAUCAAAGAGCCCGUUGUACUUUGGGCGCCAAGUGUGUGAGAAAGCUCAGUUUGUUUUUUUGAUUAAAUUAUAUAAAAAAAUUUCUCUCAAUAUUCACUUUUUUAUUUUUUUUCCGACUAUGAAAAUCUAUAUUUUGCUUUCUUAAAAUUUAAAAAAUAUUCACUUCAGCUCCCGCCAUGAAUGUUUUGUUAAAGUUUUGUUUAUAUUUUCUUAUUAUAUAUUUUUUAUAUCUAAAGUAUUUUUGAAACUCAGAUCUCAUAUGCGCCUCUUUAUUCCUCACUGACGUCUUGGCCGGACCGCCUCGCUCUCGCCCACCCUUAUGUCUGCGCCCACACAAACGCUGUCGCCCUCCUCCACUGUCUUAUCCUCGCCCUCGCCCAUCUCUUCGUUCACAUCUAUCCCGAUCUCUUUCCUACAGUCGCAAAAAUGGAGAGACGGCGAGAAUGCUGGAGGAACGGGAGAGCCGGUGGAGAAAACGGAGUCAUAACUGGGGUCAAGGGAGGCGCGAAGAAUGGAGGAGGUAAAAGACUGCGGAUGAACAAGAUUGGAGAAGAGACGAAGAGAAUGAAGGACAAUUUGAUCAUUUUGUCAUCAUAUAUAGUUAACACUGUAUCUCUGUGAAUAUUUUUUUAAUUUUUAAUAGGGUAAAGUGUAGAUUUUUGAGUUACAAAAAACGAUAGUGAAAAAAUAAAAGAGAGGUUUUAUGUAAUUUUAUCUUUUUUUUUUUGUAUUUUAUUGGGCUAAGUGGAUGCUUGAGGUGGGUGAUCUUAUAUACUUGUAUAUAAGUUUCUUCUGUUCAAAGCAACACUUGUGUAUAAAUCUCAAAUAUGUGUAGGAGUUGGUGGUUCUAAUUAGGAAAAUAACAUCUUUCCUGAGGGGAAGAAAUAGUUUUAAUUCAUGCCAUUCAUAUAAUGUCUUUUAAUGGGACCAUCCUUACUAACAUUUUGUUGAGAAGAAAUUAAGUAGCCUAUCAUGAACUCACUUAUUUAUAACCGUUGAGAUUUUUUAUUAUUCUGUUUGGAUGUUCGAAUAAAUUAUUCAAUUAGGAAUACAAUCAAACAUCUAGAACGAAAUAAUAUUUCGAUCUCGUUUUCUGAAAUAAGAUAAAUUACUUUUUUGAUGAAAUAUGAUAUCCUACUAAUUCAUAAAUAGCAAGACCUUUCAAUGAUAAUGAUCAAGUUUUUUCUUUCCGAUCACAUAUAAAAAUUCUCGUCAUUUGAAUAUAUGAAUAUCUUAUUCUAGGUAUACCUUUAAUUUACUUUAUCUCUGAAAAAGAAAAAAAAUCUUUAAUUUACUAAAUAAGUUAUAGUAUUUGAUAGAUGAGCAAUACAUCAAAAGUCUAAUAAGAUAGAAUAACAUAUAUCACUUUUUAGUCAAUUCUUUUUUCUAAAAAUAAAUUAUUUUAUAGGUGAGUAAAAAUUAAAUUUUUUAUCUUCAAUUAUACACGAAAUUAUUUUUUCCUGCCGAAUAAGCUAAUCAAGAAUAAUUUAUUUCCAAAUUCAAACACGAGGAUUUUAUAUCCUACCUAAGAGUGGAUGAUGGUAAGAUAUUUUAAGGCGCAAAAAUCAACCAUCCAAGGAAAACUUCGUGAAUAAGUUAUUCAAAAAUAACUUAUUUCGACAUCCGUAUAAUGAAUUAGUUAUAUGCGACAUCCAAAUAUAUAGUUUGCUUGUUUGUUGGAGAACAAGUGUUUAUAUUAUUAGUUCUGAUUUAGUAUGCAUUUAAAUUAACAAGAAUUGGGUUGUUGCCUUGUUGGGCUCACUACACAUAAAAAAAUUGAAAACAACUUAAGGUUACAAAAUAAAAUACACGAUUUAAGUAUAAAGUAUGCAUAAGAAACAACUUAUAUUUUAAAAUAUUUGUAAUUUUCGAGAUUUUCGAAUGGCCCUGCCUUUAUAAUCAAUCAAAUUAAAAUAAAAAACUUUUAAACAUAAAAAUUCAAGAAUUAAAAUAAUAAGGAUAAACUUCAAAUACCAUCCUUAUGGUUUUGCAUUUUCUCACUUUAAUACUCUAUAGUUUAAAGUGUAUUAAUUUAGUGCCAUAUGAUUUUAUUUUUCUCUUUUUGUCUGCUCCUCUGAUAACAUUUCGUUAAAUUAUAUAUAAAAAAUUUCAGAUACCCUAAUUAGGUUUAUCGAAUAUUCACUUUAGUACCCUUUAGUUUUAAUUUUGUCAUUGAUUUAACGAAAAAAAAAAGUAGAGAAAUUUUUUUAAAAAAAAAACCAAUGGGUACUAAAUAUAAUACGAUACUAAAAUAUAAAAUUGUGAAACUACGGGGUGGUAUUUGAAGUUUUCCCAAAUAAUAAUAAUCCUACUAAAACCGUCGAUGAUUAAACCCGUUUGCGCGUGACCGCGCCGAGCCCGGGACGCGCCAACGACCGAUCGCAAUCGCCGCGCGAGCCCCCUCCGCCCAUCGGGCACGAAUCUUAAAGCUCGAGACCCCAUUUCUCGCCGCCCACUCCCAAGAUCCCAACUCCUCCUCGUCCUCUCCGUCCCCGCUCAUCUCCCUCUUCCUUCGCCCCGAAGCGACCUCCUGCGAAAACCCUAACCCUAAUUCCAGAUCCUCCUCUCUUCUCCGCGACCGCUCCCAUGGCGACGCCGUCGACGGGGGUGAACGUGAUGCUCGCGGUGCACGAGAAGAAGACGAGCCCCGUCGACAUCUACCUCGACCUCCGCCGCGACCUCCUCCUCGCCUACUCCCGCGCCCUCGCCCUCGUCGAGCCCCGCUUCCCCAUCUCCCCCGACCGAUCCCACGUCAGAUGCGCUCCGACCUCGAGCGCGCCCCCGCCGAGUCCUCCCUCGACCUCCGCCGCGACCUCCUCCUCGCCUACUCCCGCGCCCUCGCCCUCGUCGAGCCCCGCUUCCCCAUCUCCCCCGACCGAUCCCACGUCAACUCCCUCUCCUUCACCUGGUUCGACGCCUUCAAACCCUCCAAGAAGGUCUCCUUGCCCUCGAUCCACCUCGAGAGGGCCGCCGUGCUCUUCAACCUCGCCGCCGUCUACUCGCAGAUCGCCCUCGCCGCCGAUCGCACCACCGCCGCCGGGCUCAAGCAGGCCUGCGGCGGGUUCCAGAGCGCCGCCGGCGCCUUCGCCUUCCUGAGGGAGACCGUCGCCAGGAAGGCUGCCGCGGCGGGGGCGACGCCCGACGUCUCGCCCGAGUGCGCCGCCAUGCUGGAGAAGCUCAUGCUCGCGCAGGCCCAGGAGUGCUUCUUCGAGAAGGUGAUCGCCGACGCCAAGCCCCCCGGCCUCUGCUCCAAGAUCGCAAGGCAGGUAUAUAAUGCGAUCCUGAAUAAUUAUCCCUCUCGCGCUUCCCGUACGAUAUUUGCAGCAAUUGCUACUCACUUUCAUAUUGCAUUACGAAUACUUUUGUGAAAUCAUGAUGAUCUGAUUCACUAGGUAUCUUGUAGAAUACAGUAGAACUGAAGUUUAGAGCUUUUAUUGUUUAACAUGAAGAGAAAAAGGGUAUCGGAACUGAUACUGAUUAGGAAGCAUAAUGAAAUGAAGCUUAAUAUCUUCAAACCGCAAAUCUUAUUCCGUAACUUUCACAGGUCGGCCUUUACUAUGAGGAAGCUUAUGCUGCCCUGAAUGCUGCUCCGCUUAGCCAGCACUUUGACAAGACAUGGGUCUCGCAUGUCCAACUGAAGGCAGCUCAGUUCUAUGCCGAGGCUUGCUAUAGGUAUUCAUUGGAGCUUCAUGAGAAGGAAGAGAUUGCAGAGGAAAUAGCCCGAUUAAAGAUCGGGAUCGGUGCCCUAGCUGAUGCGAAGAAGACCGCCAAGGGAGUUGCUGCGCCUCUCUUGGAUGCCGUCUCCAAACUAGAGAGUAAUAUGAAUCGCAACUUAGAGAGGGCUCAAAAGGAGAACGAUCGGGUUUAUCUCAUGCGGGUUCCAGCAGCAAGUUCUUUGGGUGCUCUACCUGCAGCUUCUCUCGUGAAGCCCACCAAUAUGGCUGAACUUUUAGAUGCUAGCAAAGAGAGGCUCUUCUCAGGUCUUGUUCCUGAUGGCAGCAUGAAGGCCCUCUCUAGAUACACCGAAAUGGUUGAUGACAUCAUCAGGACUCAAGCGGAGAAGUUGCAGCAGGGAAGUGAGAUAACGAGGGUUAGACUGAAGGAUAUGGAUCUGCCAGAUUCUAUUUUAUCGCUGGAGGGUAAUAUCAGCCUACCUUUGGAUCUUAAGGAAGAUGUGGAAGCCGUACAGAUCAGCGGCGGGCCUGCUGGCCUGGAAGCAGAGUUACAGCAGCUCAGGGAUUUGAGGAGGGUUAAUCAGGAACUGCUGGUCCAAACUGAGGAGCUUAUGCAGAAGGAAGCAAGUGAGGAUGCCCAGUUCCGAACCCAGUUCGGGACACGGUGGACGAGGCCUCAGUCCAGCACCUUGACGAAGAGCCUGCAGGAUCGGUUGAACCGGUUCGCUGCAAAUCUCAAGCAAGCAGCAGAUAGUGACGCGCGGAUUGAGCGAGCCGUUAAAGACAACUAUCCUCUCAUGUCAAUUCUUGACCGCAGACCGGUAUGAUUUACCUGUGCCGUCAUGUUUGUUGAUUUUGUGAAUGAAAUAUUGUCUCAGGUGAAUGUAAAUACAUGAAGUACUGUUUUUCCAUUUAUAUGGCAACCUAAAACUCUGUUUAUCCUCAUUGAUGUAUAACUCGCCAGUUUUCUUUUGAAACAUUUGCUUCAUUGGAUUUUCUAAGGAAUCUAGUUGUGGACUGAGAUGAAUCUGCAACUCCAUGAUGCAGCAAUUUCCAUCCCCUGCUUUUUAGACAGUCAUUUAUGCUUCCUUAACUCUUCUUCUUUUGAUGGAUGACUAGAAUCCGAUGAUAUCUGUAUUUUUCAAGAUUUAGUGAGCAUGUGAAGCAACUAAUGGGAGCACUUUAUCAGGCCCCAAGUGCUUGCAUUCAGGCAUAUCUGUCAUACCUUUAUAAUAAAUAAUCAUGUUUUAUUAACCUGUUUGAAUUGGGAACACUAGCUUAUUUUCAUUCAUAUGUUGGUAGCACAGUGCUUCUGUAGUUUGACUUUGUUUCCCCUGGGAACUUACCCUAUUGUUUUACUAAUUGCAGAUAGAAUCUGCCCUUCCAAGUAUUGCAAGGCCUAUAAUGUCGCUGGAUGGGAAUGAAGAUGCUUUAGUUGGAGCCCUCAAACAGAGCUUGGUAAUGUACAGUUUAAUCAUUCAGCAUAUCAAUUUAAAUUGUAAUUUCAGCAAUCUAAGAGUAUUGUUUUAAAUUAGUAGAACUUGUGAUGCUGCAACCCUCAGUUUGCAUCUUGGUUGUUUAUAAUUUACAGCAUAAGAAACACUGAUUCAGCUAUACUGUCGUUAUGUGUGAAAUUUUCAGCAUCGAUAUACAGUACUUAGCACCAGCCACACGACAAUGUUGACAUCAGUUAAUUGUUGAGAUCAUUACAGUUUCAGUUUAGACUGGUAGUAGACGUACUCUUACACUUAAAGUUGGAAGUAUAAUGAAUGUGUGUGUAGGCUUGUCAACAUAGUAGAGUGUGAGAGAGAGCGCUUGUGUGGGGUGGCUGUGUGAGGGAGGAUACCGGUUCUUUUAUCAAUGACUAAACUAAACUUUCGAAUAUUAAGCUGAAUUCGGCUCUCAAGGUUAUAAUUACUAACUUAAACCGUGACUUUGUUAUUUAAUAGUAAUAAUAAUCUUAAUACAGACAGUUUGAGCACUACAGAAAUAUUAGAAUCUGGUUGCAGAAGUGGCUGUUGAUACAUUUUCUUUUAUUUGUCUGGGUCACGUAGAGUGCCAGUUAGAUCUUUGUUGCAAUCUGGUACUCAACAGCUACCUCCCUUCAGUGCUGAUCUUUUGGAGCAUUUCUUUCUUGAAUCAGUCUUGUGGAGUUCUUCACUUCUCUUGUUAUUUUCCAAUAUGGGCUGUUGAAGAAGUACUGGAUCAAAUCUUUUCUUCGCAAACGUGUGAACUAAUAUUUUACUUUCAUAAUUUCUCUUUUGGCCUGCUGCUCAUUUAAUAGGGGCAUUGUAAAAGCAAGCUAAAAAAGGGCUUGUAUUAAGUGUAUUUUAAAAUUCAUCCUUAGUAUAUCACAGGUAUCUAGUAUCUUGUACUAACAAAUUCUUGUUCAUGCAGAGGCAACUGGAGAACCUAGGAGCACAACGGGCAGGCCUCGAAGACAUGCUAAAGGAGAUGAAGAGAAAGGUGUGGGUUCUAUUGUGCUUAUGAAUUUGCUGUUAAAAGGACAAAAUGGAACCUAGUUUCUACUUUUCAUUAUUCUGUUGAAAUCGAUAUUUGGAAGAUAUAUAUUCUGUCUACCUUGUCUGCAUGUCAAGAUGAUGGCUAUACAUAAGUAAAGUGGCUUGCGUUGUAUAUGAUCUCUGGCAUUUUCCAUAGAAUUUUGAUCUUUACAAAAAAUGCAGAUACUCAAGAGAAAGUGCUUCAGGGUUGCCUUUAUAAGAACGAACCACUUAUUGAUUUUACUAGUACAUGGAUUAGCGUUAAAUAAACCAUAAGCAUAUUUGACUUCUAUGUUGUCGAAGUUGUAAUCUUUUUAUUUUACUCGAUUGCAUUCCUUUUUUAUUUUACUGUAGGUGUAUCAUUAUUUACUAAAAUCUGAUUAUUGCUUACUUGUGCUGAUCAUGCUUCAAUAAUCAGUUUUGUUUUAACUAACUUUUUAGUUCUAUAAUGCACUUUACUAGCUUGUAGAUUGGAUUGACAAGCCAGUAAUGGUCUACUGUGCCAAUGCUGUAUUUCUUUCAGGAUGAUAUCUUACCAAAGUUGAUGGCUGGCACCGGAUCACAUGAAGAUCUCUUUAAAAAGGAGAUAGCAAAGUAUGAUCCCAUCUGUCAAGAAAUUGCUAAGAAUAUAGAGGCACAGGAGCAAUUGUUACUGCAAAUACAGGCAAGCUACCUGCUCUGAAUUUUUACCCAGUGAAAUGCCCUUGUUCAAUUCAUACAUACCCUUCAUUUCUUAGAUUUCAUAACAUUGUCUUAAUGGCAAGUGACAAUCGUUUUGAUUACCUUCUGCAUAAUUGAAUUUAGACUCUCAGUUGCUAAAUAAAUACUCCUUUUCCUUUGUUUCGUCUACAGGCUCAAAAUGAUGAAUUUUCUAGUGUCUUUAAUCUGGAAGACUACAAAGGUAUUUUCUUCUUUGUUUCUCUCCCUCAUUGAGGUGACGAGUAAUUGCCUAAAUUCAUGUGUUUCCUUUUUAUCACUCUUCUAUUGCUUGUGAUAGAUAGAUUCUUGGAUUUGCUUGAUUUAAUUUUAAUACGUUUAUUUAUGGACUUUUGGUACCAGAAAGCAUUUGACAGCUUUAAAAGCGUCCUUAUCAUCUAUUUCCUUCAGUAUUGAUCAUUUUCAUUUAUAUCACUUGUCGGAUGGUUGGUUGUUGAUUAACUGCUAACAAUCAAAAUUUCUCGCCAGUUGCUCGUGAGAAAACUUUCAAGCAAAUCGCAGCUGCCGUUGCAAAAUACCGUGAAAUUAAGGAGAACAUCAAUGAGGGGUUGAAGUUUUAUGUUACUUUACAGGUGCGCAAGUUGCUACACAUUAGUAUGAAACGUACGAAAGUUACCUGCAUCAUAUUCCCUCUUUAAUUCGACACUUACCCUCUUACAUAAUCUUUUAACAGGAUGCAAUAAACAACAUAAAGCAGCAAUGCAGCGACUUCGUAAUGACCCGGCAGAUCCAGUGCCGCGAGAUGAUCGAGGAAGUACAGAGGCAGAUAGCAGGAUUCAGCUUCUCCGGUGGAAAAACAGGCCACAGAACGAACCAGCAAAGAAACGUUCCUCCUCAACCAAACCAACAGACCACCCCGCCCCCAACCCAUCCUGCUCAGCCGCCACCGCCUUCAUACCAUUAUCCACCCAGUGAACCAAGGCCAGGAUAUUCUCAACCCUACCCAGCCUAUGCCUCCUCACCACCUCCUCCUUACCACCAAUACCAGCAGCCACCACAACAGCCACCGCAGCAGCCGCCCAACACCGACUAUGGCCAACCGGCUUAUCCGGGAUGGCGCGGGCCGUACUACAACGCGCCACCACCGCAACAACACCAGCAGCAACCGGGACCUUAUUUGCAACCGCCGUACACUAUUCCCGGGUCUUAUCCGCCUCCUCAACAGGGCAAUUACUACAGGCCUCAGUGAAGUACGGUCGAUGCCGAAACUAUUUGUUGGCGUGUUAGUCGCUCGGUUUCAUUGUGAAUGGUUUCCCAGAUAUAAUACUAUUCUAUGUUGGGACUGUCAUGCUAUUUUUUUUUUUUCUCUUCUUUGUUGGAUAGAGACUCUAUACAUAUUACUGGUACAGAAUAAUAUGCUGAAGUAUUAGUUGCUUAGGUCUCCCGAUUCCCGAUUUGUUAAGGUUCCGCAGUUGCAGGGUCUAGAAAACUAUUCGAGUGAAGGAUAUUUUGGUGACUUGCUGGGGGUUCUGAACCUUGUUCAUAAACUUUGCUGGUAUGUGUGAUGUGAUUUUGUAUAAAGUGGAACGUGUUUCUAUUUUUUUGUGAUUUUAAUCGAGCAGUAAAAUAAUCCCCCUGGAGGUUGCUGUGGAUGGUUUUUGUUGCAAUUUCUUGGAAACUUGUAAUCUCUUUGUAAAUCUUCUCUUCCCAUGGAAAUGCGCCAACCACACCAAUGAAGAAAAAAAGAUUUAGUUGGUCGCUAGUUUUAUCAUCAGCCCCAAGUUCUUUCUCCCUGAUAAUAGCAUUGAGAGGAUGGUAAAACAACUGUGGCUCGAGUGCUUUAUUUUACGGAGAUCAAAGGUGUAGAGAGAGAGAGAACCUUGCAAGAGGGCUUUAAUCUCCCACCCAGGAAAUUUUCUUUUUUUUUUUUUAAAAAAAAAGGGCAAUUACCAGAUAAAGCCAUUGGAUACAGUAUGAUCGAGCAAUCAUACUUCUGUAUUCAGUUUCAUUCAUAUAACAAAGCUGCCGAAGAUAAAUGAGGAAGAAACGUUAAAAAUUUGUUAGUUAUAUUCAGUAUCAUACUCGGGCAAAAACUAUGACAGAGAAAAGCAACGUCCCGGAACAAAGACAUCAGUUGAAACUAAGAAUAUGGUGGAUUAACAAACAUAGGCAAAAUUUACUCCUAGAAGCCGAACAAAUAGGCAAAAUUUACUCCCACAAGCUGAUCUAGUUGGCUCUUCCCACCAACAAUAAAAAAAGCAGAGAGAGAGAGAGAGAGAGAGAGAGAGAGAGAGAGUCGAAUGCAAUUUUAGGGAACUUUUUGUUUUUAUUUAACAACAGAAAGAUUCAAAAUUAAUUCCUCCCAUGUGUGGCCACAACCAAGUUAGGACUUCAAAUGGUUGCUUAAGAAAUCAGAAUACGAUCUCCUGCACCGACUUGUCACAACAUCAAGUAUUGCAAGCUUCGAAUUCACCGGAAAAUCUUUAGCCUAAUCUAAGCUCAGUAAAAGCUUUACGAACAGCCUAAUAUAAUCUAACAUGUCACAAAAAGAUCAACUUUUAACUGUGUGUGUAAAAAUAGCACUCGGGAUGGGUGGUCUUUCCUGUCCAUUCAAAGUCAUGAAGCCCUACAGAAGGCUCUAUGCUGCUUUCUUCUGGUCGGAAGAUCCGUCAAAUUUCAAGGUUGAGAUCGCCAUGUUGAGGAUUAUGAAACUUGUUCCUCGAUUCAAAAAUUCUCGGAUUAAUCAAAGAUAAUACAUGAAUAUAUAGAGAUUCCAGAUCAAAAGAGAUUUUUUUUUUUUUUUUAGGGUAAGAAGAUCCGCCUAACAUUUAAAUGCUAGUAAGUCUAAAAGUGCCGGUAGGGUAUGAUUCAGUUGUGUCCAUAUCUGAUAUCUGAGUUGUAAACAUCUCUGUAGGAGCUCUGUUCUGAUCUGUAGGGGUCCCUGUAGGAACUCUGUGCAAACUAACCACGAUAAGGGAAAAAAACAAAAACAAUUCAAUGUCAGGGUUCUACAUUUUAAAAUCUCAUACCAUUUUGCUAAGAUCAUCUUAACUAUCUGAACGUGGCAGUAACUCGAGGAAAUUCAAAAUGGGUUUUCACUGAGAAUACCUGACGGGGGUCAGAUAGACUGCUAGCACCUGCUCCCAUGUAAGAUGCAGCCACAUUGUUAGGAGCCCUAAUCUCAACAGAGUUGAUUCUACUUGGAUACCUGCUUACAGUACAAAAAUUAACCUAUCAGUGGCCUUCCUCCACCAGAGGAUCAGAUUUCCUAGAUGUUCAUUGAAUAGGUGCAUAUCUAUAUACAAAAUUGGAAAGAGUGACUUGGGCUGUUUUUGUCGUUUUGUCUCUCUCUUUCCCCCUAACUACCAUUAUCUCAUUAAAUUCGAAUAUGAAUUAUGAGAAAUUACAACUUCCUUUUAUCUAUUGGGAUUUUGUGAGAGCUCAAAUAUCUAAUUUCCAACUAAACCAUUAACUAACGCCACCCUACUAACUAUGCCUAAUCUUAUUGUCCCGCUUAGGUACUCAUUCUUGUGUUAAUAGCAUGUGAAUUGCUGCUAGUAUUCAGAAAAGUUGGAAGACAAUAAUACCCAGCAACAGUAGUUGGUCCUGGAUAACCCUGAGCUUCAUAAAUUUGUGCUGCACCCUGAAAAGAAACCGGAAAAUCAUAUGCAGAACCUAAGAAACCGGAAAUGGCAUGAACAACAAGUGAAGGCCGGGAAGAAAAACAACAACAACAAAGGAAAGCGGCAAUGAUGUGAUCUCAUAAUUGAACGUAAAGCUGCCACUGAACUGUAGCUCUAAUACCAUCAACUACUGCACAGCCUUUCACGAGAGCAAUGUGUGUAAUAAUAUUCAGGAUCUUUGAGUUCCUUGAGCAUGCAUGAAAAUUGUGAGCAUCAACGAGAAGAUGAAAAGCACUUAAUUUUCGGCAAAGUACAACCUACAGCUUUGCAAGUUUAUAUUCUCCUUCGAUGUCCUCUUGUAAAAACUAAACAUCUUUCAUGUGAUAUUUCAAAUAGUGGCUAACGGAAAAAAUUGAAGUGUCGAUAUCCUGCACAAUUCUUAUUGAUGAAGUUCAUGGUAAAAAUUCAAAAACCUUCCACGCAUAAUUGCACAACGAAAUAAAAUGCAGCAGCAUAAUCUAAAAAACUUAAAAAAAAAAGCCUCGCGAGAUAGUGUGACAUCCCAAUAGUACCGGAAUGGGAUUGUGAUUGAGUAUAUAAGAGACCAUAAAUUCUAAUAAUAGUAACCGAGCUUAAGCAUUUUGAGCCAGUGAUUUGAGUCCAAUGAGUUAUUAUUGUUAGCGGAUCGGGUCGUUAUAUUUGGUAUUAAAGCCGGUUCACUAGCUGGAAGUGUGAGGUGGGUCUUGCAUCGCCCGGUGAUCUUGGAUGUAUGUGUGAUUGGGCUGACGAAAACAGCAUGACUUAAACAGGAGGAGUCUGUGACACCCCAAUAGUCCCACAUCGGAUGGGAAUGGAAUUAUGAUUGAGUCUAUAAGAGACCAUGGACCCUAGUAAUAACAACUAGGCUUAAGCACUUUGGGCUAGUGAUUUGGGCUUAAUGAGUUAUUAUUGCUGGUAGAUCGAGUCCUUAUAAGCAAAAGAAAUCUAACGGAAGAGAUAAUAAGGAAAAGAAAAUAAAAAGGUGAAAUUCUGCACUGUAAAGUUACAAGACAGUGGACCAAAUGAAAUCAGAAAAAAUACCUUUGGAUUAUCAUAACCAACAGAAUUCCCGGUUCUGGGCAUGCCCGAUGAUGGUGGAGGUCCUCUACUAGGAAAGCUCUCCGGAGAAGGAUAGCCAUGGUAAGAAGAAACCAUAGGCCUGGAAUAGUUAUGCGGAGGAGCAUACCCACGGUAAGAAGAACUCAUAGAUUCCUUAUAGAAAGAUGGACUUCCAGGUGGCGGUAAUUCUCUAGGAGGCAUGCGUUCUGUAGGAUAAAGUUCACGGAAAGGAGGCGGCGGUACAGGAUUCAUAACACCACUUCCGCCUCGAAAAGUCCUCGUUCUAAGCCGUGAAGCUAUCUCAGAAAGCGCAUCCCGUGCAACAAUAGCGUUUCCAGAAAUCUGAAAGUGUUAGAAAGAUAAAAAGAAUACAAAUAAGUAAACCAUAACACAGGGAAGAAUCAAUUAAGGACUAAAUAUAAUGCUCACCUGCACAAGCUCCUCAUUUGCGGAGGUAUAUUUUGGUUUAUCCUCUUUCGAGAACAAACGAAUAUCUGCCCUUGUUCGCCUUCUCAUCUCUGUUAUUAUGCUGCCACGUUCCCCAAGAAUACAGCCAACCUUACCUGAUGGAACAAGAAUCCUAGUAGUCACAACCCCUUUCUCGGAGGUUGUACUCGUUCUGCUUUGAAGCAGAAGAAGAGCUUCGAUUGUUGGAGAUGUUGGAUCAGAAGGCACCUGAGUGAUUUGAUUUAUAUUUUCAAAGAGUGAAUUGAAAAUGAGGUCAAACUUCAAAUACUAAAUUGCUAAAGUGAAACUACGAGGAUAAAAUCAGAGUAAGAGUCAAACUUGGGACUAAGUUUGUAAUUAACCCAAAAGCCUACCUCCUUAGAUGAGAUAAUAAUGACCCGUUCCUCCGCCUCGGGAUCCGUGUCCUCGACUUGAAUGCUAGCACCGGUUUGAUGUUCCAGUUGUCUUACAUUGACCCCAGAUUUCCCAAUAACCCCACCAAUCUUAGCAGUGGCACACAAUAUCCUCAUAGAAAACUCUUCUGUUGUUUCCCUACUAUUUCCGCCACGACUAUUGCUAUAUCCACCUGGAGCAUAUGCAGAUGGUUCAUUUCUAUAACCAUCAUACCAUCGCAUUGGAGAUGUCGCACCACCACGCCGGUGAGACCAAAUUGUAUCUGAUUGAGGUAAAGGAGGGACAGGGCCAGCAGGCUCGUAUAAACUUCGAGUGCUGGCAUGUAUUAUAUCUUCAAGAGGAGGGUUUUCCUUGCGAGGAUGUUGAUGCAGCCUAGAAGAAAUUUCAUACAGAGCCUUUCUCACAACAGAAGGGCUUCCUGAUAUCUGAAAAUAAAGCCAAAGCCACAUGUUAGAUGUAAAAAAGGUUAUGACCCAAAAAACACUACUAGAAAUUUGGAUUUUACAGAUCAUGAUCGACCACAACGAUCAAAUUAUACAAGCAAACUAAAUGAAUCAUGAAUUCAUAUUUUCAAACAAUUGAACAGGAAAAAAGAUAGAAUGCGUAAGAUGAACAAAUAUUUAGAAAAUACAGCUAAAUUCUCCAGCUGUCGAAACCAACUGAAAACAGGUAAGAGUGAUAGUGCGUCAUAUUCAUAAUACUGGGGGGAACUAAGAAAUGAUGUCCUAAUUUGAUCGAAAAAGCAAACUAACAAAGCAACAUGACCUAAAAUUAGCCGAGAUUUCAGAUACAAAAUAUCAGUUAACUAGAAAUUUUGUAUUAAGUCAAGGAAAUCAGGAUUGAAGUGAAAUUCCUUACGAUCGAACUAUCAUUUCACUAGAAAUAUUGCACUAAGGUUUUAAGGUAAAAUUCCAUACGGUAUAGUACUCAAAAAGAUAUUACCUGAACCAAUUCAUCAUUACUCAUGGAACAAGGUGGAAGAUGCUCUGACGGCAAAAGGCGGAUGGUCGCACCAGUCUCACUCCGCAGUUGUUGUAUGAUAGUGCCACCUUUGCCCAAAAGACAGCCAACUUGAUUGUUUGGAACCAAAAUGCGGGCACUGACAGAAUCAUCUGAAUCAUUCUUUUCAUGCACCACGCCACCAUGCAAAAUCUCAUCUGCCGCAAUCCUAUCAUUGAUCUUCAACAAGGCAUCCUGGGCUGCACAAUGUGGUUUUAGAUUCUCAAAUUCGUUAUCACCGGAAGUAACACCAUCAAUACCUUGAUCUGAAUAACUAAAAAUAAUAAUAACUCUCUCCUCAGCCCCAGGAAUAGCAUCGGCAACCCUUAUCUUUGCACGAGUCUCAUCUCUAAGUGCAUUAAUAAUUUCACCCCCUCUGCCCAAAACACUCCCAAUCUUUUUGACAGGGCAAAGGAUCCGAUAUACGGUAUCAAUCGGUUUGGAGGACAUAGAACCAUCAUCAUGGCUAGGGUUUGGCCUUUUCUUUUUCCUGUUAUCAAAGUGGGAGCGUGGGCGCUCCCUGAAAGUACUUGUUUUACGUUUUCCUGAUUUCCCACCAUCCAUAAUGUUGUAGAGCAGUUGUUGCAGUACUUUAAGCUAAAAAUAGAGAAAUAUAAAAAACCAUCAGCAUAUGACAUAAAUAAUCAAAGGAAAAAAUAUGCACGCAGUAUUAGAGUUGCCCUCAAGUAAAAAUUGCAAAAAGCUUUAAAAAAAUUGGCCUCUAGUUAAUGCUUUCAAAUUUGUGUUCUAAAUCACUGCUUUUUCAAGUACAAGCGUUAGGACAUUGGUCAUACAAAAAAUAAAAGUAAUUUGUUUCACGGAACUCCAACGUUUAGAAAACCGAAUCGUGGCCGAUUGGACUGGAUUAACCAUAAACCAACUUAUUGUGGCUUUGUGAGAAAUGAUCAACCAGAUAAGUUGGAUGGUUAUGUAAAGAACUAAUCAACUCAAGAUAGGAGCAGGUUGGUUUGGACCAGUCUACUUAGUUGUAUUCUGCGUAUAAUAUCCUACUCAUCCAAUUAAUAAAAAAAAAAAAAAAAAAAAAACUUCAGCAAAACGACAAGCAUUAUUUUGGGUUUAACUCAGCCAAGAAAAGGAACCAAAAAAAAAGGUAAUUUAUUACCAGAACUUCAACUUCAAUCAUCAUAUCAUCAUACGUACUAAGACGACAAAAUCGUUGGGGGUUUACUCACAAGAUUCUAACAUUAGUACUAAGACGACAAAACCGUUGGGGUUUUACUCACAAGAUUCUAACAUUACCUUAAACUAAAUCAAUACUCUUUCCCAAAUAGAAAUAAAGGACGAUGACAAGUUGGAUUGUUGCAAUGCCAAGUGACCAACUACGAAGGUAAUGAGCUACUUUAGUAACUCAGCUAAGUAAUGCAUAACUUUCAAUACCAUUUUGCCGCAAAAUACUUCCACUUAACUUGAAAAAAAAAAAAAAACAUAUCUUUAGUUUCCAUUUCCAACAUUCUAAGAAGAUCUCAAGCUAAGUUAGAUCCCCCGAAUAUAAAUCAAUUACCAAAAAAAUGUCCGGUGGACAACAUUGCAAAUAUAGCAAGAUUAGCAAGUAGAAAUCCCCAAAGCAAGGACAAUAGGUCCACCAUAAGAUCAACAAAUAAACCCUAAGCACUAUCUAAUGACAUCAAGCACUAAUUACUUCACAUAUCACCCUUACCCAAUUCUCAAUACAAUCCAAACCAACAAAACGGAAGCAAAAACAAAAGCAAAAUUGUAUCGAACCAACCGUCAAAUCCAACACCAGCUAUUUCAAAUCCUAGUUUUGCAUCACCAUGUUUGCAUUACAGCUGCUGAUUCAAGCAAAAAUUUUAAUUUGGUGCAAAAAACCAACUUAUCUAACAACAUACUCAAACUUCGAUCCAGUGACUCGUUUUUUAAGAGAUUGAGAGCAAACGACUCGGAAAAAAGAAAAGGUAGAUUACGAGCUAAGAAUGGAUUUUGCGGGAUCAGGGUUGGAGAGUGUGACGAACCUUGUCGUGCGAAGAGGAUUCCUCGUCCUCGCCCCCUUCGUCUUCGUUAAAGCGACGUGAGAGGGAGAGAGAGAGAGAGAGAGAGAGUGAAGCGGGGUUGGGGCUCCGGUUUGGGGCUUCGCCCUUCGCGAUUAGGUUUCGCCGUUUCGGGGAGAAAAAUACACGGAUAGUCCCCGUACAACCCCAAUAUUACGACUUAGUUCCUGUUUUUCUUUUUUUUUUUAGAGUAAACUUCAAAUACCACUACUGUAGUUUCACACUUUCUCACUUCAGUAUCCUGUAGUUUAAAGUGUAUCAAUUUAGUAUUCUGUGAUUUUAUUUUUAUCUUUUUAUUAUCGAUUUCACUAUUUUUUUCGUUAAAUCAGCGAUAAAGUUUAAACUAAAAGGUAUUAAAGUGAAUAUUCGAUAAACCUAGGUGGGGUAUCUAAAGUUUUUUAUAUAUAAUUUAACGAAAUAUUAACGAAAAAACUGACGAAAAGAUAAAAAUGAAACCACGAGACACUAACUUGAUGCACUUUAAACCACGGGGAACUAAAGUGAGAAAGUGCGAAACCACAGAAGCGGUAUUUGAAGUUUACCUUUUAUUUUUCUUUUUUCGUCAGCUCCUUCGUUAACUUUUCGCUAAAUUAUAUACAAAAAAAUUCAGAUACUCUACCUAUAGUUUAAAAAAUAUUCACUUUAGUACUUUAGUUUUAACUUUGUCACUCAUUAACAAAAGAAAAUAAUAAAAUAAUAACAAAAAAAAAUUCAUAUGAUAUAAAAGUGAUCACACGAAAAUAAUUCAAAAAGAAAAAAAUUCAAAUAUUAUUCAUAUGGUUUCACACUUUCUUAUUUUAGUAUCCUAUAUUUUCGUGUGAUCACUUUUAUGUUUUAACGGUAAAAUAACUUACUUAUUUUUGUUACUUAUAACAUAAUUAAAAAUAGAGUAGAGUUUAACAACAAAAUUGAUUAAUGGCACAUUAGUCCCGAUCGCGUCGUAUAACACUACGAUAGAGCUAUUAUAUUAUAUAAUUAUGUACCAAAAUCAAAAUGUGUAUACCUACGGACCUUCUGUAGCUCGUAUUAACUCACUUAUUUUACAUAAUUUUUAUUUUACAAAAGUUUAAAUAAAUUUAUUAAUUUUUGAAUUUUUAGUGUAAGAUGUACUAUCCGAUUAGACUGUAUGUACACAUACGAGGAAAGUACGGGGAUUUAUCGGGCUCGAAUAUUAGGCCGAAUACAAAGGCGUGUCGAAGAGAGCCCACUUAUUUUUCAUUAUGUAAUCAUGGAUUGGGUUUGGAUCUAGACCCGGCCCGAGUCCUAUAAAAGGACUAUAGCCUCAAUGGCCUCAUUUUUUAUUUUUUUUUUAGAGAUAGGUAGCACGCUAAGUUUAGAAAUAAACUUAGCUGAAAAUAUAAAUCAACUAGGAUUCGAACUUCAGAAUUCUAUGGUCCCAAACAGAAAGCUAAAUUGAAUCAAAUCAAGUAAAGACUAUUUGGUUCGAUUUAUAUGCUUUUUUUUGUUUGUUUGAUUUGGUUUUGAAAUUUACUAACACUUAAUUUUGGUUUCGGUUUGGUUUUAAUACAUUUUUUAACUGAAUAGAACCGAAAAAUGAGUGGUAAUAUAUAUAUUUUUUUACACUUUUUAUCUAAACUUCUUAUUAAAAUUUUAUAUUUAUGAUCAUAUGUCCAAUAUAUUUUUUAAAAUUCUAUAUUUAUAAUUAAUUUUGUGUUUGUGUGAUUUCAUAAUGAUCCAAUUUUGAAUCUUAAAUUAUAAAUUGAUUUGUAAAAAAACUCUAAAAAAAUUAAAUGUAAAAUGAAACCAAACCGAACCAAACCAAAAUACUUUAGUUUGGUUUGGAUUGAUUCUUAGCUUAAUUCGGUGUGGUUCGGUUGUUAUUCUUUUAAAUCAAAAAAUACGAUUUGAUCUAAGAUUUGCCCUAAAACCGAACCAGGCCAAACUAGCAACACUCCUACUUCACGCUGAGAGGAAUAAAAGGUUAAGGGUAAGCGGGCAAGAUAUAUCUAGAUUCCCAUAUGGAGUAGGAGGAAUUCUACACUAUCACACUUGCACCACGUCAUCAAUAACAAGCCAAUCAUCUUUCUUUUUUUCAAACAAAAGUACAAUGAAAAUAAUUUUUUAUAAUCAUGAUGUGACAUAUAUUUCUAAAAGAAGAUUUUUGAUUGAUUUGUUAUGCCACGUCACCAAUAUACCUGUUGUAUUUUAGAAUUUUUCCUAGACUAGAUGUAUUCCCGACCUACCACUCUUUCUGUUUAUGUGCAAAUUUCUAGAGUGAGGCUACUAUGCUAUCGGAAGCACGGAGCCUUCCGUGCUUCCAGCUCGUUUUCGAUGUUGCGAUUUUUGAAUCGUCGAUCAGCUCCGUUAAACUUGAUCUAGAGUAUUUGAAGUACCUAGAAAAUAAAUUUUAUGAUUUUACGAUAUCAUUUGCCUAGUGAACAAAGGGGCUCAAAAUCAACGGCUGAAAAUAAAAAUCUUACAAAAUGUAAUAAUAUGACAUUAAAAUUUUAAAUCAAAGAUAUUGAUCUAAUUUUAUAUAGUAUAAAGAAUUUUCUAUCAAAAUUUCACGUGAUUUGGAUAUUUCUACACCGUUAAACUUGCAAACGGCUCACUACGGCCAUUGAAAUUUGUUGAUUUUGAGCCCAUUCGAUCACUAAGCAAAUGAUAUCGAAAAAUAAUAAAAUUUAUUUUCUAAGUACUCCAAAUACUCUAGAUCAAGUUUAACGGAGCCGAUCGAUGAUUCGAAAGUCGCAACAUCGAAAACGAGCUGGAAGCACGGAAGGCUCCGUGCUUCCGAUAGCAUAGUAGUCUCACUCAAUUUUCUAUACCUCUUUUGGAAAAUUUAGUCGUCCAUAUGUAAUGAAAUUUAUUUUACAGUGUUGUAACAAAUGAGCUCCUUUUUGUUUUACAGUUCCUGCAACCUCUCGAUAUUUUAGCAAUACUCCUUAACUGUAGGCCAUUUGAAUACCCCUCCCUUAAUUUUAUGUUUUUUUUUUCCUUUAAUUUCACACCCACUUAAAUUUUUCAAUUUUCCUUCACAGUUAAAUAAUUCUAAUUACCCAAAAUAAAUUUUUUUAUCAAAUUUAUUGAUAAUUUUAUAAAAUAUAAGAAUUUUAAGGAUUUAAAUCAAUAAAAUUGUAACAAUUAAAGAGUUUCUUUUCAAAAAAUAAUCUAGCGCGAAAAAGUGGGGGCUAGGCUCGCUCAAAACUAACAACAAAAAGCCUCUUACAUAACUUCUUGUAUCUCUUUAUUGGAAGCCACUAGCGUAGCAAAAUCAAAAUAAGAAUAUUUUAGUAAUUUUAACAUUUUAUAGAGUUUUUUUUUUUUUGCAAAGUAAGCACCGAUACGAGUCCAUAAUUUCAUAUGACUAAACAUAUUUGAUUAGAAUUUAGAAUAAUCGUGCUAUUGGUACGAAAUAUAAAAUAUACUAAUGUGCCAUUAAUACAACUCACAUACCAAUAUGUUUCAACACAUUCUAUUAUAUAGAGUCCGUCUGGGUAUUAUCGAUAGCACCAAGAAUUUAGUGCUAUCGAAUUUUUUACCGUUAGAUUUAAUUCUUUGAUUAUUUUUACUCGUUAGAUUAUAUUAUUCAACAAGCUAAUCACUCAACCCUAAAGGACCCACAUCAUCCUAACUAUCUAUUUCUUAAUUCAAUGGCUAAAAAAUCAAUAGCAUUAAUAACUUAGUGCUAUUAAUAGUAUUCCAGCCAAAUUCCUAUUAUAUAUACGGAUACCAAUAUAUUUCAACACAUUCUAUUAUAUAUUAUAUCUGGACUUAUAUACGGUGAAUAACAUGUGCCGGUCAUGUCAGGUUGUGUCGAUUAACAGGGCAAUCGUUAUUUAAAAUAGGGAAAACUUCAAAAACCCCCUAUGUGGUUUCACACUUUUUCAUUUUAGUACCCUGUGGUUUAAAGUGUAUCAAGUUAGUACCCUGUGGUUUCUCACUUUAUCACUUUAGUACCCUGUGGUUUAAAGUGUAUCAAGUUAGUACUCUGUGGUUUUGCACUUUAUCACUUUAGUACCCUGUGGUUUCACACUUUAUCACUUUAGUACCCUAUAGUUUAAAAAACCACAGGAUACUAAUUUGAUACAAAAUCAAAACCACAGGAUACUAAAGUGAUAAAAUGUAAAACCACUGGGUACUAACUUGAUACACUUUAAACCACAGGGUACUAAAAUGAUAAAGUGAGAAACCACAAGAUACUAACUUGAUACAUUUUAAACCACAGGGUACUAAAAUGAAAAAAAUUGAAACCACAAGGGAAGUUUUUGAAGUUUUUCCUUUAAAAUAUGAUCAGUUUGUGACGAACUUAAAAACAAGGCCCAAAAGGAACUAGCGAACUUGUCCAACAUAAUUAACGAACAACAAGAAAAAUAAAGGAUCCCCUGUUUUGGUCAACCCAUUUAAGCCUCAAAUGUUUGCUCUGCGUCAGUUGGAAAGCCUCUUUCAUGAAACAACAAAGUGAUCUCUCAAGUAUAUAUCCAUAGAGACACGUGACCUUUUUAAUAGAAAAAAAUAUAUAUAUAGUUUUGUGUCUCCAAUGUUGUUUUUAUAGAUAAAUUUACCAUAACAGAACUAAGGUUAUAGUAAUACGUUUUUUUGAUACUUUUGUACGUAAGUGUCUCAUUUAUAUCAAAUUUUUUUAAAAAAGUUAUUAAGCUCUAAAUAUAAUGACUAAUCUAAUUAAAAAUAAAAAGUUCCUCAACUCAACCAACCCCAUCCAGCUACUCGAUCCGAUUACAAAUAGAAAGGAAAAUAAAAAGAAAAAUUGAUCAACAUCUUCUCUUCUCCUCCGUCGUCGCAACCGACGAGGUAGGGUUUCGGCGGCAGGAGUUCGACUGCGAGGAUCUCGUAGGGACCGUGGAGGACUACGAUUAUCACGUGUCCCUUCGUCAUAAGUCGCUGGUGGAGUGGGUGCCAAACAUCAAGACAGCCCUACGUAGAGCGACCGCACAUAUAGCAACACUUUUAAAAAGUGUCGGUAAUUUGACCAGCAAUUUUUUUUUUGACAUGUACUGACAUUCAAAAGUGUCGCUAUACACUGUUUUUUUUGUAGUGAUUUAUACAUACACAGUUUAAGACGUAGAUGAAUUUACUAGUAUAUUAUUUUUUUCUUUAUUUUCUGAUUGAUAAACUUGUAAGUAUACAAUCAGAAUUCAGAUGCACAACCAAAACGAUUGUUAGAAUUUUUUUUUUUUUUAUCAUCAGGUUUAUUCAUGCUAGUUAUAAAUCGAAGUUAUUAUCUAUAAUAGUAAACUUUAAUCAAUGAGAUGUGCUUAUAUAGAUAGAUUUUUAUAUGCUUUGGAUUUUUGUUAUAAUUAUAUUAUUUAGUUAGAUAAUAUUAGCAUAGAUGUAAUCUGACCCCCGAAACCUCCACCAUUUUUCAUGUAUUCAUUUUUCUUCAUGUCUCACCCACAUUUCUCUAUGACCCUAUCUUUUUCGUAAUUAUUAAUAUUAGUUUACCAAGGUUGUUCUCUCAUAAAAAAAUAAUGUUGUUAAUUGGUUAAUUAGUCAACCAUAUAUUUUAAAAACAAUUUAAAAGGAAAAGUGUUUGACUAUUUCAUGAUUAAUCAAAUUAUAAUAUCUAAUGUUAUAAAUUGUUUGAUUGGGAACUUGGUGAUGAGAAGGUGGGUUAAAUGAAUAAAAAAAAAAAUCUCUCCUCUUAAAUUUGUCCGUAAAUAUUCGAACUCAUCCUAACCGUAAAAGAUAUAAAUAUGUUAUUAUUUUUAUUUUUUUUCUAUUUAAAGAGGAUUUAUUGAAACAAAUGCGUAUCAACAUUUUCUAUUUAGUAGGGCAUUUAUAUAUCUAGUAUCACUCCCUUUACCCCCAAUCAAUUAUUGCUAAAUCUAAUAAUCACUUAGGAACUAUUAACUUCUUUGCUAAUUAAAAUACUAUUCAAAAAUUUGUUGAUUCGAAAAUUUGUGUGUUAAAAUAAAAAAGGGAGUUAUCCAGCUUUUGGAGGUAGAUAAGGAAUUUUUUUUUUUUUUUCAAAAAAAGUCAAAUUUUUUUUCUACAAUAAUAGUAUUUUUUUUUUUCAUCCGAGAGUUAAGUCCAUAACCUUUAUAAACCCCUUAUUUAUUUAUUUAUUUAUUUAAAACACUACAAUAUUUUUUAGUUAAAAAAGUAAGAUGACAAGCAGGCAGUGGUAAGUGUGAUUUUUUUAGAUUAAAAAUGUUAUAAGUAUAAGAAUAAUCACUUAAAAAAUUUAUUUAUAAAAUUAGUCUUAUUCGGAGAAUAAUUUAUUAUUUUUAAAUACAGUAAAUUAUUUAUCUCUUUAUGAAAAUAUUUAAAAUAUUUGUAGUGUUUAAUAUUAUUCAUCCUUCCGAGUAAAAUAUAUAAAUUUGAUAAAAUCGAUUUAAAAAUGAGGAAUUAUUUAUUAUUUUUAAAAAUAAUAAAUUAUUCACUACUAAAGUCUAUUUCUAUGAAUAAAAAAUUUAAAUAUUUAUUUUUAUAGUUAAACAUUUUUUUAGACUUAGUCAUCCAAAAAAAAAAUCCCCCAACAACCCCUAUGAGGUGCAUCAUUUCAAAAUUUUUUUUUUUUUUGAGUAAACUUCAAAUACCAUUUCUAUAAUUUAGUACCAUAUGAUUUUUUUUUUCUUUUUUUAUCUGCCUCUUUGUUAACUUUUCGGUUAAAUCAUAAACAAAAAACUUCAGAUACCCCACCUGUGGUUUAUCAAAUAUUUAUUUUAGUUUCCUUUAGUUUUAAUUUUGUCACUAAUUUAAUAAAAAAAAUUAGUGAAAAAAUAAAAAAAAAGAAAAAAAAUAAAAUUAUAGGACAUGCAAGUGAUACAUUUUAAGCUACAGAGAGAGCGCAAAAUCAGAAGUUUUUUUUUUAAUAUUAACUCAACUUUUAAUUAUUUUUUUAAAAAUAAAACCAAAUCCUCUCCCUCUCUCUCUCUCUCUCUCUCUCUUUCACUUUUUUUUUCCUUUUCCCUCCGACUUGGAAAAUUCCACACUCUUUUGCUUUUCCUUCAAUCCUUCAUAAUUCCAUCUCUCCCCUUCUCCUCCCCCUCCACCUCCACGUUCUCUCUGACAAUCGCAUCUUUCUUGUCGCAUCCAAUGCAUUUGGAUUGGAUUCGAGUUUAAAUCCCCCAAAAAGUAUCGAUCUUUGAUGAGAACGGCGGAGUCGGCGCCGAAUCUGGAUUCGAUCGCUGUGCGAUUCUCGGAAGGAGGUGCGAGAAGAAGCCAUUUUUGGGUUCCUUCGAAGUCGUCUCCAAGAUGACCACCAAGCGCGCGUACAAGCUCCGUAUCCUAAUUUUUCCUCAGUGUUACUCAAAUUCCAUUCUAGGGUUUGCUUCGAUUUGAUCGAGAAGAGGUUCGAUCGUGGUGUUUCCUUUCAUUGCUAUAUUUGAGUUCUUGAGCUGUUAGUUGUUGUUGGAUUUAUUGGUUUCGUUUUUAAUUAUAGCUGUAAAGAAACAAAAUUGGAUUUUGUGUGUGUGUUUUUUUUUUUAAAGAAAUUGGGAUUCGCUUUUGGUGCCUUGACUAGGUGUAGAGGAGUUUGUAGCGCAUGCUUCCAAUGUGAAUUGUCUUAAGAUUGGGAGAAAAACUUCAAGGAUUCUCGUCACCGGCGGGGAGGACCAAAAGGUCAAUCUUUGGGCCAUUGGCAAGCCCAAUGCCUUAUUGGUAUGAAACCCUAAUUUUGCCAACAAAAUAUGUGCACUAGCUUUACUAAUCGCAAAGUUGGAUAGUUAUAUAGCAAACUCGUAUAUUUUUCAGAGCUUAUCAGGCCAUAUUAGUCCUGUUGAUUCAGUGAGUUUUGACUCUUCCGAAGUUCUUGUCGCAGCCGGAGCAGCGGGUGGCACGAUCAAAUUAUGGGAUUUGGAAGAGGCGAAGAGUAAAAACUAACUUAUCUUUAUGAAUUGAGCUUUUUCCAAAUUUGAAAAUCAUAAAGUCGACACCUUUUUAACGAUCUGAUGUUGUUUUUUUUUUGCCUGUAGUUGUUCGUACUCUCACGGGACAUCGUUCCAAUUGUAUAUCUAUUGAUUUCCAUCCUUUUGGGGAAUUCUUUGCUUCUGGGUCUUUGGAUACAAACCUAAAGAUAUGGGAUAUUCGAAGAAAGGGAUGCAUUCACACGUAUAAGGGUCAUACCCGAGGAGUCAAUGUACUUAGAUUCACCCCUGAUGGUCGAUGGGUUGUUUCCGGAGGGGAGGAUAACGCCGUGAAGGUAAUUAAUCUAAUGCUAGAAUAGCAGGACCAAUCUAAAGAUUUCCUGGGAGUUUGUUUACUUUCAUAUUCUUAGCCAAAAAAAAAAAAAAAAAAAAUCUAUAACUCAAUUUUAGUAAGGCCAGUUGCAACCCAGAAAAAAGCACCACCAUUUGCAGUUUGCGUUCCCUCAGGAACCAACAUUUAACCCUGUUAAUCUUUAGAAAUUCAGCACUUUGAGACAUUUUUCAUUCAAGAAUUGCUAGGGAGUCUUAACAUAUGCUCAUUAUACCUCUUGUUGUAGGAAAUCCCAUAUUCUAAAACUUUCCACUUAUUCUUGAACAGAAAAUGUGACAGAAAGGGAGUAAAAUUCCAAUAUUCUAAACAUCGAGGGGUUUGAAUGUAGAUUUUAUAUCUUAUGGGGGGAAGUGCGAGUGUGGUGCUAUUUCAAAGGCGUUUACUGCAUAAUGCCUUGUAAUAUACGCUGGCCAUGACAACUCGUGAUACAAAAUUUUUCAAUCCCUUGAUAAUGUGAGUAAAAGAGUUUGGAUGCUUACACCUAGCAAGAGGUCUUAUUCUUUCUCUACUAUCCUUCUGAUCAGAUAUGGGAUUUGACAGCGGGGAAGCUCUUGCAUGACUUCAAGUUUCAUGAGGGUCAGAUCCAAUGUAUAGAUUUCCACCCUCAUGAGUUCCUGUUGGCAACAGGUUAGAUCUAUAAUCUUACCCCUCUAUUCUAAACAGAUGUUAGAUGCUGUAUAAACACAGAAUUAGUAGUCUAUAGUUGUGUAGUAUUUGUUAUCAAGAUAGUGAUCUGCAAAAUCAAAUGCAAUGAAGUCUUCAUAGUUUUAUUUGCUUAUUGUUCCUUGGAGAGUGAGGACUUAAAAACUAUUCCAAAAUUCUGAACUUUUCUUAUCUGCGUAUUAAAAUCCAUUCAUAAUUAUGAUACUCCUAAUCCAAAAUUUAUGUUGUUUAAGGAAGAUAAUGUAAAUGGACAAAUUGGCUUUUUAUGUUCGCUGUGUAAUGUUAGCAUUGGAAUUAAAUGUUACUGGGAAGAUAAACUUCAAAUUCCACUGUUUAGAUUUGAUGUAUAUUGAUUUCAAGUUUUUGGUGGCUAAAUAAGCAAGCUUUAGAAAAGCUAUAAUCACAUAUAUUAGUUACGUUCACUUGGGAUUUAGAUAGAAUGUAAAACCAUGCUGGUCCUAGGUCUGGAUCGGUCUGUCUGUAAUUUGGUUGAAAUCCAAAAAGCUACAUUUGUUUGACACAUGAUCUUCUAAUGAUAAACAUCUCUCCCGCGUAGCUAUGUUCUUUCUAUCAAGCAGAGUUUCUACUUAGGCCAUGUACAUUAUUUGUGGUGACAAUGCUACAACUGAGAAUUUUUUUGUUUUACCAUUUCUUUCCAAUAUGUACACAGGUUCGGCUGAUAAGACUGUUAAAUUUUGGGACCUCGAGACUUUUGAAUUGAUUGGUUCAUCUGGACCCGAGGUAUCGGAUGGUUUUUAAUUCGAACUUCAAAACUUUAGCUUCUGAACAUUUCUAUCUUAAUGCUUUCAGACCCUUCAUAGGUUCUGUGGUGCGCUAUUCUAGUAGUUGGCUAUUUAUGAUUUAUAUUAGGAAUCAGUAAUUUUCAUGCUCAUUUUCUGUUGUAAUUUACAAUCACUAAAUAGUAACUGGCGUCUUUAGCCAACAACUCUUACUCUAUCUUCUGUUUAUCCUGGAUAUUAUUUUGUACUGUAGAUCGUUUUUUCCCCCCAGAUAUUGGUCUUUCUGUUAGACCUUUUUCUUUCUUUUCUUUCUAGACAUUACAUUUGUAAGCAUCCUAUUUAUGUUGGAACUUUUAUAGGAGGGGCAUGUUUGUAAGCUAGCUGCACAUUUGAGGUCCUAAUGAAAUAAACUUAAUGUUGUCUAACCUCUAAUUUGAUUCUAGACAAGUGGUGUUCGUUCUCUGACUUUCAACAGCGACGGGAGAACUCUAUUUUGUGGUUUACAUGAAAGCUUGAAGGUAUUCUCUUUUACAUUUUUCUUGCCUGGAGUAGGACAUUUUCACUCUGUUGCCUUGGAAAUUUAACCAUUUUCCUUCUAGGUCCUCUCUUGGGAACCGAUAAGAUACCAUGAUGUGGUCGAUGUUGGAUGGUCUAGGUUAACAGACCUUAAUGUUCAUGAGGGGAAACUUCUUGGAUGCUCUUACAACCAAAGUUGUGUUGGAAUUUGGGUCGUGGACUUGUCGGUAUGAUUCAAUUCUCUUCUGUAUUUUUAUGAGCGGAUGCUAUGAUCUCAACUGCUUUAAUUUGUUUACCUGAUUAUUGAUUUGCAGCGUAUUGAGCCGUAUGCAGUUAAAAAUGAUGAAUCAAAAUCUACUACCGGUAUGAAUGUACCCAUGCAAACGGACAACAGUAUAACAAUAAGUUCAGGAAGAUCAUCAGUAUCCAAAAUUUCGGGUCUUGUAUCUAAUGGCACUUAAGCUUUAUCUUGUGUUUGGAUUCUUCUUAUUGUAGAGAUUUGCUACAGUUGAAAAGAAAGACAUUAAAUUUAUAACUGCUAUGUUUUUUGAAUGCAGCUAGCAGUAGUGCUUCUGGCACUCCCCUGAGAGUUGAUUUAAACUCUAGUUCAAAAAUGGUUCCAAGCACAACUGGUGCUACGUUAUUGAAGAAAAAUUCAUCAAAAAAUCCAGGCGCAACCAAUCCUCAGAUCACAAGCAAAUCAAAUGUUGUAUCUGCUAGUCCUCCUAGAAUUAGCUCAAGACUGGACGCUGCUGUUGAAUAUAGAAAAGAAACGACUGAUUUGCUACCUUCGGCUGUACCACAUAGUAGCUCAAGAGGAGAUCUUAUUGCCAAUUCUGUGAAAGAGGCUCGCAAGGUCGUACCUGUCAUUGUACCUAGAAUUAGCUCUGAUUCUUGUAAGGAAACUACCAAUGAGUUACCUGCCAACAUCCCAAGAGUCAGUUUAAGAGGGGAUCUGGCUGCCGAUCCUAGUAAGGAAAGUCGUGAUGUAAAAGCCAACCCAAGAGUGGAUUUUCCUAACAAUCCUAGAAAAGAAGGCAAUGUGAUUCCUGUUAUUGUACCCAGAAGUAGCUCAAGAAGGGAUCUGGCUUCUGAUUCUAGCAAUGAAACCAGUAGACCCAGCACAAGAUUGGAUCUUUCUGUUGACCCUGAAAAGGAAAUUAGUGAUAUUUCACCUACAGUUGCGAGGACUAGUUUAAGAAGAGAUCUUACUACCGAUUCUGGAAGGCCAAGUGGUUCUGGAAGAUCAUCACUACCAUAUGCAAUGCGGUCAAAGUUAGCUGGUUCUCAUAGAAUUUCAAGUAUCAGAGAUGAUUCAGAGAGAGAAAUUGCUGCCAUCAAUACUUGUUCUAUGGUGAAAGAUGAUGCUGGAUCUAGCGAAUUUCGAGACCUGUUCACUGUUUCUGUUGAUGAUAACAAAAAGCCGGUGCCUGCUACUGAGAGGAACUUGGAGGCUGUUAGAGUUAGUACCGCUGGGAUGUAUGGAGCAAACAGAUUGGUGAAUGCUAGUAAAAGUUACAACAUUGGAUAUCGUAAGUGCAUAUACUUGGGGAAUAAAUCUAUUAGAAAUUUAAAGUUAUUGCAAACUUGUUCCUUCAGUACUUCUCUUCUUAUCACCAAUCUUCCUGACCCCCCGCCCCCCCACAAACCUUUAAGGAAAAAUCUACUCUUUAUAGGCUAGCUUGCAUAGGCUAAGAUCAGUCUGCUCACAUGCUUGUCGACUGUCUGUGUGACAAAAAGUUCUUACUAGUAUUUUUCCAUUUAGUUUCUCUCAGUAUAGUGUUGUCCUGACAUAGGUCCUCUUUUCAAUUAAAUAUGUUAGACAUUGACUUCCUUUGGGGUUGGGAAGUAAAUACUAGGCUUAUGCAAUUCAGAUUUAUUUUCUUAAAGCAAAUUAGUUAUGGUAGCAUGAAAAUAAAACACAAUUUAGUUAUGGUCACAUGCUUAGCUAACCCCACUGGUAACUUCUUCCUUUACUAUUCUACUUUUGAUGUCUAAUUUUUUUUAUCAACAAAUUACCAUUAUUUGUGGAGGAUAAUGCCUUCAAAUAUAUCUGUUACAUCUUAGCUCAAUUCUCUUUCUUCCUCACCUUCCGUUCCCCUAUCCCUAAACUUGUAUAAUAAUCUCAUAUAUUUUAAACUGAAAGCAUAUCAUUUCCUUUUGUAAUUACCAAUGUGAAAGAGGGAUGCCUUAUUUGUUGGAGGUUCAAUAGGAGGUAUGCUAUCUUGUAUAUAAACAUGUUAACAUUUGUUAACCUUUAGUACUUGCUGUCAUAAUAUGUAGGAAGAACAAGGUCGCCUGCUGCUAGUUGGGAUAGGAAUGAAAAUGCUUCUAUGUAUGAAGGCCGAACGAGUAGCUAUGCCUCUGGAGCCACAUCUACUGAUGAGAUAAAUUUUUCGGUAUGACUAUUUUUUCUCCAGAUUUUGAGUACUCCUUUAAUGAUCUUUCCAUAGCUGCUGCUAUUCUAUAUUUUUGAGUCUUGUAUGCUGUGGAUUGAAUUGGCAAUGCUUAACGUACACUUGCGUGUCAAUAACAAUUCUUCCCAGUUUGUUUACCUUCUUGUGCAUACAUGCAAAUGAUGCAUAGGUAUAACAUUUGUCUUGAAGAAGAAUAGGCAAAGGAAUGGCUGGCUUAAAGGACUCUAAACAUACAGUAUGAGGAUUGCUGGAAAUUACAUUUAUACCUGAGCUUAGCUUAUUCGAACUAAGGAAAUUACAAUGUUCCAAAUCUGAUGCCGAAGUUAGCAGAUGAUUCAGGAUAUAUUUCUAUUAGUUUAUAGGUUGCCACUAAAUUAAGGACUGAAUGAAAAUAAUUAUAUUCUGUUAAAUGAUUUUUAUACCCAAGGAAAGUGGAUGUAGAUCAAUAUGAAUCAUGAAACAUAGAGCUAAGAUAAUGAACUUGGAAACUGCUCUUUGAUAAUUAGUUAGACAAACAUUGCAUAUGAUUAUAGUUUUGCAAGCUAAGUUCCCCUUUUUUUGUAAGAAAAAAAUGUUCCAUCCCUACAACGCCUUCUGAUCUUUUGAGCAGAGGGGCCGCACUUCAUCUGCUGGCAGAGAAACAGUAUCCGCUAGUGAUGAGGAUGCUAUUGCUGAUCUAGCAGAACAGCAUGGAGAGUUCUUGACAACAGGGCAGUCCCGGUUAACUAAAUUACAGGUGAUUAUCUGCUGUAUGUGUUGAUAAACUUUCCUGCUUCCAGCUGUACAGAAACCAACAAUAAAUACAUUAGUGUUAGCUGAUGAAUUUCUUUUUUUCCCCAUUUAUGGAGUAAGUCUGUAUUCAGUGUAUGAUUAGACAUCGACGGCUCCUUCAUGCUAAUAUAAAUUUACAUACUUUAGUCUGUAUUUAAUUCUUUAAACUGAUAAAUUUACGUACUUCAUUCACAUCAGUUUCUCUGCUGUUGAGAAUCUCAAAGUCUUUGAAGUUUGAACACACUCCCACCUGCCUGCUGAGUGCUGAUGCUCAGCCACCUUUUCUGUUGGCAGCAUCAUUGCACAACUUUGGCAGUUUUAGUUUGUGUGUCUACAUGCACUCUUGCUAUUUUGUGAAUUUUCUCGUCAAGUGUAUGACCAUUUUAAUCACCUACAUCCUAAGAGUUUGUGUUUUACAUAAUAACGGUUUAUAUCAAACAGAAGUAUUUAAGAAUGAGUGUCAUCUUCCGAGGGUUUUUCUGGACUCUUGCUGUUUUACUUUCAUAUUCAAAGUACAAAUAUGAUGCUACUGAUAAAUGUCAGUUACCUUGAAAUGUUUGUAAAUUCUCUGGACAACUUGCAGGUAGUCCACCGGCUUUGGCAAAAGAAUGAUGUGAGGGGUGUCAUUAAUGCAAUGCAAAGAAUGUCAGAUAAUGCUGUAUGUGUUUUAUAUCAUCUCUUAUUUAUUUUUACAUGGGAUAUUUUAGUGAACUUUCAUACUUCUGGCACAGGUCUCAGCUGACGUAGUUAGUGUUUUGAUGGAAAAGAGCGAUAUCAUAACACUUGAUCUUUGCACUUCUCUCCUACCACUCAUCACAGGCCUUCUCGAAAGCAGGUUUGACAGGUACCUUCUUUACACACUCUUUGCUGAAAUUGUGUUAUCCAAAUAUUUCCAAGGCAUCAAAACAUGGUUUGUAGUAUUAAAGUGAUUCUGUGAAUGUGCCCAUUGGUACGAGGCAGUUGAGUUUACUAACUUCUCGAUGCUAAGCGGUCGCCUGUGUAAAUUCCUUUGAAGAGAUGAAUUGGCAGUAUUUAUAUAGAACCGAUCUCUAGGAUUUGGCUAAACAAAUACAGAUUGUAACUUAGAAAAGCCGAAAUAAAGAGACGUGCUUAACUGCUUUACCAAAUUGUACAAAUAUAUGAGGUAAAUGUAUGAUAGCAAAAUGUAUGUUAUAACUUUCGCUUUUAGCUGUUUUAGUACAUUAAUAAUGGAAAGAAAUAGUUUCAGCCUAUGCAGAAUGUGUGUUAUAUCUGUAUUUUCAGUACAGAUAGAAUAUAUUAGCUAGCCUGUGUAUAACUCCUUGCUGGUGCCUGUUUCUUUUACCGUAGAGUGUGGAUACAUAUCUGCUAUUUAGUAUCUAGAAUACUCAUAUCUUGCAGUUUGGAGCUCUGCCUCAAUUUUGUUACUUUUAGGUUAAAAUGCAGAAAACACUCACAAAUAUCUCAAUUUUCACGUUAUUCAAUGAAAUAUUAGAACCUACAUUUUACACCAUUCACCCAUGAGCAAGAUAUGUUGCCUAGUGGAAUAGGUGGCAUCAAAGGGUAAUAUAUAGGCUUUGAUAUGUCGGCAAAGCUAAGUGAAACUCCCACUAAUUAUUGGGUUUUUCCUGCCAAUCUUGGCCUACACUACAAACAUUGUUGUGAAUUGAAAUUUGAAGUUAACCUCUGUCAAUUGUUAUUUGAGUAAUAAAUACCCUGGUCACUGAUGAUCUUGAGUCACAGACAUCUAGGCAUUGCCUUGGAUAUGCUGCUUAAGCUUGUUAAAAGCUUUGGUCCUUUAAUCCACUCAGCUAUAUCUGCUGCUCCAUUGGUUGGUGUCGACCUUGAGGCAGAGCAAAGGUACUUAGUUCUGCUUUCUUCUAUUCUCAAUUUAUUUUCUGCUUCUCAUUACUUUUUCUAUUCCAUGCUAGGUUGGAGAGGUGUAAUCUAUGCUUCAUUGAGCUGGAAAAAUUAAAAACUAGUCUCCUACCGAUCACACGGUAAUUUGUCUUUCUUGCCAUUUGGAUGGGAAAAUCUCAUUGCUGUAAAUGCUUUUGUCUGAAUUUGAAAUACUUGCAUUCAAACUGUUAUUUUCUCUUGUUAAAGAAAAAGGAAGAGGCAAAAAAUGCAUUGGACCCCCCAAACACCUCCCUUUUAAAAAAUUUCCAUCACGCUACACAGUUUCUAAAAUAUUCUAUCAAGUAAUGGAGUAUUCGGUUCAAGACUUCAAGUUUAUGUAAAAUUCCCCCAAAAAGUUACACCAUAAGUUCGAAUAGAACUUUAUUAAAUCAAAAUCAAACUAGUAAUUGAAUAUUUUGUCAAAAAGUUACACCACAAAUUGGUUCAAGUCCAAAAUAACUAAGUAAAGAAGAAUAGUGCCUUGUUUCCAAAUGACCACCUAUAGUUUGGUCGAUAGGUUGUCCAUAUGGUUUAAACCAAAACAAGACAGAUGGUAGAAGAAUAGAAGAUUCUUGCUAAGAUGAUGAAAUCAUCUUUUUCUUUUUUGACAGUCGCGGAGGUUCUAUUGGGAAGUCUGCACAGGAGUUAAACCUUGCUCUUCAGGAUGUUUUCUCAGCGACCAACUAAACCCUAUUGCAUGAUUCUUUUGCUUAAUCCUACAACACAGCACUAGUUUUAAUACGGGUGCCAAUUCUAUUGCUUCUCUAAUUCGCACAAAUAUAUUAGUACAAUGGUUGCUUAUGGUUGCUUAAUAUGGGUGCCAAUUCUUUUGCUUCUCUAAUUCAAUCAUAGUUCCUGUACAAGCUAAUUUAAAUGACCAUCUCACUUCAAAGAGCCAGAGCCUGUGGUAUAUGAAGAGACAGUGAGCUGCACCGAAGAAACUAUUUGAAGGUAUGGCAAGUUAUAGCAUGCACAUAAAGGGUUCAAUUAACAUGCUGUUUGUAUUUUAUUUUAUUUUUUUUUUGUAUAUUUCAAAGGGGCAUAACGAAAAGAGCUUUUUCUUUUUCUUUUCUUCUUUUCUUGUACAUGAAUGAUGUUGGCAUACAUUCGUUUAAGUGUAAAAAUCUAUUCUUCCUGAUAGCAGUCAUGUCUUACUCUGUAUUGAUCAACCUCCUUGUUAUCUUCAUGCCAACAUAAUCACCAAGCUGUUGCUUGCUUCAAUUGUUCUGCAAUCUAAUGCACCUUGAUUAUGGUAUUCUUAUGAUUCCCAUAUGCUGUAUUGUCAGUAUUUCCUUGUAAAUAGGGCUGUGAUUGAUUUUGGGGAUCGCAUGCUUUUUCCUUUAGCAGACGAGGCCUACAAGACCUCUUUUCUAGAUAAUAUGUAAUGUCAUUUCUGCUUUUUAUUUUUAUUUUUUAUUUAUUUAUUUUUGUUGUCUUCCACAGAGUCUUAUCCAAACUGUGAGACCCAAAUGAUUUUUGUCCUCUAUUAGAGACAAUUGAAAAGGUAUGACAAUCAAUGUAGAUGGAGAAUGGUGGAAAUUAAAUGGUCAUCAGAUCUCAAAUGGGAGUGAAUACAUCUGCAAUUUUUCGAAUUGUAGAGGUAUAUAAUGUUUCUAUGAGAAAGCUAAUUAUAAAUUAUUGAAAUUUUGAAGGAAUAUAUAGGUAGCUACUUUAGGAAAGGAGAAAUUAUUACCCGGAUAUGGUCCACCAUGUUAGACGUGAACCAUGUAGCGAUUUAUUCAGAAGGUCAUCUUAAUUUACUUUCCGUUUCUCGCCUUUUUAAAAGUACAGAAGGGGUGAAGGGGGGAUUAACUGUUGCACAAAGUGGCCUAGUUGACAUGGUGGAUGAAGUCUGGAUUUUUCUUUUUAUUUUUUAUUUUUCAUUUUGUAUUUCUAUUUAUUUGUUUUUGUCUUUGUUCUUCUUUUUUUUUUGUGUGUGUGUGUGUGUGUUGAGGGAGGAUAACACAUGGGAUGUUUCAUGGCACAAAGAAGAAAAAGAACUCGUAAACAACAUGCUUGAUUGCGAUCCAACGCAGCUGUAAUUGCCCUCAAAAUUAAAGUUGUCAUGUACUUUGGGUCCGUUUGUUUUGGUGUAAGUGGAGGGAUGGAACUCAAGUUCCAUCACUUUCGUUAUUUUUUCUGGUGUAAGUCAAAAAUAUAAUGUAACUCAAGUUAUGUUAGACCUCUACUUCAUUACUUCGACUUUCUCCUCUAAAGUGUCGAACUUGACUUCUGUCACACUCAACCUCCUCUAAAAAAUUUAUUAAAUAGUAAAACCUAAACUCUACUUCUUUAUAAUGGGUUAGAAUUACUUUAUUUAUAAUAAAUUAGGAUUACCUUUAAAUAAUAAUGAAAAUUUUAAUUAUAUAAUAGGUUAAAUUUUAUAGCGAUAAGUUUAUCACAAUAUUUUAUGAGAUAACGAGAUCCACUUACUUAUAUCAAAACAAACAAUAGAACUCAAAAAACUAAUUUCACCAGCAUCAAGUUAUAUCAAAACAAACAGAAGAAGUAAUUGAAUUUAACUUUCAGACUGUACGAGUUACGCCAAAAUAAAUAACAAAAAAAUAAUCACACUUCAGAGAAACUCAAAUACCACUAUACUUGAGUUGUGUUGGAUCUACAGAUUAAUCAAUCCAAACGCCCCCUUAGAAUUCUUGCACUUACACCCCUGCUAUUUAAGGAGAAGCCCAUGAUUUUCACAAUCCAACAGACUUAGAAAUUAAGGAAACACAAAUCUCUCUUUAAAUCCUUUGAAGUCACUCUCUGUGUAUUAUGUCUUAUUGUCUUUAUCCUUUGGGAGACAAGUAGAUUCAAAAAUCUUAUCUUCUUUUAUGAAUAGUAGACACAACAAGAAAAGGGCAUUUAAUGUCUGUGGCAUCUUACUAUUUUCAAGCAAAUUCUUAGUCCUCAAUAGCCUUUAUACAGCUUAGUAUAGUUUACUGAUGUUAAAUGCAUUUGUACUUUUAUGAAUUUUCUUUGAAGUGUACAAGUUAAUUUGCUUUUGUUUGAAGUGUGUUAAGUUGAUUUUAUUUUAAACUGACCUCUUUGUCUUAUUGGAGAAUCCUCUGACUCGGGUACCUCAGCUAUUUGCAUGUUCUUCUGCAUCAUAUGAUGCAGUUUAUUCAAACUAUAUGACAUAAAUAUAUUGUGUUUUUCACAAGUUUACCUCAAGCAAGUUCUUAGUCUACAAUUUCCUGUUGCAUUUGCAGCAUUUUUCACUUGAUAUUUAAUGCUUUUGUAUUCUUCUGAAUUUUGUUUGAAGUGCAUCAGUUAGGUGAUUUUGAGUCUCGACCUCUAUUUUAGUUCCUGCACGUCACAAUGUCAUGCAAUAUAUAUAUAUUUAUAUAUAUAUUUGACGUCCGGCUAGGUAUACUAUCAUAUGCUAUGAGGAUUGUCAUGCCUAGUCUAUAUAUAAUAUAUAUAUCAUGAACUAGGAUGGAAUACCAUCAAUAGCUAUCGAUACCAUCAAUAGCUCUCGAUAUAUAUAUAUAUAUAUAUGAACUAUAGGACUUUCUGAUGUUGUCCCCAUUUGAAAACACUUUUGAAAAACCACUGUGUAGAGAGAGGUCACAAAAUCAGAGUGCCAAUGGAAGAUUCUGGCUCUGCUUGGUACUGUUACAAUUGUUUGUUUUUCUGAAGCACAAAUAUUAUGAAGUAUGCAACUGGAUGGCAUAUUCCACAGUUUCCACAUAUCUAAGAGUGUACUUAGGAGAUAAAAAGAAGUUGAUGGUAACUUUUGUUUGCUUGUCUUAUUGCGAAGAUGGUACCUCUUGGCAUCUAGCCAGGAUGCAUUCCAACUUAACAAACAAUAAUGAGAAUAAAUAAUUUCAUCCGCCAAUGAAUCCAAUCACAUAGAAUUUGUGAAAAACAGCACAUGUUAUUCCUUUCAUUUUGUUUGAAGAGAAGAAUAGAAUUGGAAGAAGAUCAAUUCUGUGAUGUUAUUAGAUAUACUUUUAACUACUAGUUUGCACAAUUCUUUACUCUAGACAUUAGUCUCUGUUAGAAUUUAUGAUUUCAAGUUGUUCUGUCAAAUCUGCAAUUACUUCACAUUGAAUCGGUUACAGAUAAUACCAGCCGAAUAUGUGGUGGAAUAAAGAAAAGGUUUCCUUGGCCAAAUGAGGGUGUAUGGAUGGUCCAUAGAGGGUUUCUUGAUCUGGGUUGAAGCAUCUCCACUUUAGCUCUAUAACAUCACAUGUGCUCUUAGUAAUUGCCUACUCUUUUGUCGGUCCUGCGUAGGGUAAUAGAUCAGGAAGAAUUUUUUUUGCCUUUUGUUGUAUUCUUCUCUGCUGAUCAUUCAUUAUGGCAUUAACCAAUAAUAGAUGGCUCUGUAGAUACUUUUGCUCAAUAAAUACAUACUAGUGUAAUGCGUAUUAUCUGGACCUUGUGGUGUCACAGUAGUUUGGUUCUGAGUUUCGCGAAAACAAAGAACAUUAAGCUAUUGAACCAUGUGAUUUGUAUGAAAUCUAGUGAUAUAUAAUUGAAAAGGAUUUUGGGCUUGAAGAAUAUACUGAUAAGAAUAUACCAUGUCAAUCUAGGAUUAAAUAAGUUACAAAAAAUCUUCUUGCUUUCAUUUUUUGUGUUUGGUUGCAAGUGAAUAUAGGAAAAGGACGCAAAGAGGUGGAGAAAAUGGAUUUAUGAGGAAAUAAAGUGAGAAUCUUAUAUUCUGAUCAAUCAUAGAAUUUUGAUUAAAACAAGCAGAGAAGAUAAUACUAUAUGUAAGUCAGUUGAUCCUUGUCCCUUGUUUUCGACAGAAAUCAUGUGUUUGUUUCAUAGAAUGUGUUAGUACUCAGAAAAGCAAUUAUGCUGUAAUCAAUAGCAAAACUGCGAAAGUGACUGAGAGUUAAUUUGGUACGCAAUCAAAUCAAACCUAUAUUUAUCCUUUUUGACCAGGAAGUGAUAUUACGCCCUAUUAUCUUUUGUUUAGAGGGGCAGAUGAAAUUUAUUGAACAUGAUUAAAUUCAGUCGGUGAAUAUUUAGUAGGUUUAAUGUAUCUAUCUGUCUGUUAAUGUUGAAAUCAAGUUUUGUUAAUUGCACCACUCUUUUUGGCCUAUUAUUUCUUGUAGAUUUUCAGCAUCAGUUAUUUUGUUAGGACCUCUUUUUGAAAUUAGGUCACUCGUAACUCUACAGACUGUUUAUCUAUUUAUUCAAGAAGCUGGCUGUACAAAGAGCUCUGUCAUGCAAUUUAUGAGAUAAUGAACUUCUUCCUCAUGCCUGUGAAUUAAUUGGUACCAAGACAAUAAAGAAUAGUAUUUAUAAGGAGAUCCACCCAAAAACAAGAAAGGAGAAAAAUAAGCUGAAAAAUGAGGAGAUCCACUCAUCAGAAGAAGAAAAAAAAAAGGAGAAAAAUUAUGUUUGUGUAUUCGUCAGAAUAAGUCUAAUCUCCUGAUACUCUUGGGAUUUAUUGAUCAAAGAGAACCAAUUCAUCUAGAACUAGAAGAAGAUUGACCUACAUACAAUUAGUGAUAGGACAAAUAACAGUGCUAACAUUUACUUUUAUAUUCCUACAAAAUCAGAAUUUUCUCAUACUCAAGUCAACUUUCCUCAUGGAAUCAGAUGAGAGCUGGUUUUUUUUUUUUUGUGCAAGAAACAAAGCUACCCAAAUAAAAAGUAACAUUGAGGGGAGCUUCUAGGCAUAAAAUAUUUGAAGUUUAAACACCCAAUCCCUUGAAGCUAUUCCUCUCUAUGCUGGUUGCAGCAUUCUGUCACUGCACAAGGUUGGUUGGUCACAGGAAACCCUAAGCCAAUGGAGGUCCAGUGCAUUAACUCUCCACAUGACACAUUGAUGUUACUCUUUGAGUCACCCAUCUUCUUCAAUUGCUGUCACCUACUUAUAUAGCAUUUAAUUCAUGCUCAUAACUUGUGGAUCUUCCUCUAGGUUUCAUUUUUGAUUGGUUUCCAAGUCCAUGCAAUCUUGGGUAUUGAAUCUCCACAAGCUCCCUCCAUUUUUCAUCAUCUUUUUAGCACCAUAAUAUCAUCUUUGAGAUUCUGACUAGCAGCAUUAUUGAUUUGUUGUGUAUGUGAUGGAAAUACUGAACAAGUUAGGAGUUAUGGAUAAGAUGGAGAUGGCAAUCUUAAGCAUGAGAGUUAAUUUACUAGCCUACACAUGAUAACAUCAUUGUGGAUCUAAACUUUAGUUGAUCUAACACAAGACUCAAUUGGUGGAAGUACAAAUUUGUUGAGAAAAAAAUCACCAACUGCACAAAUUUUUUUUCUUUUUUCCUUUUUGGAUUGUCAAAUGUGAUCAUUUACUGCUAAAGUUCCAUGAAGAGUGUUUCUUAUUGUGUUUCCAUCAUUUUCUAAGCCUAGAAGCCAUAACUCUUCUUUUCCUUUUCUUUUUCCCCCCCUUUCUUAGAAGAAAGAAAGAAAGAAAAUCCACUUCCUGUGAGUUGUGACCUUUCAACUUCUAGCUGUCACAAGCAGUGAUCAAUAAAUGGCUAAACAGAAGAGAGUGGUCUCAUAUAGAAAAUGCUUUAAUAGCCCUCCAUGACCAAAACAAAUUUCAAAAAACUAUUUGACUAUUCUCAGUUGUCUCAUCAACACCGAAGAGAAAAAAUAAAAACCUUAAUCUUCUUAAUUCAAAUCAAGUAUACAUUCCUUGGUUCCUUUGGUGGUUAAAGCAACUCUGAAUGCUGAUAUACACACAGAAAAGACAACAACAAUUGGUUGAAAAGAAAGAGAGAAAGACCACCAGUUUAAUAAUCAAUUACUUUUACUGUAAUUUUGAACCUGGCCUUCUUAUCUUGUGCUGGCAGAGCUGGAUUGAGUUUCAACUACAUAAGUCCGAAGUGAAGGAGUCCGAUUAGCAAGAUCGAUCGAUGAAUUCCCGUACUGGAUAGUGCUCUUCUUCUGCAGCCUUCUUCGGGCGAUGUACCCUCUAAUCCACGGCGUCACGUCCUCGCUUACUUUGAUCAUGACGAAGAAGAGGAGGCGGUAGAUUAUGAUCAUGCUGAAGAGAACAGUUAAGUCCCACCAUUUCGAUCGGUUCACGUCGAUCUGGAACACAUUUUCGAGUAUGUAUUCACCGGGAAUUUUCGGAAGGUCCGGCGUCUGGUUAUCGAAUACGAGGCCCUUGAGAUCAUUCUGAUACUGACCCUGUUACAAUUGCAGUUACAUUCAAGCAAGGAUUAGUGAAAGAAUUUGCGGUACUGGAUACUAACUGAUCCGUGUUGUACAAAGUUUAACCUGCAAUGCCCAGUAGUGGAAGCUGAUGUACGACAUGGGGUAUCGCCAGAAAGGCUUCGGGAUGUCGUUGGGGAGUCGAAAGUAACCAGAGACCAACAUGAAUAUUCCCUGUUCAUGUUGGAAUUGUGAGCAAUUUCAGUAAUAAGAACAAUGCAAGUGAAAACGUUUGAAGACAUUGUACAGGUAAUAUACAUUUUCAGCAUUGCAGUAGUAGAUAGGAAAACACCCACAUACUGAUACACAGCAACAUCUGAUAACUUAACUUCUAUUCUAUUCAAACAUGUAUGUAGGUGACUAAGUUGCAAGGAUCAAAUUAUGAGAACCUGCAUUUUCUAUACCUGAAUCCCAGCUCCUAUGAUGAUUCCCAUGAGGAAAUUGGGGAUCACACUUGCUAUGGCCAUCAUCAAGCUCUCGACGACGGUGACACUCGCGUAGAGGCACAACACAAAGAAGAGGUAAUGCAUGAAACCGGGAUGCAGGCGCACCAUGAAAUAGCAUAUAGUUCCCGACGCGAACGUGAUCAGGAUCAGGAACGGCAUCGCUGAGAUCGUAUUGCUGAUCACAAAUGCAAACACACCAUAGUGUCCAUUCAUCCUCUCUCUCUGAAAAACCUGCACCAAGGGAAAUUAUGUUAAAGCCCGCGAAAGCAGUUGUUUUCUUCUACAUUUACUGCACGAAGUAGAGGUGCCGCGGACCUUCAUAUCCUCCACGAAUGAAGGGAAGCCUCCGAUCGACAUGAACGUGACGAAGCCAAAGACGAAUGAAGCGCACGCCCCCCUCGCCUGUUUCUCGAAACAAUUACACAGAUUUAGCACAUGACAUUGAUUUUUCUGAUAAAUGUGUUCAGGAAUUGUAAUCAAUUCAAGCUUGGUAACUUUUUGAGUGGAUAACAUUACCAGGAUGGAACUAUAUCCUGUUCCCACAUUCAGGUAAAUGGUUCCAAUGCAAAUGGUCACAACAAGGUAAAUAACAAGCCUCAACCAGUAGUAUCCGAAAUCUCUCGACAUGUUUACGAACGAUCGCUUGGUUAGCGUAAAAGCCUGCAUGCAGAAACUAGCUUGACUUCCUCCAGAAUCCAACACUGUCCCUUUCUGCCGCCGAAAAACAGACAGAAAAAACUCAUUUAUCAGUUAAUAGUUAUGUCGGUUCAUUUACGAGAUUGCGGUGUUGCAGUACAUACAACUUGAGAGAUUUCAUCCACUUUCUGCCUCGCUGCGUAGUGGUACUGCGAAUGGCGGUAAAACUCGAUUAGCCUUCUGAUCGCUUCUGCCGUCGUGAUUCUCUCCAGCGGAUCGUCGGACUUCUCAAACUGAAGCGAAGGUACGAGAAAUUCAAACUCUUUAUCGACCCGUGAGUGUAUGAAAAACUAAUAGUAGAAGAUCGAAUCGAACGAAAUGUUUCACGCGUACCCGUGUUUUAAUCGAGCCCUUCAGAGUAGCUUUCACCUUAUCGAAGUCCGAGUUUAUGCACCUGAGGAAAUGGUCUGAUGGGUUCCUCAGAGACGGGCAAGGGAACCCGGCUUGAGCGAAGAACUAUCAAAAUGGCAGUGUAGAUAGAUGGUGAAAACACUACUUAAAAGGAGAAAGAUCUGCAACAACUAUAACGGGGAUCGAUAUUCUUCGACAUCGAUUCUACCUCACAUGCUUCAGAAGCUUGCCCAAAGUAAACAGUUUUGCCGCCCGAGAGCAGGAAAAGGCGAUCGAACAGCUCGAAAACCUCGCUGCUCGGCUGGUGGAUCGACGCGAUCACGGUCCUUCCAUCUCUCGCCAGAGCGCGCAGCGUUUGCGUCACGAAGAAAGCCGAAGCACUGCGCGUUUGAUCAGUACACUUAUUCAUUCACAUUCAAAACUAAAACAAAAACAAAAUAAAAAAAACAAGUGAAAGACAAAUCAUCUGCAUCAUCAUGCCAAUAUAAGAUAUAUAUGAUAUAUAGAUCCUUAACAUAUAUAUAUAUACCAAUCGAACAAAGUGACAAAAGUGACAAAUGAACAUGUGCAUCAAAUUUGUCACAACAACAACAACAACAACAACAUAUAUAGACAAGUAAAGUUCACAAGAGUACUACCUAGUAGCAUAUAUAUAUAUAAUCAUAAUUGUGUAUUUAUUAUUAUUAUUAUUACAUGUAGAAUUGAAAUGGUGAGUUUGUAAUGAAGUUAUAUAUAUGUACUACCUGUCGAGACCGCUUGUGGGCUCAUCGAGAAAGAGCAAUCGGGGCCUCAUGAGGAUCUCCAGUGCAAUGCUGACGCGGCGCUUCUCGCCGCCGCUGAUGCCGCGCAGGUGCCAGUUGCCGAUGACGGUGUCGGCGCAGUCCUGCAGGCCCAUCUCGACGAUGGUGCCCUCGACCAGCGCCCGCUUCUCCUCCCUCGGCAUCUUGUCCGGCAGCCGGAGACGCGCCGAGUACGAGAUCGUCUCGCGCACCGUCAGCGUCCCGAUCAGGUUGUCGUCCUGAGUGACGUACGCCUGCAGAGAUCGCGGCGCCGCUUAGAUCAUGACAUAAUAUUACACAAGAGAUCUUAAUUAUUUAUUAGUAAGCGAUCCAUGAUCCAUCAUCAUAUAUAGGAGAAUGAUCAAAAGCAAAUUAACCCUUGGUGUAAGUACAUGUGUUCUCUUCAUUCUUUUAUUAUUAUUAUUAUUAUUAUUAUUAUGAUUUUCUUUUUCUCAUCCAACUAAUCUACACGACCACUAAAUCCAUCUUCAUAAUAACUCAAUUAUUAUCAUAAUAAUUAUUUCGUUUCCUUAGCAAAAACACAAAAACGUAAAUAAAAAAAUAAAAAAAAUAUUAUAUUAUAUUAUAUUAUUUUAGAAAUAGUAAAUGCGGAAAUAGUUUUUAGUAACAUAAUAUGAAUAUGAAUAUAGAUAUAUAGAUAUGGAUAUGGAUGAGUGAGGAGAAGUAGUGAAUGAGUGAGUAAUAGUUUGCGUGGUUGUGGAAGGGACGGAUUUAUAUGUAUAUAUACCGCGGUGCCGAAGGAGAGCUUGGCUUUGCGGCCGUUGAGGAGGACGGUGCCGGACAUGAAGGCGUUGGCGGCGAGGCGGCCGGCGAGGGCGUCGAGGAGGGUGGACUUGCCGGAGCCGGAGGGGCCCAUGAGGGCGGUCAGCGAGCCGGGCUCGGCGUAGCCCGUCAGCCCCUCCAGCACCGUCUGCGUCUCCCCUCCGCCGCCCACCGUCACCGUCACCGUCAGCUCCUUCCACGUCAGCCUCGCCGACACGUCCCCCAGCAGCUCCGUCGCCCCCCGCUCCUUCCACAGCGUCUCGCUCAGCGGGCUCAGCCCCACCGCCCCCGCCACCAUCCCGUUCCCCGCCGGCUUGCUCGCCUCUAUCUCCACCAUCACCUGCCCUGCUGCCUCCACCCUCGCCCUGUUCUCCCCUCCCCCGCCCCCUCCCUCCAUUAUCACUUUUACAAGUUGAAUUUACUCGUAUAUAUCUAUAUAUAUAUAUAAUUGUGUAUGUUGUAUCUCUCCUUUUAUGUCUAUAACUAUAUAUAUAGAUGAACUAACUAGUUAGUACUUCGGAGCUAACUAGGAAGAGAGAGCAUCUAGAAGAAGAAGAAGAAGAAGAAGGGGGGGAGGGGUGGUUAGAGCAGAGGGGAAGGGAGGAGGAGGGGAGUUGGGAGGAGGAAUGAGAAUUGUAUGGUUGGGAGUUGUGUUGACUAAAGAGUGGGAACUGGGGAAUACAUACAUGCAAAUGGAGCCUGGGGGUUGGCUUUUGUGUGUGAAGCCUCCCACAUCAAAUUUAUUAUCUAUUUCGUUUCAUUCAUCAUUCUUUUUUUUUCAUCUAUUAAAAUUAUUAAACAAAAAUACUUUUUUAUUUUUGUCUCUCCAUAGAAGGUACCAAAUAGCCAAUUAUCGGUCUCGAGUUCACUAUUUUUAAAAAUAAACUCAGCUGAAAAUAUAAAGUAAUUAGAUUAUAUUUUUUUGAAUAAAAAAAUAUGUCAACGAGAAGAUGAGAAGUUGUGGUCACGCGAUACAAUUGCCUUUAUUUAUUUAUUUAUUUAUUUAUUUAUAUUUAUUUUAAUUUGGGGGUUUGAUGGGAAGGGAUGGAUCAUAGAUUUGAUUUCAUUAAUGGGAGGCGGGUGGAUGUUGGUGGUGCAUUUAAUGUAGCGGCAGCCACUCUUCAUUUACGGCUCUAUAUAGUAUCCAAAUUAAACUUAAAGUUAAUGUGCACAUGAGAUACAUUGAGAGACAAAAAAAAAAACAGUAUUUUUAAUGAGUGGAUAUUAUUUAUACGGUGGACGUUAAAUAUAAAAAAAAAUUUAAACAACCAUUCUCCCACCGGUUCUGAAUUCGAAUCACGUCAGGCCUUUAGCAUUAUUAAUUUUGUCCUAUUUUAUUUUCGUCCACACGUUAUGAGACUACUCUUAAAUGCAAUAGAGAAUUUGCAUGGAUAUAAACUCAAAUAGAUGAUUAUCAAACUUUGUGUGUAUAAAUUCUUGUAUAUGUACUAAUGUACAUGCUUCAAAUUCUUCGUAUUUAUGGCGAACUCAUAAUUAUGAAAGAAGAUUGAACACCUAAUAAUAAUAAUAAUCACUCUUUCGAAAAUAGAUAAUAAGAAAAUUUAUUUGAAUUGUAAUUUAAUUAUAAUUAAAUUAAAUGCUUUCAUUCAUAUGAUAGAAUGUGCAGGGGUUAAAUUAAAUAAAUCCAACCCUUGCUAAUAUACAUAAUCGAAAUAAAUAAAUAAAUAUAUAUAUAUAUAUUUGGUUUUUAUCUUAACAAUUUUUUUUUUCUUUUAAGAAACAAGUUUUAAACUCUAAAUCUGCAAACACUUGAGCUGCUGAAAAAAAGCUAUUAUGCAACCCUUUUUUGGACUCAAAAUGUCACCACUUUCUAUGUCCAACGUAGAUAAAAUCCAGUAGAUUCUUACAUUGUUAAAAAAGGCAAAAAUUACCUUUUCCAUAGUAAUAUGCAUCCAAAAAGCUAUGUAAAUAGGAUUUAAAAGAAGAGGUUGUGCAAAAUUUAUGAACUGGUGCUUUUUGUGUUUCCACUUGAGUUUAAUUUGAGAACAAUAAAUGAAUCACUGUGAAUUUGUGCCCAACAAACAACCACCCCACAUCCCUUCCACUAAUAAUAGAGAGAAAAAAAAGAAAAAAGAAAAAAAGAGAGAGGUGGUGUAUAGGAUAAGGGGAUGGGUCGGUGUAGUCCAAACAACUGCUUUAUUUUUAUUUUUAUUAUUAUUAGGUUAAUUUCAUACAUGUUCCUACAAAUAUAGAAAAUUACAAAUAUAUCUCUACAAAAAUCAACUUUCAUAUGUUGUCUCUACAAAAGUCCUAAUAUAUUUUCAAAUAUGUUUCUCUGAUUAAUUUGUUACCGUUAAAGCACUGUUUAUUUUAUAAUUGAAUAAUCUUUUUGUCAUCACAAAUAUACCUUUCCAAAAGUCCUAACUGCUAAUUAAAAAAGGAUAAAAAGGUUAAUUCACCUUAUUAACUAGCUAGAGUUAAGUAUUUUACCUACGGUUAACUAAUUUGUUUCUAACAGAUAUUCGAAAAUAUCAGAAUUUUUAUAGGAACAAUAUAUGAAAGUUGAACUUUGUAGAAAUAUAUUUGUAAUUUACUAUGUUUACAGGGACCUAUAUGAAAUUAACCUUUUAUUAUUAUUAGUUUUGUUAGCUUUGUUGUGACUCUAAACAUGACUUGGUUUGAAACCAUAGAUAGAUAAAAAAAACUUGGACAAAAUAUAUAUGUUUUCUCCUUUGGUAGGAGCAACUUUGGAGAAAGUGAUAAUAAUAAAUAAUUGGUAGGUUUGUAAAAUUUUUUAGGUUAUAUUAUUACAAACGUGCCUACGUUUAAGAAUGGAGUGUGAUGAUAUAUCUAUUUUAAUAUUAACAGGGCAAAUUUUUUUUAUCAAAUUAAAAAUUUUCCACAUAGAAUAGUGAAAUAUACAUGUAGCAAUACAAACGUUUUCUUGGCUGGUCGGGACGAAUUUGGAGCGAGUUGAUUUUUCUAUCCUAAUUUGCUCCUCACUUACCAUUCUAGUCGGGGUGGGCUGAGGUAGGACUAUAGUUUUAGCAGAUUUUUGAUGUAUCGGGACCGAUCAAAAAAAGUAUGAAAUUUUCUCUCUUACUUUAUUUUCUUAAUAAUUUCGUAAAUAAUUUCGUAAAUAUUCGUAAAAAUUUAGCCCUUACUUACCAUCUCAUUCGGAGAUAAAACAGGGCAUGAGCUCCACCAACUCGGAUCGAUCGAUUUGCACAGCUAGUCAAAAAGCAAUAAGUAUGAGAGCUUAUGAUACAAGCAUUAAAUGAUUUUGCAAGAAGCGAAAGCCGAAUUUAAAUCAUCUAUCUUGAUAUAGAGAUACCAAUCAAUUGCAGUAGACAAGGUUUCCACCUACAGCAAUUUCAUAAUAAAUCCCAAAGAAGCUUUACUUCUUUUUUUUAAAAAAAAAACUCAUUAUUCUAAGAUUUCUCUAAUCUUUUAGCCAACUAUUUUCAGUUUUUUUUUCUUUUCUUUUUUUUGGGUGCACAGAACAAAACAAAAGAGAAAAAGAGUUAUAAAUAAAAAAAAAUAGCAAAAACAAUAUAUAUAAAUAUAUAUUGGUGUGUUCACGAGGAGGAGCGAGUUGUCACGCAGUUGGGGGCCUCAUCAACUCAUGCAGAGAGAGCCAAAAUAACUCACGAAAGGGACCAGGUCCUGUACCUUCGAAUGAGAAGGACACGUGUACAGCGGAAAACAACAUCUCAACGCUUGAUUGACGGCUACGAUUCACCAGGACAAAAAAUAAACUUUUUUAUUAAAAAAAAUAAAGCUAAUUCCUCAUGUAGCUAACCCAACUUAUUAUCUAUUAUCUAUUACUCUAUAUGAAUUCUCAAUAAAAUUGAUGGCAUGAUAAGCCCUCAUUUUUUAAAAUUUUUUAAAUUUUUUAUAGUUUUUAAUGGUGGUUCAUUUUUUUUAUUCUUACAUUUAAUGUUAUUAAUAGUUAUAACUCCAUUAAUACUCACCUCUUAAUUACUCUUUAAUUUUAUUUAUAUCCCAUAUAAAUUUUUUAAUAGUGAAAUAUUUAAGACAUUAAUUAUAAAGAGAAAAAACUGUCUAAUUAUUGCCCAAGAAUAAUGGCUUCAGUUUUACAUGUUUAUAUUUUUACUAUCUUAUUAUAUUUAAUGUUGCUAAUGAUAGCUGCAUAUUACAUGCAUAUGUUUUCCUUUCCUAAUUAAUUAAAUAAAUACUAUACUUUAGGUGACAAAUUAAUAUGUGGUAGUAAAUAUAGCUUCUCCAAGCUUGAUAAACCCCAAACCCCACAUCCGCGAUCUCUCUGUCGAGCUCUUCCGCUCUCCUUCCCAAACCCUAAAACCCCAACCUUUCCUCUUCCUCCGCACCCUCCCUCGCCGCCGCCCCUCCGAUCGGCGGCGCCUCCUCUCCGCCGGCCCCGCCGCCGUCCAGGCGGCGGUGGCCAUCUAGAAGGAGACCCCGGAGGAGGAGCGGCCGGAGACCUUCCUCCACAUGGCGGACCUCGCUAUCGCCACGUCCGUGGGCGCGCGGUUCGAGCGGAUGAUCCGCGAGGCCCUUGACGAGGUGUGCGCGGCGCUCAAGGCCGCGGACGGGGGCGCCGCGUUCAAGGAGGAUGUGUGGUCGCGCCCAUUUACAACAAUUUCAAACUCUUAUACGACCCCCACUCCUACCCUCGAUCACUCCUUUCUCGAAAAAAUGUAAGAACUCUAUAAGUUUUUAAUUUUUAUCCACCGCAUCGCGUGAAUUCCUACACUAUAUACAUCAUUGCUAAACUAAAAAUAUAACUAAAAUAUCUCUAUUUCCGAUAUAGGGAGAACUCAUUCUUUUUUAUACUAUUCAUGAAAAUUUAGGCAUGGAGUGGAGUUUAAAUCUAAAUUUCUUUCUACAGCUUUAUUUAUUAAUUAUUUAUACAGAAUCUACCCGCUGCAACGCGCGGGUGCCUUCACUAGUUGUCUAUUACUUUCUAUUAAUCCCCAAUAACAAAAGCUGAGGUGGCACGACCUCCUUUUUUAGAAUUUUUUUCUGAUUUUUUUUUUAUUUUGACAAUUAUUACAACAUUUUGAAUUUCACAUUUCAUACUAGCCGUUUCUAUUAGCAAUUAAUUUUAUAAAACGACUACUCAUAAUUGCAAUCUACUACUCAUAAUUGCAAUCUUUACUUUCUAUUAAUCCCCAAUAACAAAAGCUGAGGUGACAUGACCUCCUUUUUUAAAAUUUUUUUAAUUUUUUUUUUAUUUUGAUAGUUAUUAUUGCAUUUCAAAUUCCACAAAACCGUCUAUAUUUCAUACCAGCUGUUUCUAUUAGCAAUUAAUUUUCUAAAUUAGAAAACGGCUCCUCAUAAUUGCAAUUGAUAAAUUUUUAUAAAUUAUGAUAAUUAAUUGUCAAAUUAUACCAAAUAUGGUCCAUCUUUCUUUUUCAAAAUAGCCUCUAUAGUUGUUGUCAUUUGUUACUAAGAAAGCCUUUUCAAGUUACCAUAUUUUUUCUCAUUAUAUUUCACAAAUUAAUUUAUUAUUUGUUAAUACUUAAUGACCCACCAUCUUUCUUUCUAAAACUGCAUCUUAUUUAGUAACUGUCACGAAACAUUAAUUAUAUUAUUUAUAUUUUUAAAAUUUUAUUCAUUCUUAAAAUUACUUCAAGUUAUAUAUAUAUAGUAACUCCUAAAUAUUUUGGUCCUAUAAUUUUGCUCUCGCAGGAGGUGGUGGUGGACGCAUGAUGGGAGGUUUGGUUAAACAGUUUUUAGGCUUUGCUAACCAUUAUCACUCCAACUUUCAUUUAUUGGUUAUUAUCCACAAAAUCAUAUUUGGAUUUUCAAGAUAAGAUUAUUUUAAAAUAAAAAUUAUUAAGUUUCCUUUUUUUAAAAUUUCUUUUUUUUGAAUUGGCGAAAGUGUCUUUUUUUUUCUCUAUUUUGUUUUAUUUUUGUAAUAUAAUAAAAGAGAAAAAUGCAGAUACAAGAUUUAGAAAAAUGAUGAGCUCAAUGGAGAAUAAUGUUCAAGAUUACAACAACUUUAAAUACAACAUCGUCGACGCCGUCGCUGUCGCCGGCAUCAUAAACAUCCCCCAUUAGAUGAAAUGAUAUAAUGAGAUAAUAGGAAACUUACAGAGUUUUUUUUUUUCUCUCUUUUUUUUCUCCUUUUUUAGAGGCAAUAGAGAAGUAAGUUUGUAAACGAACGGAGUUGUAUGAUUUUAUUAAAACUAGGCUUUAUAGAAUAAAAAAGGUUGAUUAUUACUUCUAUGUACAUUUGUGAGAAGUGUGCCUUUUUAGGUUUUUUUUCUCUUGUUUCUCCUUGCUUUUUUUCUUUUUUAAUUUACUUUUGCUUCACUUCUGGCUAAAUUCUUAUAACUUUAUGAGUUACUGUUUUUUUAUUUGCUUCAUUGUUGGGUAAAAGUUCAUGGGUUUCAUUAAAAGGUAGGUUUAAAAAAAUUUACACUACCCACUACAUUUUGUUUUUGAAAAAAGAAACUCUUUAUGAUAGUUUUGAUGUUAUUUAUUUUCUCUUCCUCUUAAAGUUUGUAAUGGAAGGAAAUAGAAAAAAAAGAGGCUGAUAUUUUUGAAUUUUUUUUCCCCUUGAAUUGAAUAAUACAGGAACCCAAUGUUUUUUUUUAUCUUUCUAAAUGUUAGCCUUUAGUACAAUUACGAGAGAUAUUGUAAUCAUAAAAAUACAGUAGCACUCUCAAUUCAAAAAAAUAACAAUCAAUAUUUUUUCGACGAUAAAAUGUACUUACUACUUUAUUUUAUUACGUUAUCAUGUACAUUUUAAAAUAUUAAUUUUUACUAUUAUUUUUUACCUCAAAAAAAAUUUAAAAUUUUAUUUCUAUUAUUUUCCCGCCGCAUCGCGCGGGUCUCUGCACUAGUUAUUAUUAUUAUUAUAUCAUAUCACUAAUAAGAGCCAAUUUAUCUGGAACUAAAAUUUGUUGCGGGACUGUCCCAGACGUUACGAAUCUCAAAAUUAUAUAAAUAACAGAUAAAAAAUUAUUCCUAAUAUGAGAUUGUCAUAUCAAUAUAUAUAUAGUUUCGAGAAUGUGUAAACAUUUUUAUUUAGAUUUUCUUUUUUUUUUAUUAGUGAAUGGAAUGGAAACUGCUUAUAUUGUUAUCAUAUGAUAAAUUUAAGUAAAGUUGUAUGGAAGUGAUAAAAAAUGGGCACCUUCAAUUUCAAAAGCUUAGAUUUUUCACAUUUUUGCCAUUUUUUUUUUUAAUAUUUAAAGACUAGGAGUUCACAUUUUAAUGGUCAAUUUCCUUGGGCUUGGGACCAUGCAAGCAAAUGAUUUUGGGCCCGCGAUUCACAGUAAGGCCCACCAUAUAUUUCGGCCCAAAUUUGCGCGGUCAUCUUGGGCCCACUAGUCGUUAUGUACUCGCACAAUUUACGCAUAACAGUUAUUUCGCAUGGCAACAGAGUAGAGCAGAAUGUUCUGAGUUCGAAUCUCAUUUCAUUUAAUUUAAAUUCAAGUUCCGAUCACAGAUACGAAGGAAAAUAUUGAAUGAAACUCUCUUUAUAUAUAUAUAUAUAUAUAUAUAUAUAUAGCAUCAAAUUAUUGGUGCUAUUAGAUUUCGAUCUUUGGAUGAAAGAAUGUGUGAUUAGAAUGAUAGUGGUCCUCUAGUAUGAUCUAAUUGGUGAAAAUGAUUAGAGGGAUAGAUCUAACAGCGAAAUAUUUAAUAGCACCAAGUGUUUAUUGCUAUUGAUAACAUAAUAAACGAACUAUAUAUAUAUAUAUAUAUAUAUAUAUAUAUAUAUAUAGAACUAUAUAUAUAGCAUAUCUCUUAAUUCAAUGACCAAAAAUCUACAAGCAUCAACAACUUGGUACUUUUAAAAGGAUAGAAAUUCAAUUAUAUAUAUAUAUAUAUAUAUAUAUAUAUAUAUAGAGAGAGAGAGAGAGAGAGAGAGAGAAUUAGGCUGGAAUACUAUUAAUAGUAAAAUGCUCUUUUUGCUAUCAAGUUUUUAAUUCUUGGAUGAAAAAUUGUAGAGUCAGGAUGAUAUUAGUCGAUUAGAGUUGAGUGGUCCCCCUAGGGUUGAGUGGUCCCCACUGGGUUAUAGUAUUUAAUCCAAUGGUUAGAAAUAAUGAAAAAAGUUGAUCCAAAGGCUAAAAAACUGAUAGCAACAAUGGAAUUUUGCUACUAAUAGUAGCUCAAUCCAACUCUCUCUCUCUCUCUCUCUCUCUCUCUCUCUCUCUCUCUCUCUCUCUCUCUCUCUCUCUCUCUAUAUAUAUAUAUAUAUAUAUAGAACAUAUGGGUGAAAUUGACUAGUAAACAACUACGAGGAUUAGGUGAAAUUGACUAGUAAACAACUACAAGGAUUAGGGAGCGAACAUAAAUGGUGGAUAUAAGUGUCCAUUUAAAGAGACCCGAGCUUUUGUCCCCCGAAGAAAAGAAAAAAGAAAAAAAAAAGAAAAGAAACAGGGUACAAAUAAUUAGCUAGAGAAAGGACUAAGUUAGCUACUUGUUCAAUAAAUGUUCUAAAGGUUUUAAUCAAAGGACAGGGACCCACAAAAUAGAUAAACCAGUUACAACACAUAGCUACCUAUAAUGAAUUUGAUAGAUACUUGAUGUGAAAUAUAUCUUUUUCAACAUAUAUAUAUAUGUAUUUAUGAGGAAAUUAUUGUUAUGAAAAAAUCAUAGUUAAGCCUUUUUCAAAAGUACAUAUAAUGUUUCUUAGUUCUUGUUUAGAUGCGCAUGUUAUCCUGUCUCCUACGAUGACAAUGAAUUUAUUUGAAGCACUUAUUUGGAUGCGGAAAUAAAUUACUCCAAAACAUUUAAGCGUUUUUCAGUACAUAAGAGCACAUGCAUAGAAGCCAUUCCGAGCUUCUCGCGAAAGCCAACUUUUUAUUUCGACCCCCCUAAAAGAAGCAACUGCAAGAAGAACAUGAAGUUAAGACCCAAAUGCAGAAAACAAACGACAGAAGUAGCAGGACUAGACUAGCUGUUCAGCUCUAACAAGUCGGGACGCACUUCGUGCACUUUAAAACGCACUUCUUGGGGAAGCGCUUCCCCAAGUCGCGCGGCUUAUUGUGGCUGCACUUUUUUAUACAAACCACCUUCUUCUUCGCGCAGUACUCUGCAGUAAUGCACCUGGUAGCAGAAGCAGUUUGCAUUGGCUUGUGAUCAAUCCCCUCUUUCUCUCCAACUUUCACUAAUUCCAUCUUUUUCACGCCAUUUUCGCCGCCAUUUGACCAGAUCCCUCCCUUGGCUUUUGCAAGGAGCCCUCUCAGAUCCCUACCCAAGGUUGUGGAGAAGCUGCUUCCCUCAAAAGCUGCUGGUGAGCUGGCAUUGACAGAAGCAGCUGCAAGUAGAAGCAAGAUUAGGAAGCAGGAUGAUCUCUUCAUUUUUGGUGGUGCUAAUUAGUUUCGAUAUAUUAAUAUAAUUUAAUUGUCUAGUGCUCUAAAGUUGCACAUUAUAUGUAUGUAUAUAUAGAGGGUGAGAUUUGGCAUGGUGAGUUAAGGUGCAAAUAUGGCGUGAUCCAACUGAUCAUUAGGAGUGGAAAUUAAGCGUGAAUAUGUGAACAUGAGAGUUGUGACGCCGUAAAAGGCCCACACUAAAUGAAAACAUAGGGAGUUCGUGACAGUCUACUAAUCCCACAUCAGAUAAAAAAAAAAAAAAAAUUGUAACGUUCUAAUAAUCUCAUUUGGUUCUAGUAAUAAUAGCUGAAUCUAAACAUUUCGGGCCAGUAAUUGGCGUUUAACGACUGAAUUAUUACAAAGAUUGCGAUCUCCAAAGAGAAAACAGGUGUAUGUAUGAAAAACCAUGCAUUUGAAUAGGAUUGGCACGGACCUCAAUACUAUGAUAUGGCCAAAACCAUAAUUAUAUUUUUUUUUUCACCAAAAUAAAUGGCAAAAUAUAUCAAAUAAACCAUGUAACUAUAUUUUUUUAAUAGCUUAAACUUUUAUAGAUCAAAUCAAUUUUUAAAGUACUACUUAGUACUUCUCAUAAAUCAAAAUUAGUGAGUCAUAUUGCAUGCAGUAAGAAUGAAAUGAUUAUUUUGUAAAUGAAAUAUUAACCCAAAAAACAGUGAAAUAGCAAAAUCCCAUAUUGUAAUUGGGCCACUCCUAGAAUUACUAGAUAUUUUAGUUGGGCUAGCUUUUGGGCCCAACCUGGUCCAGCCCAUUAUGAGCACUCUUUUUUUUUCUUUUUUUUUUCUUUUUUUUUGUUCUUCUUAAGAAAUUACAUCACAUAUUCGAAUGAUGAGUUUCAUAAAAGGUAAUUAGAUAGAAUGAAGUUGGAUUAAUUUACUAACCAAUCUGAUCACCUGAUCUCAGCUAAACUUCACCUCUUUCUAUAAUUUUAGAUACCUUUUUUCUGUUUUUAAUUUUGGAUCAAUUUUUGGUACUUUUGUCUCUUAGAUCAUGGUUGUUGUUCGAUUCUUAGUUCAACCAAUCUAAAUAUUUUGACAUUUUCAUUGCUACUCUCACUACAACAAAAAUGAUGUAUAAUGAUAUUUUUAAAUGUCGGUAUAGAUCAAAAAAAGUACUGUUGGUUAAAUUACCGACACUUUUUAAAAGUGUUGCUAUAUGUGAGGUCGCUAUAGGUAGGGCCGUCUUGAUAUUUGGAACUCACUCCUCCAGCAACUUGUGGCGGAAGGAUACGUGGCGAUCGUAACCCUCUACGAUCCCUGUGAGAUCCUCGUGGCCAAACUCCAGUUGUUGAAAACCUACCUCGUCAGCUACGACGGCGGAAAAGGAGAAGGCGAGAUGGUGAUCAUUUUUUCUUUUUUUUUUCUUUUUUAUUUGUAAUCGGGUUGAGUAGGCUGGGUGUGAUUGGUUGAGUAGAGCAAUUUUUUAUUUUUGAUUGAAUUGAGCUUUAUAUUUAGACCUUAAUAAAUUUUUUUAAAAAAUUUUGGUAUAAAUGGGACACUUAUAUAAAAAUGUUUCAAAAAUAUGUCAUUAUAAUCUAAUUCUGUUAUAGUUUCUUUGCUUUUACUCUCUAAGUACCACACAUGAAUGACAAAGUUAAAAUAUUUUGUAUUAUUUAAAUCUUAUCGUGCUACAUUUUGUUCAUAUCUUAUCUUUCCAUUUAUCAAAAUGAAACCCAAAUUAAUGUUUUUUUUUGUUUUUGAACCAAAAAAAAUGGCCUAUAUAUUUUGUCAUCUAAACCUUUUUAUGGAUUCUUCUCCUUGGAUAAGAAGAGAGAACAUGCCCCUUUGGCCCUUUGUGAUUCUUGGUGCUCACAUUUUCAAUCAAUUAAUUUAAAUUUGACACAAAUUUAAAAUUAAUUGAUUGAUUGAAACAACCACAUAGUACUCCACAAAUUGACAUAUUCUUCUACAUUUAAAUUUGACACAAAUUUAAAAUUAAUUGAUUGAUUGAAACAACCACAUAGUACUCCACAAAUUGACAUAUUCUUCUUGGAAAACUACAGAUAAAAAAAUAGAAUAUAAAUUCUAAUGCUAAUUGAUGGUAAUUAUUGCCUUAUCCACCUCAAAUGACACCAAGAUAUUUCAAAAGAUCCCUUAUGGACAUUAAAAGAUGGUAACGCGCAAACGACUUAUCAAACUUCUUAAUUAGUGUAAAAAUGUAAUCUUCAAAGAUAUUUAUUCGUAAUUAUUUAAUAUGAUAGUCAGAGUAGAUGGUUCUGAAUUUAAUAUUUAUUUUGAAACAAUCAACUGUUUAACAAAGAUAACGGGACUUCGAAAUUAUUAUAUUAAAUUCUAUUGAAGUAAUAUGUUGAAAUAAAAAAUCUUCAUGGGUUUUUUAUGUGCUAAUGAUGGUGAUUAAUUAAGAUGCAUUGAUUAAGAGUGGAGUAUAACCAUAAUAGAAGAUGGAUUAUCUCUUAAUCAAAACAUUACUUAAUCCCUUAAAUGAUGGAUCUACAAUAUAUUUAGGACGCUUAUUACAGAAACUUAUCUUUCAUUUAUAUAGUCAAUUUUUAAUUAUUGUAUUAUAUAAUUCCUCCGAUUUUCGCACCAAUUAAAGUUUUUGGAGAGAAAAAUAAUACGCUUUCAUUCUUGUUUUAAAAAAUUAAAUUUAGCUAGAAAUGUAAAAUAACCAUGUUUCAAACUUAGGAUCUCAAAUACUAACCAUUAAACUCUUUACCACCUACGUUAAGAACAGUCGGUACUCGGUAGUAUCAAUUAAAGUUACAGUUUGCGAAUCAAUUAAUUGGGAGUUAUCUAAAGAGUUGUAAUUAAAUAUCGGAAAGUAAUUAUCGCAAACUUAAGUUCAAAAAAUUGAAUAAUAAAGUUCAAGUUAUUGUUACUUAAAUGAUAAUCCACUAUGGCAUAAAAUAACUCUUUUCCAAAUAUUAAUUUCCUAUCAUACCAUGCUAAAUCCAUCCCAACCCAUGAGCCAUAUAAAUCUAUGUUAAUACAUCAAUCAUCAAUCAUAUAUAUGAAUUGAAAGUUUUCAAUCAUGUUAAUUAUUCUUAUGAAAAGUUGAUGUGAGUGUUUGUGAUUUAAAAAAACUAUCUUUUUUUAUUUACAAUAUUGUACUAUUUUAUUUGCUUAUGAAUCAAUACAUUGCACUAUUAAAUAAUUUUUAUUUGUUAUUGCAAAUUACUCUUUAAUUAAGUAUUAUUAAAUUAUUAUUUUUUCAACAAAUUUAUUAUUUUAGAUUGAAUAAUUAAAAAUAUCUCGAAUUAAAUAAUUAAAAAUAUGUCGAAUUAAAUAAUCAAUAAUUAUAUCCAAGUGGUUUUUGACCGAACCUUUUCCACACCACUUUUCCAAUUUACUACUCAACUUAACUCGGAUAGAGUCAAGUGGUGUAUGGACCACAAGAAAUAUUCGCGUAUUUAACAUGCACCCGGUGCACCGUACAUUUUGCCCACAAAAUCCUAAUGUAUUAGUACAACGUUUCAAAAAGGAUUUUAAAUUUAUAAAUUUUGUCUAUAAUAUUUAAGCAUGUAAUGUAGAUUUGUUUUGAUUAAUUUCAAAAUACAUAGUAAAAUAUUAUGUCGAUUCACGGAUACAUUAAUAACAUUAUAAAAUAUACUACAUACGAGAUCAAAGCAUUUUCUAUUAUAUGCACACUCUCUAAAUACCGUAGAGUAUAUGAAUUGAAUUAGAUUUUGAUUUUAUUAUACGAUAAAAUUAAUUCCAUUAGCCUCCAAUUUAGCAUAUUUUUAUGACUAAAAUACAGAAAACUUCUUGUAAGUACUUGUUUUUUUUUUAUUUUUUCUCUCUUAUUUUUAAAAACUUACAAUUUUGCUUUCUUAAAAUUUCAGAAAUAUUUUUAGAAAAGUACGAUGUUAAUGGGGAGGACAAAAUGAUUAAAUUAUUCUUAUUUGUUCUAUAAGAAAAAAAUAAAUUUUAACCUAUGUUUAUCAUUUUGAAAGAUAUUUUCAGUAUAAAUUAUAAAAAAAUUAGCGAAAUAAUGAUGAAAUCUUGCAAAAUGCAAAAAAUUAAAAUAUUGAGAUGGAUAAAAAAUAAAUUUUAUAUCAUUGAGCCUAUUUUUAUUUUGUCAUUACAUUUUACUGGCCACAUAAUUUAUUUAUAUAUUAUAGACAAUUGCACUGCAAAAAAGAAAAUCAUAAGCAUUAAAGUGCGGUGCAUGAGAUGGACAAAUACACCGGGUGUACUGAUAAACUUCCGAGUGUCGUUGGUGCGCCGGGGGGAUAAUUUCGGGUACGUUUUCGGGUAAGCGUUCCACGCGGGCAGCGACCGUUCCGCGUUCCGACAAAAACCGUCACCGGUUUCCGACCACGCGGCGAAGCGACUACAUCUCCUCUCUCUCUCUCUCUCUCUCUUCUUUCUCUCUCUAUCUCUUUCCUUUCUCUCUCCUAAACACGUGAAGCACCCUCUCCUCUACUUGGUUUCUCUCUCUCUCUCUCUAUCUCUCUCUCUCUCUCUCUCUCUCCAUUAUUCCUCUUCUCUACACGCUAUUCUCGUUCUCGGGGGCUUAUUCUCGGGUGGAUAAGUGUAGGAGCGAGGCGAAUAAGGAGGGAUAUGUUAUAUGUUAUAUGUUAUAUGUUAUAUGUGUUCGUAUACAUGUAAUACAUGCGCAUAUAUCGCAUUAAUGGAGUAAAGGAGGGGCCUUUCCAUUUUUAGGUGGUGCGGAGAAUCACAUCCUUCUCGCUUUUUGGACUAAGAGCAGAGCACGGAAUAACUAUUCCGCCCCCCCUCUUAUUCUUAUUCCCCUUCUCUUUUUGCGUAAAAAUUGGGUUUUUUUUGGUGUGUGUGUGUGUGUGUGUGUGAAAGAGAGAUGGGGAAUAAGUAUGAAGGGAGAUCAAAUUUGCAAUCGUUUUUGGAUUGCAUCACUCCUGCUGUGGAAACCCAUUUCCUCCCCAAGGUGAUUUUUUUCCCCUCAAAAUCCUUUUUUUUUUAUGAUUUGUAUCUGGAUUUUACGAAAAGGUGUUAAUUUUUUCACCUGGAAUUAUUGAUGAGUGUUUAUGAUUGGGGUUUGGCGCACACUUAUUGCAUUUGCAGGUUCCUCUUUCAAUUAUUAUGUAUGAUAUGUAGUAGUAACCUAUUCCCUUACUUUUAUUGGAGAAGCAUAGAUGUGUUUGAAUUAUGCAAACAUGGUUGUUACCUUCUAAAUUUAUGUUUUUUCUUUUUUUUUGUUUAAGAAAUCAUCAUUCCCCUGUGAACUGAAUGGUAGCUCCUCAUAGAUUUGGUUAUGUUGGAUCAUUUGAAUGCAGCAGCCAUGCUUUCGCACAUCGAAAGUUCGUUGGCGAACCGCAGAAUCAGAUACUAUUGGGUGCUUCAGCCUUGCGGAGCUCUGGGAACAGUACUAUGAGUGGAGUGCCUACGGCGCCGGCACCGCCGUGCGCCUCCCUAACGGAGAAAAAGUAGUCCAAUACUACGUGCCGUACCUAUCCGGCAUCCAAUUGUACACCGAGAAAGCGUUUACUGCGUCGAGGUUGUCGAUUAGAUCCCGCUAGUUCACGCAUUUGAUCCCCCCGGUAGAACAAUUGAUUAGAACUUUUCUGCUCUUUCGUGUAGGAGUUUUAAUGGAGAUAGCGGUGCCGAUUAUUGGAGCGAUGAUGACGACAACGCCGAGAAAGAGAGGCUGUCGAGGUCGUGGAGUGCGGUUUCUGAGGACUCGGGCUUUAGCUACGAGGGUUCAUGGGUGAAUCGGAAACGGCCCGGGCACCUGUACUUUGAGUUCUUUGAGAUUUGCUCUCCUUAUGGGAGGAUUCCGUUUGUCGACAAGGUUACCAUUUGUCGAUAACGAUUGCUUCGAGAUUUUCGUCCGAAUUCAUCCUCUACGGCUAAAAUAUUUCUAAUUUUUCUGAUUGCUGAAUGUUUGGUUCCUCAGAUAUAUGAAUUAGCUCAGAACUUUCCUGGACUGACGGUUCUUACGAGCGCCGAGCUUUCGCCCGCUAGUUGGAUGUCGGUUGCGUGGUAUGCUUAUAUUAUUGUUAAGAAAUAACAACGGCAUUAGAGUCGAUUGUUCGGUCUAUAACAUAGCCGAUACUUGUGUUUACAUUGUAGUACUUCUCGGCAAAAUAGAGUAUUCAUUCUAUCUAGUUCUCUCAUUUUCGCUCCUCUUUUGUUGAUCAGGUACCCGAUUUAUCAUAUUCCGACCGUGCACACUGUGAGGGACUUGUCCGCGUGCUUUUUGACUUAUCAUAGCAUUUCCUCAUUGUUUCAAGGUUAAGUUUCUUUUACCAUAUAUUUUCGGAGGUUUUGUAGAGACAUUAAUCACCACAUCAUAAUUCAUGGAAUGCAAUUCGAUUAUACGAUCAUGUCUCAGAAACUGCAAUCGAGCUAUAAGAAGAAGCCGUCUCGGAUAAUCGCAAUCCAUUAUUCUUUUUUUCUGAAUCUGACGAUAGCAGUGCUCUUUGCAGAGAAUACAGCUGAGAGCGUCGGGAAAGGUUUAUGCCGCGCCAACGGGGAAGAAACCGGAACUAGACCAGAUGAGAAGGGUGCCAGGUUUUCGCUCCCUCCGUUCGGGCUCGCGACUUAUAAGACGCAGGGGAGCCUCUGGAACAAUCCGGAAACCGGAGAUAACAAGAGGAUGGUCUCCCUCUUUAGCGCCGCAGAUUCCUGGCUAAAGCAACUGGGAGUCCAACACCAUGACUUCAACUAUUUCAUUACUCACCCCAUCUGAAUCGAAAUAUAAUAAUACAGUUUGUUUUAGUCGCGUAAUCUUCGAGUCCGAAUAAGUACUUUUUAUGCGGGGAAUCACAAACCUUGUUGAUUUCCGUAAGCUAAAUUGGUUUUAUUUAUGGAGUCUGAAGAGUAGAAACAAACUUUUGUUCAGAGCUUUUCAGUUUGUGUGUAGUUAUUUCCGUAAAGCCGGAUUUUCUGGGCAAAUUUGGUGAAGGGAACUCUAACUUGUACAUAAAAAUGUUGAGAAUAUGUUAAUUUCCUUUUCCUUGUGGAGGUGAUUUCAUGGUUUGAUUUUAUAAAUUUGCUGAGCCUCUGAGUGGUAUUUCUAUCUUCUUUUUUAAAAAAAAUUUGCUCAAGCAGAUGUUUAUUUUUUAACUGCAAAAUUCUUUAAUUAUUCUGUUAGUUCAAAACAAGCACCAAAUUGUUCUCAGAAAAGAGUAAAUUAUUAAAAUUACAAGAGAAAAGGGAUUAUUAUUAAUGUUUAAAUAGCACAAAAAAGAGGAGAUUUGAUUUGUCUCUGAAUCUCAUAAUGAAAGGAGAGAUCAGUUGCUUUCAAAUAUCACCAACGCACCACCACCAGUUUUGAAAUUUAGGGGGCAAAAUUGAGACUGAAAAUGACAUUUUGCAAAAGGGAAUUGAUGUCCCAAUCAAACUUCAUGAUUAAAAAAAAAAAAAUCUGAAUUAAAUCAAAAUCAAAAUCAAAAUCAAAAUAUAAAAUUUUACAAACUAAAAAUAGUUUAGUUUAAAGCGGAAAUGACUAAAUUCUUACAAAUAAAAUUGCGAGUGCAAAGUCAAAAUUCAUGUCUAUCUCAUGAUUUUCAAAAUUUUCAUCUUAAACAUACACCCUCAUUCCAAUAAUUUGCACAUGAUUUUCAUAUAUCGUAUCAUCACUAAUCAAAAGUACAAGCAUUCUAUAUGGAAAGAGGCCAAAUUGGAAGAAAAAAAGAAAAAGAAAGAAAGAAAAAAGGUUAGGGCCUAAAGUAAUACUAGAGUAAGCCGUAAGGACCAAUGGUGCAAUUUAACACUAAACAAACAAUAAAGUUACAGCAUCUUUAGUCCCACAUCGGCUAAAUACUUGAACAAUGCUUCUUUAAAUACGGCAAUCGAGGGAACCUCAACGCCGAGUUCAGUAGCGUGAGCUUGUAACCCGAGCGGGGGCACAUGGAUGGGUUCGGACAUUGGGUUAUGCGGGUCGGAUCUGGGUGCGCCGGUGCGAUUUGUUGGCUCGCCCGAUCCAAGUUGGGUAGUGGGCCACGUGGCUCUUGCGAAGGCAGGAUGCCACGUGGCACCUAGAGUGGAGGGCAAAGCGUGAGGCUGGUUUCACAGAGCAGCGAUUACCUCCCGCUCCUAACGGUGGGCGGAUAACGGGCCGCUGCUCCGCGUACCCGCUAUGAUCCAGCCCCGUACCGCAAAUGGACGGCCCAUCUUUUUUGCCAUUUUCGUUUUUUUUUUUUUUUUUUUGGUUUUGGUUUAAGAAUGGGCCCCAAUUUCAUUUCAUAGGCACCAUUUUUGUUUAGAAAGCAGGGCCCCAAUUUCAAUUUCGUGGGCACCACAGUCGCUUUGGCCCAAAACCCACGAAGAAGCGUGUUUUGUGUCGCGACGUGGUGGGCCUUCGAGAAAAAGACAUCGAAUCCGUGUCAAUUUGGCAUUUUAAAAGUAGGUUUAUCUAACGUUAUUAGGCAAGACACUCUCCCGCUCCUAACGGUGGACGGAUAACGGGCUGCUGCUCCGCGCACCCGCUAUGACCCAGCCCUGUACGGCAAAUGGACAGGCUAUCCUUUUUUGCCAUUUUUGGGUUUUUUUUGUUGCUUAAAAUGGGCCCCAAUUUCAAUUUUCAUGGGCACCACAGUCGCUUUGGCCCAAAACCCACGAAGGGGCGCAUUUUGUCUCGCCGUGCGGGCUAUUCGAGAAAAAGACAUCAAACCCGUGACAGUAAUAAAGUAUAUCAUAACCAACUCAAUGUGACAUAAUGUACAAAAUCUCUCAUUGUUUUUUUUCUUUUUUUCUUUUUUUCCGCAUGAAACGUAAUCAUUUCGCAAUCCCUAGUUUGAUAAUACGAUGAUUAAAAGCACUGAUUUUAUACUUUAAAGAGAUCUAAAAAAUUGGAAAGUGUUUUCAAUCUCUCUCCUCUAAUGCUAUAAAAGAAUAAAAGAAUCAUUCUGCAGUAGUUAGUUGAAAAGAAAAAAAAAAACAAAACAUUCUGCAGUAGUUAAAAGAGUAAAAAAAGAAGGGGUUUCAUCCAUUUCCUGCUUGAAAUAUGUAGUAGGCCCACAAGGUUUGAUGAACUGAUAUGGCUCCAAUUUACAACAGAAGCUAUAAUUCAUGCACCAUUAAUAAAACUAUUCAUACAGUUGCUGUACUGUAUCAAAAAAGCUUUUUAAAGUGUCGUCGAAAAACCAUGUCCCGAUUCGCAAGAAGCGUUACAUCAGCAGUUGCUAGCUUCUUAAGCAUAAUAUAUACAAACAAAACUUUGUACAGUAGCUGAGUUCAAUUAACUGGUUUUUCGUAUAAAGGAAGGCUAAAUCAUCAUGGCUUCGACACUUAAAAUGGGAAAAGACCAGCGUUCCUCGGAUGAAACAGAGCGAUGAAUCGGUGAAUUCCAGUAAUCUCCAUGAUGCUAUUUUGUUCAACUUGUAUCAGAAGUAUAACCUAUGCUCCGUAUAAUUGCAUUGCAAAUGUGGCAGCCUCGUCAUCACCAGCCAUUUUCUCAUGCUUCAUCACUUAAACUGCGGUAAUUCACCAUAUAAAUAGCUAAUAAUGUAAUUAAUGCACCGCCGAGCUGUAUAGGCGAGAAAGUCUCACCAAGGUACAAGAACCUGUUCACAAAAGGAAAAAAGUUACAGGUAUCAAAUGCAUUCGAGGCACAUAUACAUCUUAAUAACCAAUAACGGUUUUUUUAUAAAAAAGUGACUUCUGAGGAAAGGAGACCAAAAUGAAACGCAUUGGUUCGGACUGUGAUCUUCGGAACAUGAUAGGCUUACCCGAAAAUUGAAGCAAACAUUGGAGUCAAAAAUGUGAGGGAGCUAAGUUUGGUCAAGCUACCUGCAUGUGUAUUACAGGUAUGAUUAAUCACCACAGCAAUCAAGGAAACUAAAAUAUAGUCUCACACAAUAACACGAAUUUUAACCACUUAAUUUAUCAUUUAAUUUCUAAGUAGGUAGCUGAAAGCCUAAAACCGACCGAGCCCCCACAAGCAUUCCAAUCAUUGCGUAAUAUAAAUUCAGAAAUCCUUAUAGUAUUAUGUAACACAAGUCGCAUAAUAACAUAGAAGAAUCUGACCUCUAGUUGCAUUAUAGAAGUAUACACCAUAACUGACAGCACUUCCAAACACGGAGGUGUAGCAAAGUGCUAAUAGAUCACUUGAAGUAAGCUCCAUCAAAUUUCCAUUCACUGCAGGAUCAUGAUUAAGGACGGAGAUCACCACCAGAGGGAGUCCGCCAAUAAUCAUGUGCUAUUAACAGUAAUUACAGAAUCAGAUAAGUUGCGCGAACCAUGUUACAUUAAAUUAAAGUUAAUAAGAAGAGUCGUAGUAGUAUAAUCAACAAAAAUUGACUACGACAAUGAGAGUAAGUUUGAAGCGAAACAUAUGAUCUUUUCCUCAUAUAUUAAAUUGAAACUAUUGGCACUGUUCAUCCUAUCUUAUUCCAAACAUACCCAUCCAGUUGCCAUGACAGGAUCGGAAUAUUUAGACACCCAACGAACCAUGAUGGUCCCAACAGCCAUGCUUUGAGCCGCAAGAAGCAUCCACCAUUCCCCACUUCCCCAUAUUGAUGAGGUGCUUCCGUCAAAGGAAAUUGCCGGGACCUAUGGAAUGAAUGUCCAUCAUUGGCAUAACAAAAAUUAGGUGCACGAUAAUACAUAAAUUUGAGAAUGAAAGUGUAGCCUAUUCUCUUCCAGUUUGUCACAACUUUCUCUAAUUUCCAAGAUUACAUCCAUCUGAAUUUUGAAAAAGUAAAAAAAAAGAAGAAAACAGAAGGGACCUAAAAAUCCAUAGCAGUGAGGUUCAACCACAGAUGGUGUGUUCUGAGAAAAGUUAGCUUAAGAAGAAUACGAAUCUUAAUAACAGGCUAUAGGAAUGCAUCCCUCAAGAAUUAUAUGCAUGCAAUAAAACUACCACACUGCACAACACAUUGAUUGAUACCAUAGAAGUUGACACGUAGUAAUGCUGAAAGUCGAUACAGGGGAUCAAAGAAAUUACGCAACAGUGUGCUGUUGACCCAUAUCAAUGGAGAGCAUUUUACAAUAAAAGAAGUCGCGAUCCCAUAAGAAACAACCUCAAGGAGAAGAAGACCAAUGACACCCAGCACAAGCCCAGCUGCUCCGAUUGCACCAAUUGAUUCUCCAAAUAAUAGUGCUGCAAGAACUGCAACUGUUAAAGGCUGGGAAUCAAUGAUGACCUGCAAUUUGGAUUUUCAAUAUAAAGUCAGAAAAGUGAAAAAUAACCACAAAAUGCAUUUACACUUUGCCGAUAUAAAUGGUCUAGCGUUCAUCAUACCAGCUUAAGGCAUUUUUAGAAAAAGAGAAGAGUAACAUAUUUUGCAUAAGAUAGGUGAAUACCCAAACUGAACAAGAUAGAAAAAUUAAAGAAGUGUGAUACUUCCAGACAAAAUUUAUGCGCAAGACUCUAUUGCAGAUUACAUGACUUUCUGAUUCAUAGCGAAGCGUACAUCAGUUUGUUUAGUAAAGAAAAAUAUACCAUGAAUAUGUUCCUACAAGAUGCAAGGUGUAAAAAAAAAGGCCUUCUUAGUUUUCAAGUAGCUGCCAACAGCAAAAUGGUGCGGUAAAGGUUGAAGAAAAUGUUCUAUUAUGACCAUUUGAUCACCUUUACUGUUCAUCAUCAUUGUAUGCGAUCCUUGGAACAGCAAUAUACCAGCAGAUGGGAAGAAAUACCAUAUAAUGUUAAUGUCGCAUAUUAGUGCACAUCAAGAUAUCCAUAUUCGACUAUGUUAUAAUCCACAUUGCACUGCAAUCACUAGACAAGUGAGAAUUUGAUCCCAGAUCUUGAUGGACAACAUGAAAGAUCAGCAUGAUGCGUGUAAAUUAGCUUCUUAAGACCGACAAAACAAUCGUCACUAACUUAUCGUUUUGACAAUAAAAAUUGUUCUUUUCCCUUAUUUCGAUGUAUCACACGAACAUAUGAUUCGAAGUAAUAUGCAAAUGGUUUUGUAGGAAAAGUUGGAAAACCUCAUAGAUAUAGCAAGUAAUUAACAAUCUUAAACUAGAACCAAGUAAUGCAUUGGUUAACUUAAGCAUAGAGAGACGGCGAUCAUACACUUCCCAAUCCCGCAGACGUCCUCUGCAAACCCUCAGCGAGAAAUCCCUGCCAAUCCAAGAACCAAACAUAGAAGACAAUGAGGGUAACCACAUUGCUGAUAUCAUAGAAAGAACAAUUAAUGCCGAACACCUGCAAAGCUUCCUUCUUUUCUAACCUGACGAACCCUAGCCCACCUGAAAGCACGCGGCAUCCACGACGCCGAAGGCGAGGAUCGACGCCCACGCAAGCAACCCCGACGGCUGCUUCCUCCCCCUGAUCGCGGCGAAUCCGAUAAGAAGCGCUCCGGCGGGGAUCAAUCGGAAGGCGGAGACGAAGAACGGCCCGGUCUUGGGGAUCACCUCCUUCAUGGCGACCAUGGCCGAGCCCCAGAAGAAGAAGGGCGAUACAAGAAGCCCCCACUCCAACACCUUUUGAAUCAAGCCCUCCUCGGCGGCGGCGGCGCCGCCCCCCACGAUCUCGAACCCCGCGGGGGCCUUCUCCUCCAGGAGCCGAUCCGCCUCGGAGGAGGCGGCGACGAAGCACUCGACGUCGGAGCCUGUGCCGACGCAGUCGACGGUGGCCGGCGGAGCCGGCGACGUCAUCUUGCUGCCGCCGCCGCCGCCGUCUCCGCCUCCGGCGCCGGUUGCUAGGGUUCGUGAUCUCGGAACCCUAGAAACCCUAACCCUAAUCGUCGUCGUCGUCGGAGGAGGUGCCGAUUUGGGGGAGGGGGAGAGGAGGGGGAUUCGGGGAUUAGGGAAGAGGAGGAACGCGGCGGAGGGGGUCGACAUGGUGGAGGGGGGAAAGGUUGACUUUGAAGGCAAAAAGAUUUGGUCGCGUUGACCAAUUCUAUGUUAUUUUAUUGAAUUUUUAAAAAAAAUUGUUUUGAUCGAAGGAGAGGGUGUGGAGUUUGAAGUGUCUCCGAAGCGAUCGAGGCUUCGAAGAAACAGAGGAGGAGAACGAAGAAGAGCAACGGUCGGAAUUGUGGUGGGAGUGGUCGGUGUACGCGGAUGGGAGGGCUUAUCAUCAAGAAGCUAUUGCGUGCACCCGGCGUAUCCAAUAUCCCACUGGACCAAACUUAGCAUGUGCUUGGGAACAAAAUCUAGAACGCACCACAAUUUUAUUGCUGAUGUGGUGCUCCUAAUUAAUCAAAAAAUUCUCUCUAUCAUAAUUUUUAGAAAAUAUUUUUAUUAUAUUUUUCUCUCAACCUGAGAAAUAUGAUUAUUGACUGAAAAUAUAUAAUGUGGUGUAAGUAUUACACAGUAAGUUUUCUCGUGUUUGAGAUUGCGGAGAGAUUACUUCAUGUACGCUACAAAAGUACGAGAAAAUAAUAAUUUGUGUUGCGCAUAUCGUAAUGGGUGGGUUAAUUUUAUUUUAACUUUCACUUUUCAGAUUUUCAAUAUUUUUUCUUUGCAUUAGGAGCAUUUGUAACCUAAUAUAAUUAAGGAUAAUCUGAUAAAGUAGAAGCAAUUGCUUUAUAUUUCUUCUAAAAAAUGAAUAAACAAAUAGUUUGCUACCUUUCUAUCUUUCUGUCAAAAAAAAAAAAAAUUUCACACUAUAACAACAUUAAGCGGUUCUCAAUACUAAAAAAGCUCCGAAAAAAACUUGAUAUAUAUUUGAUUUGUUAAACAUAGACGGUUCAAAAAUUGUGAGUAUUAAUAAGUUUACUUCUUGAAUUUAAAAAAAUUCAUCAAGUAAAUAAAAUAAUAACUUUAAAAAUUACUAUAGCAACAUCUUAGGGGUGUGGUGCUCAUUGUUUUAGGAACACCAACAUAACACAAUUUGCUACAUAAUUCUUCUUCCAACUGGGGGAAAAAUAUAAUGUUGAAUCACUAAAAAGAACAAAAAAAAAAAAAAAACAAAACAAAACAAAAAGAAGAGAAAGUGGAAAUACAAAAGAUAAUUUUAUUCUCAUUGCUCUGAAUCCAACACAACAUUUUCUUACACUCUAAAUUGUAGAUACAACCCCAACCUUAGUAUUAUUCUGGUACAUUAAAAUGACAUCUCAAUACAGCUAAAAUAGCUCUCUUUUUUUCUAAUUUGUGCUUGCGCACAUUCCACACGAAAAGUCAUUCUUUUUAUUCUCUCUCUCUCUCUCUCUCUCUCUCUCUCAAUUUGGAGUCAAAACAUACAUCUUGCAAGCAUGAGCUGCCACUGUAGCUGUGAGCUGCCCCUGAACUGAUGACAUGCUUGUGUGCUGCCCAAAAAAAAAAAAAAAAAAAAAAAAAAAAAAAAAAAAAAAAAAAAAAAAAAAAAAAAAAAAGACAAAUUUGUUAGAUAGAGGAAAGAUGAAGUUCUCAUGAAGCAAGUUUUGCCGCUUAAUCUAAAGUCCUUCAGAAUCAGGCGCUUCAGUUUAGAGUUUCUACUGUUAGCCCUUAAAGUCGCAUAAAGUCGCAGGUUUGUUUUGUAUUUGAAAGUUGAAUAAGGCUACGUUUGGAGUUGCGGCUGGGAAGAUUGCGUUACGUGCAGUGAGAAAGUACGAUGGAAAAAUACCCUAUUUGUUUCCGUACGUAAUAUUGUGUUCCGCAUAUUAUGAUGAGUCGGUUAUAAUAUAUUUUCUACGGUUCCACCGGAAAAUGUAGAAAUAUAUCUCUAUAUGCUUUUUUCCUAACUCUAUUUUAUCUAACAGCAUCAGAUAAACCUCAAUACUAAACUAAGCCUAAGAAGUGCAGCGAAAAGGCUUUUAGUGGUUGAGUGCCGCGAAUUUAUUUCUGACGAGGAGAAUAAAAAUAAAAGAAAAGAAAAAGAAAAACUUACAGCCCAUAGAUCGCGGGCCGCGACAACAGUUGAUGAUUUGAGCCCAAUAUUUGACCAGUUUGCUGUAAUGGAUGCUUGAGAACCUGAUCUGUUCCAUAGAACCACAGCCACACUCCCACCACUAAGUGGCCCAGCCCAAACCUACCAAAUCAAAAAAAAAAAGGAGGAGAGAUGAUUUAGCUUAAUGAUAAUAAGAGGACACUAAAUUUUAGCGAAUAUAUACGAAUCUAUCUUAUUAUGUAAACAGUAUUCAUUUUCAAUGCAUCUGUUAUAUCAAUAGCAAAUUAUGUUCACGGUAACAUCCUAUAUAUCAGCUCUGUAAAUGUAAUUACUGAUACAUUAACAUCCGUCGAACGAGAGAAUUAUGAGAUGAUUUAAGGUUUAUUUAGAAGCCACACCUCUAAACCGCCACUUGAUUGCACCUUUUUCCCCUGAACUCCAAGCUUAUCUGUGGAUACCAUGAUCCCACACAUAAAUAUAACUUUGUCUUUUCAAAAAAAAAAAAGUGUAACAUGUAAUAUUUUGCUGAAUUAUUGUCUAAGAACCUUGAUUAACCGCGAUAACCUCCGAAUUGCCGAGUAUAUCCUUAGUAUCUUGGCUCAUUGAGCGGAGAUCGCACCCGAUUAGAAGCGGAGCCUACGCAUUAACCAAUUAAUCAUGAGUAGUUAAAAGGAAGUAGCCACAUAAUAAUAUGAAAUUAAAGGUGUUAAUUUAUCAAAGAAAAAUGAAUUUGAAAAUGAAAUGUUUGGUUUUGAUUUAAUUAAUCACCUUUGUUAAUGCCCAUAUGCUGAAAUGUGAGCGAUACUCCUCUGUUGACAUCCCACCAUUUCCCACCUCAAGCAUAUCAGGAUCUGCAUUACAAAAUCAAUGGUUAGUAUUACAGAUUAAUUUCAACGGGUCUGGUUCGGGGCGGAUUUUCAAAAACCCGUAUCUGAACCCAACCAAAAAUUCGAAACUUGAGCCUGAACCCAAAAAUUCAAAUAUGAAACAAUUAUUUCUCUUUACAAUAUUUCAAAAUAUAUUACGUUAAAUCUAAAUUUUAAAAAUACAAAUUCAAAUACAACAUCAAACAUUUAUAUAUAUAAUAUAUAAUGUACAAAAAUUUCGGGUUCGGGUUUGGGCUCGGGUCGGGUACAAUUAAAAUUCACACCAGAAUCUAAAUUCGUUGGAUUUUCGUUUUUGAUAUCCAUAUUUCGAAACUAUAUCCAUUUAGCAUCGGAUAAAUUCACUCUGUUCGAGUUCGGAUUCGGAUAAAAUUUCGUAUAUCCAUAUCCAUUGACAUCUCUGGUUAGUAUAUAGCAAAAUUAUUAAAGAUAUAAGCUAUACGAUUAAGUUUUUUUGCAAUACGAGCUUCUAUAUAUGGGUCUGAAGAGCGGAACAAAAUUUGGAUUUUAGGAUUCGACGCCUGAGAAUUCUGUCCGGUUCGAAUUUGGAUUCAGAUACGAUACGAGUCCACAAGAGAGAGAGAGAGAAAUAAAUAUCUCACCGUUCCAUCCACCUGGUCCUGCAUAUGAUGCCCAUCUAUCAUUCUCAUCAGCACGAGAUGUCAUGCUGAAAAAAUUAGAAAAUAUCAUUCAUAUUAAUUUGAUUGUGACUUGUGACAAAUAAUAAUAAAAAAAAUAUUUUUUCUUGCACCAAUUUUUUUUUUUUUAUAAAAAAUGCUCGAACAAAAAUAACUGCUGCUUAAAGCAAAAGCAGAAGCGAAACCAAAACCAAUUAAUUAGAAGUGCGACAACAACCUGUUCCAGUUGUCUGCAAUAUCUCCUGUGGUUCUCCAACUGUUUCCGACCCCGCGAGCCCAUGUGGCUGGAUCAUUUUGGCCCCUGCAAUUAAUUAAGUAAUUAAUCAACUUUUUAAAUUAUUCGUAUAUAUAUUUUUAUUUAUAGGAAUGAAUUUUUGAUGAUUAUUGUGGAGUAAUUUUAUUAUCUUAUAAUUACCAUUCGCAGAGAGAGAAAAAAAUGUUCCUUCCACAAUUCUGAAGAGCUGAGCUCAUUUUAUUGUACCUGUAUUUGUUAUAAUCAACUGAGAGAGUAAGUUAAAAAGAGAAAAAAGAAAAAAAAAAAGAGUAUUUUUCAUGUAGACAAAAAUUAACAAAGUUUACCUCUCCUGUGGGCUUGUUCCAGGAUUGUUGCAGUUAUCAUAUUUCAAAUAAUCAACCCCCUUCAAAAUAACAAAUUAAAUGAUAAUAAAUACAUAACCAAGAGAAACAGAGAGAGAAAAAAAAGAAAUAUAUAUAUAUAUAUAUAUAUAGUUGAGCUAGAAUACUAUCGAUAGCAAACCGGCACUUUUGCCACCCAUUUGCUUUCGAUGAUGGAGCCUCCAAAUUGAUGAUCGACACUGUUGAAUAUGAUCUAUACCAUUUGAAGUAUUUAGAAAUUAAAUUUUAUACAUUUUCGAUAUUAUUCUCUUAUCCAUCGAGUGGACACAAAAAUGAACAGCUGAAAAUGAAUAUUCUUAAAAAAAUGAUGAUAGGAGUAUUGUAAUCAAGAUCAAGAGUAUAGAUCUUGUUUUAAAUAGUUUAAAGAAUUUUCUAACAAAAAUUCAAUUGAUUUGGAUAUCUUUACGCCGUUAAACGAGAAAACGCCUCAUAUCGACCAUUAAAAUUACAAAUUUUGAAACCCUUUGAUCAUUAGGUAAAUAAUAUCGAAAAGAUUUGAAAUUCAAUUUCUAAAUAUUUCAAGUAGUAUAGAUCAUGUUCAACGGUGCCGAUCGUCGAUUUGGAGGCUCCAUCAUCGAAAACAAAUGGGUGGCAAAAAUGUCGGUUUGCUAUCGAUAGCAUUCUAGCUCAACUCUAUAUAUAUAUAUAUAUAUAUAUAUAUAUAUAUAUAUAUAUAUAUAUAUACAUAAUGAUAGAAAUUAAUUAUAUGACUAUAGUUUUAUUUUUAUUAAUUAGUUGUUGAAAUCCAAUAAAUAGAGGCAUACCCAUGAGGCAAAUGUUUUGGCAUCUUGAUCUUCAUGUCCAAGUGAACCAGGCAUUUUCCCACUACAUGUUUGUGACCUAAAAAAUUUCAUAACACAAACCUUUCAUUAAGUCAAAUAUGUAUUAAUUAAGAAUUAUUUGAUUAUUGAUUAUACAAAUUUGAUUUAAAAGGAAAAAAAGCCUUGAGUUCCAUGAUUAUAUAGUAACAUCAUAUUCUUUUGAUAACUUUUCUAAGAAAAAAAAUGAAGAGUUUUAUUGAUAAUUGAUUGAUGUGGUUAAGUAAACCUACGUACCCGGCGUCGCUAUAAAUUCCAAGCUUGAGUCCCUUUCCAUGGACAUAAUCUGCAAGAGCUUUUAUGCCUGAGGGGAAUGUUGAUCCCUUGGCAACUAAAUUUCCCUGAUAAAAGAAAAUGUAAAUAAUUGCUUUUUAGUACAAAUAAUAUGAAAAUUUUCAAGUUGAUUUUGUGUAAGAUUUUUUAGAUUAGCGUAAUCUUUGGAUGUUAAGAAGUUAGAAGAACAAAUUUUAUUACAUCUAGCAUCUUCUUCCUUUUUUUCUUUAUUUUCUUUUGCAAUUAACUUAGGGCGUGUUUGGUCGUUUUCUGCUUCUACUUUAAGCAACAAAUUCGACCAGUAAUAAAGUGUUUGGCAAUUGAAAAAUAUAUGUAGCUUCUGUCAUAGGAAAACCAUUUUGGACCCUAGCUAGUUGCAGAAAUUCUAAUUUCAAAGCUAGUUCUGACUACCGACGUUAUUUUUACUGCACAACGUAUUGGAGCGCUGGCGAGGGAGUGAGUUGAGUAUUGUAGAGCUAGGUGGCUCUUUCGAAUUUUUUUGGCCCCUUUUUUUUUUCUUUUGGUUUUUUUGCUUGUUUUUUUUGACCUUCUUUUUUUCUCUAUUGGUUUUUCUCUUUUCUGAGGCUUUGCUAUCUCAUUCCAUAUAGCUAAAUUUAUUUACUAAAUAAAUGAAGCAGCUAGCGUGCUAUAUUUUUCCUUAAAAAAAAAAAGUUUUGAUUAGAUUUGUAGACAUCAGGGAGACAUUAAUAUUGCACUUUAUCUCCAAACAACAUUUUUCAAAUAAAAUUUGAUCAAAGUGGAAUCUCUAGCUUUUAGGUCCAAUACCUAGAGGAAAUUAAAUGGCCUCACCUGAGAAUCUCUGUUGUAUUCUCCCCAGCAAUCAUCUGAGUUGUUGAAUACAAAUUAACCAAAGAAGUAAAAAGGAAAAUACACUGUUGUUAGCAUAUGAUCACUUAACAAUUAACAUUAAAUUAUCUUCUCAAUCACUUACAAUCAAAUUAAUAAAAGAGGAAAAUAAUAGAGAGGGUACAAACCUAUAUUAAUAUAUUCAUACCCCAACUUUGCUAGGCCACUAUUUACCAUUGCAUCAGCUGCACCAACCAAAAAAAAACAUAACCACUUGUUUAUACAUCAAUUAAUGCAAUUAUAAGCAAAAUUGGAUAUUUAAUAUCAUUGCUACUGCUGCUAACAUUAAUUAUUGAUUAGCUUAAUGUCAUGCUUUGAGUUAGGUAAAAUGUAGUUAGUAGUUAAUUCGCAAAUAAAUGGACUUAGCUGUCGCAAAUUUUCGGAUUUCGACGUAUCAACAGCUGAUUGAAUUUAGUUGUCCUUUUAGACAGAAAAAAGUUGGAGCAUGCACCAACCUCAUGCGAAUUUUAUCGUAAUGACGUUAUAUUUUGAAAUAUGUAUCUGAACUUUAAACGUUCUAAUUCGUUCGCGAUCUUUUUGACUAAAAUUUUCAUCAAAUAAUAGAACAGUAAUUCUAUUUGUGAUCUAUUAAUUUUUAUGUCAAUUAGGGCAUAUUUGAAAUCUUGGAUAUUUUAGUGUUUUUUUAGUUUUUAUUACUUAGAAUUGAUGUAUCUCAAAAUAUGUAACUUCAUUUACAUAUUUUCUAUAUUAUAUAUAUAUAUAUAUAUUAUAUAUUAUAAUUAUAUAUAUAUAUAUAUAUAUAAUUAUAUAUUAUAUAUAUUAAUAUAUAAGUAUAUUAUUUAUUUAUUUAUUUACAUGGUUCCAAUAUUUUCUUUAUGAACCUUAACAACACAACAAGCGCACAGGUCAAAAGGCAAUUGUGCUAGAAAACUGUGAGAAUUAUUAUAUUCAAUGAAAAGUUAGUUGUUUAAUUUACACAUAAAAUAAAAACAAUUAGUUAAAAUUCAUAUAUGAAAACAGUAUAUAUGUUUAAUAUAAAAUAAUCUCCAAAGGUUAAGCAUAUAAAUUCUAAAUACUUUUGCAGAAAAAAAAUUAAUUAUUCAUAAGAUUAAAUGUGACAGUAAUUAUAUUAUUGAAGUGUCCACGAAAUCUAAUGUAACUAAUAUAUAUAUUUUUUGAGAGAGAUAGGUAGCACGCUACGUACUCGGUUCGUUUAUUUUAUUUAAAAAUAAAUUUAGCUAGAAAUGUGAAUCAAUUAAGAUUCGAACUUGAAUAUUGGAUACCAACCAUUAAGUCCUUUGUCACUUACUUUAGAAACGGUCGGUGUGAUGUAACUAAUAUUAUUAUUCCAAAAACGUUGACCCGUGUAUGAUCUGAGUCGUCUGGUGAAAUGUCUCCUUUAAUUCGUACUAUCCAACAUAGUGGUUAAGAUCGAAGGAUACAACGUCGCUUUUAGCGUCACUUUUUUUUAUUAUUGUGUGCAUGGAAUUUAUAGGUACUAGCCUUUCAAUUCCGUAGCCUCUCGUUCACGUAAACAGAUAAAGCCUUAUCGUGCAUUUGAAUUUAAUGAACUGCAGUAGUUAAAACUAUGCUCAAAUUGACCGUAGUUUUAACUUCAUCAGUCGUUGGAGAGAAUAAUUUUAAACAGAAGAAAAACUUAUCUGCCAGAUCAUCUUUGAAACAAGAAAUCUAUUUAUCUCCUAAUUAAUUAAGUGUAAUAUUUUGUAAAUGCACUUCGCAACUGCAUGUAAAUUAUAGCUGAUGAUGUAUUUUUAGUUGCAUGUAUCUUGAAUUAAGUUAUGAUUUAGAUAUUAAUACCAUCCAACCAAAUGAUCUCUUAUUAUAGUUUUUUUUUCUUUUUUAAGGGUAAUAAUUAAUGUGUUAUUCUUAUCCAUGGUUAUGUGAGGAUAUUCUUGUGGAUAUAAGGUACGGAGAAUAUAUGGCACAUACGGCGCCACAUAUUCCUAACUUUGGUCCGUGAAUCUUAGUUCACCGUGCACAAAGAUACAUGAAAAAAAAAGAAAAAAAAAAUGUUAGGAACGAUUUUCAACAUGAGACUAUUUUAUUUGAUAUUUACAAUUUAUAUUCCUCAAAUAAAUUAUAUUAAACUAUCUGAGAUAAUAAAAAAUAAAAAAUAAUAAUAUAAUCAUUUUAUACACUAGAAUAAUAUUAAAAAAAUUAUUCAUAUAUAUAGGAGAGAGGAGAGAGAGAGAGAGAGACCUGUUUCACGUAUUACUUGCUCGUUGAUGUUGCAGUAGAAGUGGUUCCAACUAUUCCACCUAAAUAAACAAUUUAUAUAUGUAUAUUAGUUAUUGAAACAAAAUAAUUAACGAGUCCAAAAAAUAAAUAUCGAAUUAAAUAAUUUUAAAUUGAGGUAUUUAAUUCUCCUUUUUUAAGUAAGAAAAGUUAAUUGGAACUUAAUUAUUAGUAUUUUAAAACCCAAGUAGUGGAGUAGGAAAAAAAAAAAUUAAAAAAAAAACGAAACAAGAGUCAAACUACACCUCGACCUUUUGACCCAAAUGGUUGUGGUAGGUGACGACAUAUAUAAUCUCUAACCCACUCAAUUAUUAUUCCAACCUCCUCAUUGAAACCGUUUUGUUCACACACAUAUAUUAUAUAUAUACAUAUAUUGAUCUUUUCUUUUUGCUUUUAUCUGUCCUCUUUGAACGCAUAGGUCAAACUCUUUUCCUUUUAACCAAUUAUCCAAUUAUUAACAAAUCUAAAUUUAAUUCCAAAUUUAAUUUGUUCCAUCCUUUGGAAAGUCAUGCCUUAAGUACACAAAUUUAUGCUCUUUCUUUUUGUUCCUGGGAAAUGAGUAAAAAAAUAUUUCGUUGGGAAAAAUAAAAUAAUUUUUUUUUCCAGAUAAAUAAUUCGGAAUAGGAAAUUAAUACUAUCUUUCCAUUGAAUCUGGAAAAAAAAAAAAAACUUUGCAAAAAAAUUAUUUUUUCUAAAAACUAAAGGACAAAAAAAACCUUUUUUAUUACUGAGAAAUUAUUAAUUUUUUGAGAAACUAAACAUAUCCUUACUAAUUAGUGAUUCAAUUUUGAAUAACCACUAUUAUAUAUAAUUAUAUAUACACAAGAAAAUAUAGCACAUAUAUAUCCUUUCGCUAAAUUAAAUAUGCUAUAUUCUAUUUUUACUUCUGUUACUUUCUACUAUUUUCCGUUAAAACAAUAAAAAUACAUUUCUUUAGGCUUUUUAUAUUAUUAUUAUUCUUUAAUUAGUAAUAGUAACACCACCAAAAAAAAAAAAAGAAAAGGAGAAAACUACAAAUUCAAUUCCCUUUUUUUUAUAUACGAUACAUAAUAAUUUUUUAUGCAGUUCAUAAUUAUACAUGUGAGGUCGCAUUCUCACACAACCACACUGUCCACAGCUCUAUCAUUUUAUCUAUAUCUAUUACGUACAUACCUUGUUACAUAUACGUACGCAUAUAUGAAUGUGUAUACAUAUAUAAUAAUAUAUAUAUAUACACGUACGUGCAUGGCUAAGUAGUAAUUAACACUACAAUACAUUAUUUCAUGCCUUAUUGAAAAUUAAUGAGAAAUAUAUGCAUGUAUUAAUUUACCCCAUUUGAGGAGUUCGACCAAGGCCAUUCUCUAAAGCGGCCCUUCUCCUAUGCCGCAUGAUCUCGACCGUCGAACUCGAACCCCCGAUGAUUCUCGCCCCCAUCACGGCCGUCGAAAUCGCGAGGAGGAUGAGGAGGAGGAGGAGGAAUAAGAAAAGGGACUCAUGUGCCCUAUAACCCAUGGCUAUAUACAAACACUUAGUUUCUCAACAAAGUGCUUCUCCUCCCCUCUCCUAUAUAUAUAUAUAUAUAUAUGUAUGCAAUAUUUACUAUGCGCUUGUGAAACGAUAGAGAGUUUAAGGAGCCAAAGCCCCAAACGCAGUUUAUAUAGGGGACUCCAUGUUGGAGGGAGUGGGCCCCACACUUGAGAAAAAAAAGAAAAUUUAAAUGAAAUUUGCUCUCCUGUGUUCUUUUUAAACUUGGGACCUUCCCCUUUUUUUUUUUCUGUGGGAACUUUCCUCGCAUAAGUUCAUAAAUUCAUGCACCGUAUCACCGCCGAGGAAAAUUUGGUGGGGUUGUUCAUUAUGGAACUGUUUCAUUCACGGAUUAACGAGUGACGUAGAAGAGGACUCUGGUAGCUUUCUUAUUAUCUGUUCCGCAACACAUAUAAGGAGACGAGGCACGUAAAGAAUCUAAAAGUAUCAAAAGCAAUCCAAUCCGAUUCCGGUUCUCGAAUACUCAAAAAUGGACGAACUACUGUGGUUUGUAGUAAAAGUGCUUAAUUACUAUUAAAAUAAAUAAACUUAAUUUGUCAAAUUCUUUCUCUUUUAUUGCUUUUUGUUGUAGAAAUUUUUAAAUUUUUUUUUAUUGUAUGGUUCCAAUUAAUUCUAUGAUCACUAUUUCAUGCAUGCACAAAAAAGAAAAAACCUCUUCUGUAGUACGUAAUAGCAUAGAAAUUGCUUUAUUUUUGUUUCUCAAAUAUUUAUUAGACAUUAUUUUUUUUUGUUUAGAAACAAAGAUAUAUAAGAACAAAACCAUAAAUAAAUUAUCUUAUUAUUUUUUUGUUAUAAAUAUUACGCAAUAUUUGAUUCGGUAAAUUAGGAUCUGCGGUUGUUGGGUCCAGUUGGUACGCUGAACAGCGUAGUCUCGUUGAUUUCCACGUCCAACGUCGAACACCGAGAGGCCCGCUCAGCAAAUCAAAACGUGCCACGUUUCAUUUAAUGACGCGUGGCGGAGGGGGGUAGGGCGAGGAUCCUGUGCGGUGUUUUGGGGAGUGUGAGACGGGGUCGGAAAAAGGGUUUCGGGUCGUGGUUAAUUUGGUGUUAUGCGAACCGAGUCGCCCGAAUAAGUGUGAUCGGUGGGACACGUCGCUUUGCGGUUUGUCCGUUCAAGUGGCCCUGUGGGGACCAAACCCUCCCACCUGUCCCCACCAAAUCCACCGAAUCCAGCCUAGGAACGCAAAUGGAUUCGGGUCGGUAGAGUUUUGCGCCCGGUUGAUCUGUCCGAAUAUGACGAUAAAUGAAGGCCAAAAACAAAGAAAAAGCAAAAAAUUUCUUUUCGUUUCUCAAUCAGUUUCAAUGCACAAAAAAUUCGGUUCUAUUCAGAUUUGUUCUGAAUAGAAUAGUAAAUAAGCAUAAGAACAAUUCCUCCCGAAUCUAUUCCAAUCAGUCAAGAAAACGGACAGUAGUAGCUAAAAGAUAGGGCUGUCAACUUGCCGAACACGAGCGAGCUUGGACCAAUUCGUGUUUGAUUCAUUUAAUAAGCGAGCAAAAUAUGACCUAGCUCAUUAAAAUAUUAAGUAGAAAAAUCGAGCUCAUAUUUGAUUUGCUUAUUAACAAGCUAAACACGAACUGACUCGCAAAUAACAAACUAGAUUAUUAGCCCUACUAGUGUGUGAAAAGGUGAAACAAAAUUAAAAUUUCAAAUUAUAUAUAUAUAAACUCACACGCACGAACUCAUUUCGAACCAAACACGAACAAGCCCACUCCAGCUCUUGUUUAGCUCGUUUAAUUGAUCAAAGAUCUUAUUUCGAGCGGAACACGAGCCGACUUGCGAGCAACAAACUGAAUUACCAGUCUUAUUGGAGGACUCUUUCUGCUUUCAGAUCUCUGUUCGAUUUGCAUUCCUAAUCUUGCUGUAUGUCAGAAACGAUCUACGAAGAGAAAAAGAAAGAGAAAGAGAAAGAGAGAGCGGACAAAAGGUCGCCGCAGAUAGACAAAGGUGGAGCUAGCAGAAGACACAGCGUGCGAAGAUAUCACUGUCGCUUAUGCGUUACGUUAUGGCAAACAGGAAUUGUUGUAGAUCCAUUAAGCAUAGCACUAACGAGAUAGCACAUCAAAAGAAUAAAAAUAUUUUUGGGUAAACUUCAAAUACUACUCCUGUGGUUUUGUAUUGUCUUACUUUAGUACCCUAUGGUUUAAAGUGUAUCAAGUUAAUAUCUUGUCGUUUUAUUUUUAUCUUUUCGUCAGCUUCUCCGUUAAUUUUUCAUUAAAUUAUAAACAAAAAAAUCAGCUACCCCACCUAGGUUUAUCAAAUAUUCACUUUAGUACCUUUUAGUUUUAACUUUGUCACCAAUUUAACGAAAAAGAUUAGUAAAAUCGAUAAUAAAAUUAAAGAUAAAAAUAAAACCAUAUGGCAUUAAAUUGAUACACUUUAAACUAUAGGGAACUAAAGUGAGAAAGUUUGAAACUACAGGGAUGAUAUUUGAAGUUUUCUCAAUAUUUUUAUAUGUAUCUUUUAUAAUAAAAUUUUAAAGUUUUAAUUAUUAUUAUUAUAUAUGUUUUUACUAUUGUAUUUGCAUUAAAAAAUAGUUUUCCUAAAACGAAUAUUUAGAGUUAAUUAUUCACGAUUCACGUAGUAGUAUGACACAAAAAUGAUUAUUUUGUAGGAGGAAAAUUAGCUUUAAUAAGCUAGCUAACGAAAAAACAUAUGUUAAAAAAUUUUUGCAACUUUAGAGGAAUAUAUUUUAUGACUAUAAUGUUGCAUGCGGGGAUCAAUAUAUAAUUUAUUAGUUUGUAGGAAUAUUAUAGAGUAGAGUACCUAAUUGGAUUAAUUAUUGAAUAUUUGCAACUUACGCGUUUAAAAUUUAUUUAGCAACAAAAAAUAUUUUUUUUGAAAAUAACAGGUUUUUUGUCAUCUUACCGUCUAAAUCGCAUGGCAAAUUAGUCAAUAAUGAUGGAAAUAAAAAACUUCAUUAGGUGACACAUCCGAACACAUAAAAUUUUAUAUAAAAAAAAUGUAUUAAAAAUAUUAAUGAGACCUUAACGUUGACUAUUUGACACUAAUUUUACAUGUAUAUACUAUUAUUAUAAUUACGAGUCUACUUUAUUUAUACUCCCACGUAGGUGUUAUAGUGUUAGACAACGCAUAAGCGCACAUCUUUUUUUUUUCUUUUUUUUUUUAACUAUUUGUUUUUACGUUCGUUUAGCACAGUGUUUGAUUCAUAGAAAAGUAUAUACAUAUAUAUAUUUAAAAAAAAAACAUUAUUUUUGUAAAAUAUUUUUGGAGAAAUGAAAGGAGUUUAUAUGUAGGGUUAAUUACCUUGUGAUCAAGUUGAGAUCUAAAAGCAACAAAAUAAAUCGAAGGAUGUGGACGUGCACGUAUUUAUGGAUCGAUAGUGUUCAAUGGAUAUAUUUUUUGUAAUUAAAUGAAGCUCACCCGUAACGCAUGUUCUUUCAUUAUUAUUGGUGAACAAACCAAAUAAACUAUUGAAUAUGUGCUUCUCUCAUUAGUGAGAGUCAAUUUCUGUUGAGAGCAAGUAAUUAAGAGGGUGUUUGAUUCCCCAGAAAAAUAAUAAUAAUAAUAAUAAUAAUUUUUAACUGAAAAAAUAUUUUUCAUCUGUUUGGCUCACAAAAGAAAUUUUUUUUUUUUCAGAUCUCAUGAAAAAGUUUUUUUUUUUUGGGUCUUUCAUGUUUUUUUCAUGGAAAACUAUUUUUAGGUAAACAAUUUUUCAUAAUAUUCUGAGGAGACAAGCAAUCCGAGAAACAACGUGCACAGACUUCAGUGUCCGAAGAAAAUGGGGAAUAUUUUUUUAAGAGUGCGGCUGGCAUGCUUCUGAAAGUACAGAGCGCUCCGUACUUCCAAAUCGUUUUCGAUAUUAGGACUUUCGAAUCGACGAUCAGCUCCAUUAGACUUAAGUAUCUAGAAAAUAAAUUUUGUGAUUUUUUUAUAUCAUUUGCCUAAUGAUCGAAGUGGCUUAAAAUCAACAGCUGAAAAUAAAAAUCUUACAAAAUAUGAUGAUAUAACAUUAAAAUUUUAGAUCAAAAAUAUUGAUCUUGUUUUAUACAGUAUAAAGAAUUUUCUAUCAAAAUUUCACGUGAUUUGAAUAUUUCUACACUGUUAAACUUGCAAACGACUCACCAUGGCCGUUAAAAUUAUUAAUUUUGAGCCCUUCGAUCAUUAGGCAAAUGAUAUCGAAAAAUCACAAAAUUUAUUUUCUAGAUACUUCAAAUACUCUAGAUCAAGUUUAACGGAGCCGAUCGUCGAUUCGAAAGUCCCAACAUCGAAAACGACUUGGAAGCACGGAAGGCUCCGUGCUUCCAGAAGCAUACCAACUCACUCUUUUUUUAAUAUCUUUUUGUAAAAUCUCUUUCAGUUUCGUAUGGCCGUGAGAAGUGGCUAAGUGAGAUACUGUGGUAUCAAAGUAGAAGGUACCGAGAUCGAUUUUCACGCUUUAAAUCUUUGGAGAAUAACAAUAGUUUGAUGUUCAUUAAUUAUAUAACAAACUUCACAAAUUAAGAGUCAUGUAAUUUUGCGUAUUUUCAUUUGAUAUCUUAAACUAUACCAUUAUAUAGAAUUUGAAUUUUUCAAAAUUUGAUUUGAUUUGUGUUCAUGUAAAACUUGGCCUAAAACAUGUGUUGAAACUCAAAUUGAAGUCGAUUUGGCUCGAGCUGAGGUCGAAAUCCGACUCGAGCACGAUCCAACCUAGCUAGAACAGCAACUUAAUUCAGAAUAAUUGAAUGAUACAAACAUUAAAUAUUCUUACUUAAUUGAAUCCCAACAACUAAGAUUUUUAAGUCAAAUUAAUGAUAAGCUUUGCAAUAUACCAACUCCACUUGUUCCCUUCAAUGCCCAAUGACUUAUCCAUCACUUCAUUUUCAAACUUAACACAAGCAAACACUUAUUAAAUUCAAAAGCCCUUGAUGUGGUGGAACUUAUCCAUUAAAAGCACACGUUGCGUGGCAUAUGAUAAUGCAAUAUUAUCUUGUUCACAAAAAAAUUGGAACUUAUCAAUUACAAACUUUUUGGCAUGUUGUUGAGGGUUCUAAGGAUGCACACAAAUGACCAGCUUUUGCUUAUCCUCAAAGUGCUUUGGCAUGCAGAUGUGGCAUAGAUAUCAUGCACUGGAUAGUGACAUCUUAGUGUUGUGAUAGAUAUAUAUAUAUAUAUAUAUAUAUAUAUAUAUAUAUAUAUAUAUGUCACAUUUUCUUUCAGAAAUUCCAAAAAAAAAAAAAAAUUUCCUUAUGAUGUAGUGUUUCAUUUUUUCGGGUUUAUCGCAAGCAAUCACGAAUUCAGUCUGAGACAAUUGUAUAAGUAUGUUCAAAGUGGUCGUUUUCAGGCCUAACAAGUCGCUAAUACUCUCAAAGCGAUCAUGAAUUCAUUUGAGAUGAUUGUUUUUUCGCCUUCUGAACUUGUUUCUGCAGUAGUUUUCGCACGUAAUUAAUUAUGCUAACUGCACUCUUAGUAUUGAGUUAGCACUUCCAAAUAUGUUUAACUAGUCAUUUUCAGGCCUAACAAGUCGCUAAUACUCAAAGAUCAUCAUGAAUUCGUUCUAGAUGGUUUUCUGUUUGAAUGAUUGUUUUUUCGUCUUCUGAGAUUGGUUUUGCAGUAGCUUUCGCACAUAAUUAUGAUUACUGCAAUCUUAGUAUUAGUUAGCAUAUUUGGACUUUCGAGGGAUGUAUUUUAUUGCUAUGCUGGAGGCUUUUAACACCAUACAUUUAGAGGUAGUUUGUUUUCGCGUAAGUGGAGAUGUGGAAUUCAAGUUUUAUUACUUUCGGUAUUUGUUUUGGUGUAAGUCAAAAAUAUAGUGUAACUCAAGUUACGUUAGAUCUCUAUUUCACGUAUUCUCGACUUUCCCCUAUAAAAUGCCGAGCUCGAUUUCCGUCACACUCAGCCUUCUCUAAAAAACUUAUUAAAUAGCAAAAUCUAAACUCUACUUCAUUUAUAAUAGAUUAGAAUUAGCUUAUUUAUAACAAAUUUGAAUUAUCUAAUUAUUUAAUAAGUUAAAUUUUAUAGGAAUAAGUUUAUCACUAUAUUCGGAAGAUAACGGAAUUCACUUACUUACAUCAAAAUAAAUAAUGGAACUUAAAAAAUUAAUUUUAGCAGCACCAAGUUAUAUCAAAACAAACAGAAAAAGUAAUUGAAUUUAACUUUCAGACUGUACAAGUUACAUCAAGACAAACAAGAGUUACGUUGGAUCUACAGAUUCGUCAAUUCAAACGCCCUAGAUGAGGAGAAAAUAGGAGAUACUCAUGUUGUGAUAUUCUAUUAAUAUUAUUAUUUGUUUUGGCAAUAGUAGUGGGCUAGUUCGCGCGGUUUGCUACGAAGUGAGUUUGUAAAUAUUUUAUGUUAUGAAACUACAGCAUAGACACAUCAGAUGAAAAAUAGAAUAUGAUUUGGAGUACAAGGAAUUAGAAAAAUUUAAUAAUAAUAACUAAACUUAAGUAUUUUGGAUUCGUGUUUUCAAGCGCUGAAAUGUAAUAUUACUUUAUUAUUUCAGAUUAGCCACUGGACCAUUCGAAAAUUAUUUUUUGGAUCCUUUUAAUAUAUGCUUAUUUAGAUUUAGUCCAUUAAGGACCAUUAAAGCCCAUUUCAAACACUUACGAAACAGCCCAGGCCCUUAUUCCUAAUUCAAUUUAAGCCCAACUAAUAAAAUAGCAAACUAUGUUGGUUUUCAAAUUGGACCGUUAAAGACCAAAAAAUUCAGAGUCGUUUCACUUCCUCCUAACGGCUUUUAUCGCGCAUUACCCUUCAUACUCUAAUUUGUUGUAAUUUUUUACUCAAAGUUUUAGAUUAUUGUAAUUUAGUCUAAUUGAAUAAUUUAGCUGAUUAAAUGAUACUGUAGUGUAUAUAUAGUCGACGAUGUGACAAUAACUAAGGAGUCGCAUCAAUGUCGUAGUUCGCGGACCAAAAGUGUAAGUAUUGAAUACCGAGAAGCUGCAUAAAAGGCCUGUUACUAUUCAUUAACAGAAACAGAUACAGGAGCACAAGUUCUCAUCCACAUCAGAGAGCAGCUUUUAGCGACUUCGCGCCAAGUUUUAUUCAAUUUGUCUUAAGAUCACAAUCAAAAUGAUCCAAUUACAUCCAAUUUUACUAACAUACAUAUAUAUUCUUCAGGAAUACUAGCUGGCAUUCGUCCGUAGCGGCAUUAACACGAACAUCCUGCACGAACGCGGGCCUACGGUGAAGUACAGUUUGUUUAUGAACUUCUCCUCCAAUAACUCAUGCUGCAGAAAACAAAUAAACUUUCUAAGCAUGAACUUAUAAACCUAAGUUUUGCGGUUUUGCGAAAACAAAGAAUCGACACAACUAAGAGUAUACCUCCCAUAAGUCUCUUACUUCGACCUUCGUAUCAGGGGGGAUACCGAUAUCGUCCCAGUGCGCGGUGAUCGGGCUCUCCUUUGAGGACCGGUUCAGCAACACAACCACCGUCCUAUAACCGGAAAGAGGCCCAGCCCAAACCUGCAAAGGAGAGUAAGUAAAACAUACCGAUUUCCGCGGUACAAAAUGACACACAUUAAUGAGCAGAUCUUAAAUAUUAGGGCAAGUGGCCAACCUCCAGAUCUCCCUCCAUCCUCACUUUCUUAGCUUGAACACCGAGAGAAUCUGUUCAUUCGACAGAUACGCAUUUAACUUACUCGAAAAGUGAUAUAAAGUUCUAAAAAGAAACAGUUUAGUGACCUUGGUUAACCGCGAUGACUUCCAUAUUGCCGAGGAUAUCGAAAGUCUCCUUCGAUAAAUCACGAACAUCGCAUCCAAUAAGAAGGGGAGCCUUUUGUGAAUGAACAAUUAGAUCUUCUACCAGUGAUAAAAAAGAUUAGAUGAUACGAAUGUGUAUAUAACUGUCGAUAAUAAUAAUACCUUGGAAAUAGCCCAUAUGCUGAAAUGAACAAUGUAUUCAUCCCUGGUCAUCCCUCCAUUCCCUACCUCGAGCAUAUCUGGGUCUGAUCAAUCAAAUCAGAUCAAAAAAACUGCGUUAGAUUUCGUCAUUCGAGUCUACUACAUGGUUUUCAGAUACAUGUAUUGAACCGAUGCUUUAAAGUUUUUGCUCAUUGAAUGUACGAAAAGGACUAACCAUUCCAGCCACCGGGCCUCGCGUACUCAGCAUACACUUCAUUUUGGUCGGCCCUCGACAGCAUGCUGCAACAGACAUAAAUAAGAAACCACUCAAGCCGAUUUACUAAGGAUUCAUCUUUUUGUUACCUGUCCCAUGAAUCACUUAUGUCAUUAGUUGUUCUCCAGCUAUUUCCGAGCUUGGCGCCCCAUAAAGCAGGGUGCAUAUCCCCCCUAAACAUCAAGAGGAAACCGAAUGAACCGCGCGUACAAAAUUGUUUAGUACGACGAAAACUACGGUUAAUAAGAUUAGAGCAUUGCUUUACCAUUCGCAUAAAGAGAAAAAGAUCGGUCGACCGGUAUUCAUUAUGGCGCGAGUCAUAACCGGGUAUCUACAAACAUUUUGUUUGUGUGAAUAAUAAGAAAUCAACAACCUGGCUUCGAACCACUCGAAUAAGAACAAGGCAUAUUACCGCGUCAUUGGCUUCAGAUCUCCGUUGUUACAGUUAUCGUACUUCAAGUAAUCUAUACCCUGCGAUCCGAGAACAAUCAAGCCGAUUAAGAAAGCGAAAUAACACCCGUAAAAAAGUGUCUGAACAUCUGAUCUUUCUCCUCACCCACGAGGCGAAUGUGUCGGCGUCUUUCUCCUCGUAACCAAGUGAUCCUGGCAUCAGUUUGCUGCAUGUAUGGUAUCUGCAACAAUCUGAAACAAUCCACUGAAAUUUCUUUUGGGCCAAAUUAGUUUGUUGAAAGAGUUGAAUUAGGUGAUAUUUACCCUGCAUCAGAGUAUAUCCCUAGCAUUAAACCUUUGCUGUGAACAUAAUCUGCAAGAGCCUUGAUUCCUGAGGGGAAUGUUGCUCUAUUUGGUACCAGAUAACCCUGAUGGAAACAAAAAAAUAGUAAUUCUAAGCUCAAUAUAAGAUGCAAUUCGUCGCCGAAAGAGAAAUUUUUGCUACUCAUUAAGAAGUCUAUAAAGCUAUUAGAAACAUCAAUAACCAGUUUCAAACUUACAUAAACAACACUAAAGUACUCAAAAGAUAUUGAAAAAAAAAAAAGUUACUUUUUUAUCAUUUGUGACUUGAAAAAAGUACCUUUUGAUCUACUUAUCAUUUUGUUAACUAUGUGUUCAUAAUCACCAAAAGAAAAUCAUGGACAAACCUCCGAAUCGCGAUCUUGCUCCGCCCAGCAAUCAUCUGAAUCACAAAGAUUAGCCAAAAUUUUCAUCAUUGGAUUUUUUUCAAAAAAAAUUUCAUUCAAUGCAUUUGAAUGCAAAAGUGUAUAAUCCUUUCUAAUUGAAUGGAUUAGAGUUAAAAAAAAAAUUAAAACAAACAAAAAAGAAAAAGAGAGUCACCAAUGUUCACAUAUCGAUAGCCGAGCUUGGCAAGGCCAGUUGAGACUAGUGCAUCAGCUGUUACACACACACACACACAAAAAAAAGAAAAAAAAAAAAAAAGAAUCAAAAUUAAGUGAUUAAGUUUUCAAAAUUCUUAAUUAUGUGUGAUUAUUCAAUCAAUUACCUGUUUCUUUGAUAACCGUUUCAUUAAUUAAACAAUUGAAGUGAUUCCAACUAUUCCACCUGUACUCACACACACACACACACACAAGUCACAUAAAAUUUUAAACUUUUUUUUAUAAAAAAAAAAAAAACAAUCUAAAUUACCUCAAAAGAUAUAUUUUUUUUAUAGAAAAAAAUUAAUGCCAAAAAAAAAUAAAAUUUGAUAUUGUGUGUGUGUNAAAAAAAAACAAUCUAAAUUACCUCAAAAGAUAUAUUUUUUUUAUAGAAAAAAAUUAAUGCCAAAAAAAAAUAAAAUUUGAUAUUGUGUUGCUCAAAAGAUCGAUAUAAUAUAAAAAAUAUUACGUAUCAUAAAAAUAAAAAACAAAAACUUAUAAAAUAAUUAAAUCUAGGAUCUUUUAAAAUAUAAAUUAUCUAAAUAAAUGAACAUAGAAAUUAUGAACGCAACUACAAUAAAUAUGUAUACCCCAUGGGAGGGGUGACUCCGAGGCCAUUGGCCAACAAGCUCCUGCGACCGUCCGAUUCUGCGAGAUCUCGUCGUGAUUCGGCGCCCGCCCAUAAUCCAACGGCGUACACUAAGCCCAGCAUCACCUUCACCCACACAAUACAUCUCUCCCCCAUCCCCCCUCUCUCUCUCUCUCUCUCUCUCUCUAAAAAUUUUAAAUGGCCUUAAGAUGGUUAUCGCUCUCUAACUUGUUUAUUUAUAGUAGUACACUGUACACGCAGCCCAGUACAACUCUUCGAGUGAUGUGAUGCCUUAUUGAUUCGGGAUGUAUAUGAUACGGAUACUUAAAAUUUUAUUCGAAUUCAAAUUUAAAAAUUUAGAUUUAUAUGAUAUUUAACGGAUAUAGUUUGAAUAUAGAUAUUAAAAAUGACAAUUCGAUUGAUUUGAAUUCGGGUAUGAAUUUUAUCUAUAUUUGAAUCAAAUCUGAACAUAACCUGAACCUGAAUUAAUUUUAUAUUAUAUAUUAUAUAUAAUAUAUAUAUAUAUAUAUAUAAAUAUUUGAUAUUAUAUUUGAAUUUGUAUUAUAAAUAUUUAGAUUCAAUAUAUAAGAUUAUUGUAAAAUAUGGUAGAGAGAAAUAAUUGUUUUGCGUUUUCAAGUUCAGGUUCAGGUUCGAUUUUUAGAUUUUUGGAGGGGUUCGGAUUUGGAUAUGAAUUUUUAAAAUUCAUAAGAUUCAGGUUCGGGUUUCGAAUUUUAAGUUAGGUACAAAUUCGAAUGGUUGAAAACUCACUCUGAAUUCGAUCCUCCUUGAUUAUACUUUAUGGCUCCCAACCUUUAUAUUUGGUUUUAAUUAAGUUUCAACUAUUCAAAGUUUGAUUACAUCAACUCUAAUAAAAUUUUAUCCAUAUUUUAAAAUUUUGUCGCGAGAUUGAGAUGGUUAAAUUAUAAGCUUAAAAAAUAGGGUAAAUUUCAAAUAUUAUUUCUGUGAUUUCGUACUUUCUCACUUUAGUAUCCUAAAGUGUAUCAAUUUAAUAUCUUGUGGUUUUAUUUUUUCGCUUUUCGUCAGCUCCUCCGUUAACAUUUCAUUAAAUCAUUUACAAAAAAAUUUCAGAUACCCUAUCUAGAUUUAUCAAAUACUCAAUUUAGUACCAUUUAGUUUUAAUUUUAUCACUGAUUUAAUGAAAAAAAUUAGAAGAGGAGAUAAUAAAAAGAGAAAAUAAAAUCACACAACAUCAAAUUGAUACACUUUAAACUAUAUGGUACUAAGUGAAAAAAUUUAAAAUUACAUAGAUGGUAUUUGAAGUUUUUCCAAAAAAAUAUAUAUGUAUAUAUAUUUAUGUUUUGUUAAAAUGGUAUGAUAUCGUUUGAUUCGGGGAUAAAUAAAAAGUGACUAUUUCAGGAAUAGAAAUAAAUUAAGGUAUAAGCGGGGAUUAGAUCAAUUUUGCGUUUAGAUGAAAAUUGAAUUAUUUAUAGAAAUAAAAAAAAAUAACAUUUGGUUAGGUCAGAUGGAAUAAGAAUUAAAAAUGGAUAGUUAUAAUAAAAAGUAAUGAUAUUUCUUUUUAUAUUAGAAUUAAAUUUUUAUAUUUUAUAUUUAUAUUUUAGAAUUUAAAAUAUAAACUUUUAAAUUUUAAGUUUUAAAUCUCAAUUUACAAUUUAAAAAAUUAAAAUUUUAAAUUUUAAACUUUAAAUUUAAGAUGAAAUUUUAAUUUAAAAAUAAAAAUAUCAAAUUCUAAAUAUAAAAAAAUUAAAAUACCAAAUUUUAAAUUUAAAUUUUUAAUUUUUGUAAUUUAAAAAUUAUAAUUUUAAUUUUUUUAACUUACGAAAUUAAAUUUCAUAAUAAAUUAAAAUUCUCUCUCUCUCUCUCUCUUCUCUCUCUCUCUCUCUCUCUCUUCUCUCUCUCAUCUCUCUCUCUCUCUCUCUCUCCUUCACGGGUGGAACAAGCUGGGAUAAGCCAGCUUGUUCCACCUUCGUGGUGGAACCACUGUAUUUUAUAUUUAUCGAUCCUACACUGUAUUUUAUAUUAUUUUUAUUUUUCUAUCAUGUACUAUUUUUUUCUUAUAAAUAUUAUUGAACUAUGUUUUUUCUCACCAAGCUCUAUAUUAUUGUAAACAAUUUAUUAUUUUAAAUAAAAUCUGACAACUUCGAUAAGGGGACACUAGUUAAAUAGUAGAAAAAUAUAAAAUAAAUUUUCAUCAUACGACUAAUUAAAAAUUUUUAUCAAGUUAUUUUAAAUUACUUUUUUAUUAUUUGUAUAUAUUUUAUUAUUUUUAUGUUAAAAUGAGUUGAAUAUAUAUUCUGUCACUUUUAAUCAGUAUGUUUUAACCGAUUUUAUAUAAAAUUACAAACUCAUUGGUUAAAGCGUAGGAAUUAAAAAAAAAUAAAAGUUGAGUGGUGCUUUUGAAAAAAAAAGAAAUAGUACUAUGUAGAAAAUGAAAAAAAUCUGUAUGAUACAAUUAAUGUAGUAUAGUGCAAGUAAUCCUAGUUAUUUAAAAUAAAAUAGAAAAAUAUUUUGCUUGCAAACAAAUUUUAUAAUAUUUUGCAAAUUUUAUAAUUUAAUAGUUGGAUUUCAACUUUAAAAUUAUAAGUCAUGCUUAUACGUUUUCAUCAAUUAAAUACCGUCACAUGUACUAGCUUGUAAAAUAUUAUAAAAUUUAUUUAUAAAUAUAGCAUUACUCGAAAAAAAUUAAUAAAAAUCAACACAUAAGAGUGAGCAAAUAAUUGUAAAGUUUUGUAAGUGGUAUCCCAGGUCCAACUAGUUAUUUAUUGGUGUAAGUGGGACUUUAAUAUCUGUGCAAUGAAGGGUCUAGAGUACAUGUCACGUGGGGGGUGUUUUCUAAUAAACAUUUGAAUUAAUUAAUUCAACCAUGAAAACUACGUACUUUGAUGGAAUUAAGUGUAGUUGAAAAGUGGGUCAUUGAUGUAUAGUUGAGGAAAAUUAUAGAAUAAAUUGUAUUAAUUUUAUCAAAAAUAUCCAAUUUUAAUCUCUCUAAUUGGCUCAUUAUUUGUGGUUGUGGAAUUAGUUCCUCUUGGUCAAGGUUUUUUAAGGAUUAGUAGUUGUGACUUUGAAUAGUAGUAAUGAAACAUAUUUCGUAUAAACGCGUUGUUGAUUGGUUUGGUUUUGUCCUAAUCUAAUUGGAUGGUAACAUUUGAUUAUGAUGGUUAAUUUGAUAAAUUAAUAAAGAGAAAGAUUUUUAAAAAAAUGGAGUAGGAAUUAAGAAAAAGAUAAAGACAACUUGAAUUCGAACCAACAACAUAAACAAAUAAAAUAAAAUUAAACAAAGGGUAAUAAUGAUAUUAUCUAAUUAAAUUUGAUCCUAUCCAAAUAAAUCCGGCCAAGUUUGCGAUGUUCAUACACUUACGUGUUUGAGUUAAGAAUAUAAUUUUUGUUUGUGUCAUGUGGAAUACAAGGCUUAAUUAUAUAUAUAUUAUAACAAAUUUAGGCUCUGUUUAAAAUUACAAAAAAAAUAUUUUAUAUAAUAAUAGAAAAAUUAUUAUAUUUACCACUCCGUUCCACAUAUAUUCGCCAAAAUAAAAAGUCUACAAAUCCACGUGAAUUGUUCGGUAACGACAAAAUUAAGCAAUAAAAGAUUAAAAGAAAAAUAUAAAUAAAGUGCAUGUUUCCACGUAGAACUGCGACAGGAUUGAAAGUGAGGUGGUAUGUUCUCUCGUGAUAAUAAUAAAAGUUGAGAGAGACCAUCCGAGAAGUAAAAGUAUAUAUCCGAGGAUUAAAAUUAUAAUGUUGUAUAAACUAAUCUAGCUAAAACAAUAAUAAUGUUGCAUGAUAUUAAUAAAUUUAUAUUUAUUAUAAAUGGCUUUAGAAGUAUAUUAAGACUUUUGUAUUCUAUUAAUACAGCUUAUCUACUCUACUUAACACUAUAUAUCUUAAACUUUUGAUAUGAUUAGAGCUAUCGAUUUUGUCUUCUACAUGUGAGAUACUGAAUUUGGGCUCAACUCGCUUUUGUAACUUAUCUGUAGGAUUAUUAUGCACUAAUUAUUAAUUUUAAAAGCUUAAAUUAUUAAAAAUAUGCAAACAGUUUACUUAAAAGCGUUUAGAUAUAAUGUAUCGCGUACAAGUCUCGAUUGUGAUUCAAUCUAAUUCGGUCUCUCGUCGCUUCGAACACGACUUGACUCAAUCUUAUAUAUCUUCAGUCAUUUUGGAAGUGACACGACUUAAUCCUAUCUUCUGCCACGAAACAAAAUGUUGGUUACUUUAAAGCCAACAUUAAUCCCCUAUUCUAUGCUCCUCUCUUCUCGGGAAUAGAAGUGCGUACUUUGUUUGUACGUUCCACGUAGCAUGCACGCAUGCGUGUUUGGGGAAACGCAAAAUUAGAACAUGCAUGCAUGCAUGGGUAUGCUUAUCCGCAACGGGAGAUUCAUAUGAUGUUAAUCCCCCUCAUCUCUGAGACCUCCUCGUAACUCGUGUUUAUGUAGUUUCUGUCCACGUUAUCAAAAAACUACAUAUAAUAAUAAGGAUAAUAAAUUAAUUAGUCGAUCUAUAUAUUCACGUGCAAUACAAAUUAUUUUUGAACAACAUUGAACCUAACACGCGCACACUAAAUUAGAUUCAUUAAAUCUGACGAUUAAUCAACUAUAAUAAUCAGCCUCUUACUUCUCUUGCUAUAUUAUAACCCCUAUGACUAAAAAAGAGUGUAGUAGCAUCACAGCAUGUGCAUCAAAUGGACCACACUGUUCAAGCAACUCAUCACCCCAACUUUUUUUUUAAAAAAAAAUUAUUAUCUCUCAAUAACUGGACAAAAGCUACGUACUUUAUGUCUCUAGAACCAAAAAAGCUAAAAAAAAAAAAAAAAAAAAAAAGAAGAAGAAGAAAAAGCUGAGACACAGGGUUGAGAGAACAUGUGCUAUACAGAGAGGAGAUUCCUUAUUGAAAGUGAACUGAUGGUGGACCUCACUGUUUUAUCUGCAGAAAAAAAAAAAAAUGUGUGGUGGGUAGAUCUAAAUUUCCAGACCCCUCCAGUGUUUUUUAUUUAUCUUUUUGGUGGUGAGAUUCAGUGAUUUAUAACAAUGCAAACCCACACAACAACUUUUUGUGUUGUUUUUAAUUAAUUUUAAGUUGUUAUAAUUUCUAAUAAUGGGCUGUGUUGGGCCAGCCCAUAGGUGAUUGCAGGAGAGUGGGCCUGGAUCGAAUACAUAUAGAGCCCGUUACGGGUUGCGGCGACUACAUCUGCACCGGCUCUGUAGCUAUUUUCUCGUUUUUUGAUUCGGAUUCCACCGUUAUGAAAUUACGGCACAUGCAUUUCGUGCACAUAAGCAAGCACAGAACAACUGAAUUAAGCAAGAGAUGUCUCUUAUGUGGUUGAGUAUAGAAAAAUUAGUUUUGUUAACAUUGUGUAUUUGGCAGGACAAAAAGGGAUAAAUUUCAGUAUUACAAUUCACAAGACUAAAGAUACUUCAAAUUAUAUUCAUUAAAUAAAAUCUAAAGUAUUUAAUGAAUAUAAAUGGGGUUCUUGUCAACUCUAGCAAAUUAGGUGUUGUGACACGAAAAAUUCUCUGCCGCACUCAUAAUGGAUCUAAAUGGGGUCUUUUAUAUAUAUUUCUGACUAAGUCUUGUUUGGAUUUAUAUAAAUGUGUGAAUGACAUAAGUGUAAAAAUUACACCUUUAUAUAAAUAUACAGAUAGUAUUUUUCUUUUUAUAAUUAAAAGCCUAUAGAUGAUGAAAACAACAUCAUGAGGCGACGACAUCAACAACAACAACAACAACAACAACAUAUAAUAAUAAUAAUAAAAUAAUAACAAUAAUAAUAAUAAAGAAUCGCUCGUUUCUAGAGCGAGUGAUAAAGAAUUUGGUGGUUGAUACCCAAAGUCCAAAAUUUGAAUUCUAAUUGAUUCACAUUUUCAGUUAAGUUUAUUAAUAAAAAAACAACAACAACAACAAUAAUAAUAAUAAUACUAAUAAUAAUAAUAAUAAGUAUCAACACAUCAUAAUAGGAGCAGGUGGGCUACUUUGCUGUUUCCAUAAACAAAUAAACACCUUAAUCUCUCGUUCCCUUCAACGUUUCGCACCAAAAAGCGCACGCCAUUGACUCCAAAAACUCGCACCUUAUAUGUUCGACGAAAUGCUCAUGGCUAUGGUGCGAUCCCCACCCUCGCAAUCCCCUCUUCUCCAACAAGCCAAUCCUCCCCGCGACGGAUUCGAUCGCCGGAACCCAAGAAACCACCUCCGGAGCGUGAGGAAUCGGUGCGCGAAGAGGCAGCGAAACUUGCCCGCAAACCGUUUGUACAAUUGCCGCAGCGAGGCGGAGUCCCCGAGGGUCUUCGUCGUCUCCGAUCUGCACACGGAUUACCCCGAGAACAUGGCGUGGGUGCGGCGCCUCUCGCGCGCGUGGCACGGGGGCGACGUCCUCGUCGUCGCCGGGGACGUGGCGGAGACGUAUAGGAACUUCGUGUCGACAAUGGCGGAGUUGAAGGAGAGGUUCGGGGCCGUGUUCUUCGUGCCCGGGAACCAUGACUUGUGGUGCCGGAGAGAAGAGGGCAAAUUUGUAGGUUUAAUUUAAUUUUUUUUGAUCCAUUUGUUUCCAAUUUCACGAGAUUGCCUUUAGUUUCUUUGUUCAUGAUGAUUACACGCAGUUCUUGUUUAUUAUAGAUUAUUACCUAAAAAAAUCUGAUUUUUGUUGUCAAAAAAAUUAUCUUAAAGUUCAGAUACUGAAGUGUUUUAAGUUAAAAUUACAGCAACAUAGUCGCGGUAUCGGAAUAAAACAAAAAUUGGCUGCGGGGAAAUGAAUGCUUGCGUAGUUUACAAUUUGCAUUACUUUGUGGCUGAAUUUGGAGAAUGCAUCUCCUUUCAGAUGAAUUCACUGGAGAAACUGAACGCAUUGCUUGAUGCAUGCAGUGAACUUGGAGUAGAGACCGGCCCGAGAACCAUCGAUGGUUUGGGAAUCAUUCCCCUGUUUUCUUGGUAUCACAAGGUUGUUGAUCUUUUGCUAUAACAUGUCUCUUCUUCUUUUAAUCAAACUCGUUCGUACCUGUAUUAUGUUCUGGCAUUUCUGAUGUUUGAUUGUCUCGCAGAGUUUUGACAAAGAGAAGGACAUAACUGAUGUUAAAAUUCCUUCACUUGAAAUGGUAAGUUACCUUGUUCCGUAUGUCUCACUAUAAAAAUAGCUUUUUUGUUAAUAACACCUGCAGAUGCAUUUACCGUUGGUAUACUAAACUCGCCAUUAUCUCAUCACAAUUUGAGUACCUCGAUUUAAAAUGCUACCUCUACUUUAAAAUCCGCUAUAUGGCUUGCUGCUUUCUCAAUACUAUGGUCAAGUUUUUUUUUUGAUCAGGCUUGCAAGGACUUUCAUGCUUGCAAAUGGUCUCCUCAGUUAUCCAACAAUGGUGUCGCACUAGCCCUCCACUUUGACAUGAUGAAUGAGAUGAACCAUAAUGCAAUUAAAGAAGUUCAGACGACCAGUAAUCAUAUAAUAACAUUUUCUCACUUUGUUCCAAGGUGUGUAGUCCAGGCAGUUAGAGCCUCCAAAAUCAUUACCUUUUUAAUAUUUAAAACCAAAACUAAAUUUCUUAUCGAAAUUGAACCGAUGCCCUCAUCCAUCCCCACCCCCAUGCCUUACCACUAGGGAUCCUGGUUGUUUGGCCCAUAUUCUGUCACUUACCUACAUUUCGAUUUUGCAUAUUCAUGAACAGGCAAGAAUUGUGCCCGGAGAAGAGAAUGCUUUUCUAUCCUAACCUUCCAAAGAUUAUAGGCUCGGAUUUUCUGGAAAAGAGACUAAGAUCAAUACAUGGAAACUUUGUAAGCGGCUCGGCUUGUCAUUUGUUUGGGCAUACACACUUCUGUUGGGAUUCUGUUGUUGACGGAAUCAGGUAUUACUUUGUCGCCUUUAUUCUGGAAUAUAUCCAAGAACAGUAGAGAAAGAAAAUUCUAGCUUUUUUUUUUUUUCUUUUUCAUGUGUAGGUAUGUCCAAGCGCCUCUCGCUUAUCCCAGAGAAAGAAAAAGGAGGAUGAAUGGCGGCGAAGAUUGGCUACCAUUCUGCAUUUAUUUUAAAGGAUUUACUGAUAAAUUAUCUCCGGCCUAUUGGUCUGAUUAUUACUCUGAGAACAAAAGGGAACCUAAGAACACUGAUCUUGCACCAUGGGUUGCCAAAUUUUAUACGAGGUAGCCCAGACCCUUUUUUUC
rnacentral:lncRNA from 1 species